rnacentral:lncRNA from 1 species
AUAUAAAUUAGUAAUAUCCCAGACAAAAAAUAAUAGCACUAAGGCUUCCGUACGUACUAUUGUGUUCUGCAUAUUACGGAUAGUCGGUUACGAUAUAUUUUCUGCGGUCCCAUCAGAGAAUACAGAAGCAUAUUCCUAUAUAUUUUUUCUCAACUCUAUUCUAUCUAAUAACGUUAGAUCCAUCUCAAUACCAAACUAAGCCUAAGAAUUAUAUUGUUGAUUCUUAUCCAAAAUAAGAGUUUCAAGACGGUGGAAUUUUAAACUCUCCGCAUUUGUAUUUAUAUUUAUGAAAUUUAAUCCACAGGCCUUUUAAGGAUACUAAUAGUAGAUUAGUUUGGAAUCAGGGUAGGGUUAACUAUGGAGGCAAUAAUAAAAAGCACCAAAUUAAAGUAUUGCUGAAGAUAAGAUUUGUUUUUAAAGCAACCAUAAGAUAACACAUAAUCUAAGCCAAAACAAUCAAAGAGAAUCAUAUAGUUCAAGCAUCUCUUUGUUUUAAACCUCACCCUCUUCUUUUUUUCAUGGUACGGAUUUGAGAGCUAAAAUGGUGCCCAACGUGGCUACUGCUAUUGAUAUGCUUUUGAUAUGGUCUCACCCAAAAAAGAAAAAAAAAUAAGAAAAGACUAUUGCUAUGCUUUUUUAAGGCCUAAAUGUUAGGUCUAGUUGUUGUUGGAUGCAGCAGUAUUGUUUUAUAACUUAUUGUUUAGGAAUAAUUAUCUAUAUACCUCUCAAAAUUUUAAAAAUAUCUCAUUUAUUUUUUUUUUUCUUUCUAAUAUAUCCAUCAUAUGUUUCUCCGUUAUUCCAAAAUACCCCCGCAGUUACCACCCGUUAAAUUAACUUGGGUUAAAUGUUAGUUAAAUAUCUACUAGAGUUAAAAAAAUCAAAAUGCCUCUUUUUCCCUUAAGGGUAAAUAAAAAAUGUUGGUGAUGGUAUAAGGAUAUAUUUGAAAAGACUAAAGAAUAAAAUAUUUUUUGUGCUUCUAACUUAAGAGCAGAUAAGAAAAGUUGGUGAUGGUACAAAGGUAUAUUAGAAAGGAUAAAAUAGUAAUUUUAUAGAAAUAAUAGCUGUAACAGAUUUUAAGUCUGGGAAUAUAUUUGAAAUAGGUUGAAAUGUAAAAAAAGUAUUUUUAAUAUUAAUUUCUAAGAAGGAUAAAUUAGAAAGUCGAAAACUUAAUAGUAGUGUUGCUGCGACGAAAUUUCUUUUUAUAGAAAAAGCGAAAGUCCCAAAAAAAGACUUUUUUUUCCUCUUCAAUUUUAAUUUCCAUUUUCGCCAUUUUAUAAUCUCUAAAUUCUUUUGUUUGUUAAAUGUUCUAGUAAAGAUUACUAAUGAAUUUAUACCACUAUUAAUGUGGUCACAGGGAAACUAUAUAAAAAAUACAUAGCAUGUAAAAUAUUUAGUUCAACUCUUCUCCAUUUUGAUACAUCUACUUGACUUUUAAAAUUUUUAAUUUUACUACUAACCUUUUAAUUUAUUUGAUCUGAGCCACUUAGCACCUCUUUGAUUUCAAAAUUUGAACGUAUCUUUAAUAUAUUCUAUUCAAUUUAAGUAACUAUAAAUUCAUUAAACUAAGCAAUUAAUUUAAAUUUUGUAUUUAAAAAACAUCAAGUUACUAAAAUAAAACAAUUUAGCUUGGCUGCUAAACCAAAAUUUUAAAAGAUCAAGUAGUUGAAUCAAAAAGAUAUAUAUUUCAAAUAAUUUAGUACAUUUUUACAAAAAAAAGGAAAAAGAUUCGUGCAUAAACGUGUUAGUUAGAAAGAAUGUUAGGUAUUCUGAGAUGCACCCACUGUGAAAAGGGGAAUGCUUAAUUAGAUAAGUGCCAAGUGUCGCCUUUCCCAUCCCUAUGAUAUUUUUGAAUUCGUGCGUAAACCAAUCAAAUAUUUAAUAAAAAUUUAUUAAAACAACAAUCUAAAAAAAAAAUUAAGAGCUACUGUAAAAAGCACUUUCUUAUUAUGUGACAACCAUGUGAGCACAAACUAGUAGCGCUAUUCUUUUUAUGGUCUAUCAUAUUUGAAAAAAUUAAGGACUUUGACCUAACUAAUUUGUUGAGUUUAUGUGACAUUUUGGAGGUGUAACAAAAUGCUUUUACCCUUUAUAAUUAUCAUUCAUAGAAAAGAUAAAACAACAAAGUAUGUAUAUAUAUUAACCUUAUUAAUAAAAUAUUUUUAUAAUAUGAGUAGAGCUACUAUACUAUCGGAAUCAUAGAGGAUCUGGUACUUCUGACUUUUUGACCCUUAGAUCAGCUCUUUUAAUCAUUUCUAACUUUUGGAUUAAUACUAUUACCCUAUAAGGACCACUCAACCUUAGGAGUUCUACUCAGCUCUCGGGGGACAGCAAUCAUCUCAACCGUACAAUUCUUCAUCCAAAAGCCAAAAAAUCGAAAAUAUCAAAUUCUCUAUAAUAGCUCUACACUUAUAAUAUUUAGACAUAGUAUAAAUUGUAAAGAUACUCUCUCGUGAUCUAGUUUGGUCCCUAGCCGUAGAGCAUGGGUGUAGUUUGGACCAUUUUGAACAAGUUUAAAAAUCUUAGUUAAGCUAUGGCCGGUUCGGUUUGUAGUAUUUAACAUUAUCUUGAUCCAUUAAUUAGUUAGGUCUUGAUCCAUCGAUUAGUUAGGUCAUUGGGGAAAAGCUCUGCCAACCAACAGUAGAAAAUUACCGACGCCACCGAUAAGCUCGAGAUAAAUGUUAGUAUACCUACGAACUCGGUUGGAGCUUCUGCAAAAGUCUAAAUGAGAGCCAUUCGAAAUCUUUUUUAUAUCUUUCUGAUGUGUAGAUAGAUUAAACGUUUCAAAUUGAAACUUCUACUUCUAGUACUCGGAAGAAAUUGGUUUGAAUUUUUACUCGAGAUGUUUCUAGGCUUCGUAUUUAUUAAAUGUUAGAAUAUUAAUAGGACUCCGAUCGGAAAAAAGCACUUAUUAAUAGACAAAUACAUGCAAACUAAGCCCAUUAAAUCAAAUAAACAUUUCAACUAAGAGGAAUUACAACUUGUUAAGCCUAUUUCUAAACUGUUUCUGCUAGACAUGUCUUUUCGAAAGUAAGAUCAUGAGUAGUCCCAAGUUUAUCAUUAAUUCAUUAAAUCUUUGUGGUUAAUUACCUUCUUUAUAUCUCUUGUUAGUAUAUAUGGUAUGAUUUAUCCGAACUCCACUGGAUACUUAAUCAAUGAAAAUGUUAAGAUAUUUUUUUAAAAUUUUUUUUUUAUCAGAUUGAUCUUUUGGUUUUGGAUAACAUAAAGUAGGUAACUGAAUGGUUGUUGAGACCACAGCAGAAGAUUUAUAGUCCUUCUCAUCAUAUAUUCCUCCUCUUGUGCAACUUUUGUUAGAUAACUAUCGAAGAAUCUUCGACUUGUUUAACUCCAUGUGUUUAAUACAUCACUUUUUAUUUGAUUCUAUGUCCUUUAUUAAUUCACAUCUCCUCUUAUCGUUCAACUCCUCCCCCCUCUAUAAAAAGGGUGGAAUGUUAUAGUAAGCAAGCAUUGUGAAGAGACACAAAGAAGAAGAGAAAAGAAAGUAGAAAAAAGAAGAAGAAGAAGAAGAAGACGACAUGGCGUGAUAUUGGCUCAUCUCGCGCAAGUAAUCUUUUUCGAUUGCAGAUUGCGAGGUGAGCCGAACCAAUAUCACUCAUGUACUCUUCAUUCAUGAUCUCCUCGGUGCGGAAGUAGCUACUAUUAUGGUACUAAUAUCAUCUAUCGGUACAAUAUAUAAUUUGAUGGUUCCUUCCAUACACGCGGCGAGCUCUCCUUCGUUUUCUCCACGUGCUCGUCUUCUCUUCCCUCCUAUCUUUCUCUCUCUCUCAUAUAAUCUCUCUCUCUCUCCUCUUUAUUUCUCUCCUAGGCUGAUCCUAACUCUCACUCUAGCAACUCUCUCUUUUAAAUUUUUCUAUCAUCUCAUAUAUCUCUCUUUAUUCUCCCUCCUCUCUCUCUCUCUCUCUCUCUCUCUCUCUCUCUCUCUCAUAUAUUAUAAGAUUUGCAUCUCUCCUCUUUUCUCUCUCCUAGGUAAUUAUUAAACUCUCUCACUCCCACAACUCUCUCUCUUAGAAUCUCACAAAUUUUUUUUAAAAUGUUUAUAAUUUUUUCUCUCUAUCAAAACAACAAAAUUCAAAAGCACAUAAUUCUAAAAUAUUAAAAAUUUAAAAAUAACAAAAAGAAGGUUGAAAAUGUUAUUUCAAAAUGACCGAUUGUUUUUUUUUUUUGAGAGAUAUAGAUAGCAUGCUAUUCGUUUCGUUUAUUUUAUUUAAAAAUAAACUUAGCUGGAAAUGUAAAUCAACUAGGAUUCGAACUUGGGACUUUGGGUAUCAACUACUAAGCUCUUUGCCACUUGUGCUAAAAACGGUCGAUCAAAAUGACUGAUUGUUGAGAGAUGUUUAUACAUAUUUACUUCACGCAUAAUCUCCUAAUAUAGAGUUACCGAUUGUUAUGAUACAGAAUUGAUUUGAAAAAAUAAUUUUAACAUUUUUUGUUAUAUGAAAUAUUCACAUAAGUACAAAUUAAAUGCAUUAUAUUUAAUUUUUUUUAUAAUAUAUAGAUAUAAAAAUAGUCUGAUGAGUAUUAUGAUUGUGUUUCUUUAGGUAUAAUUUUUUCAAUCUUCAAUUCUUAAUAAUUAUAUAUUAUAUAGAGUCCGGCUACUAUACUAUCGAUAGUACCAAAUGCUUAGUGCUAUUUUUUUCGCCGUAAGAUCUAUCCCUUUGACCACUUUCGUCCGUUAGAUCAUACUAUUCAGCCAACCACCCGCUCAAUCCUAGAGGAUCACUAUCAUCCUAACCGCACAUAUCUUCAUUCAAGAGCCGAAAAACUGAUAGCACUAAGAACUUGGUACUAUUAAUAACAUAGUAACCUAAUUCAUAUAUAUAUAUAUAGUGCGGCUAGUAUGCUUAUGGAAGCACAUAGGCCUCCGUGCUUCUAAGUUGUUUUCGAUGUUGGGACAUUCGAAUCGACGAUCGGCUCCGUUAGACUUGAUUUAGAGUAUUUGAAGUACCUAGAAAAUAAAUUUUGCGAUUUUUCGAUAUCAUUUGCCUAGUGAUCGAAGAGGCUCAAAAUCAACGGCUGAAAAUAAAAAUCUCACAAAAUGUGAUGAUAUGACAUUAAAAAUUUAGAUCAAAGAUAUUGAUCUUAUUUUAUAUAGUAUAAAAAAUUUUCUAUCAAAAUUUCACGUAAUUUGGAUAUUUCUACACCGUUAAACUUGCAACCGGCUCACCACGGCCAUUAAAAUUAUUGAUUUUGAGCCCAUUCGAUCACUAGGCAAAUGAUAUCGAAAAAUCGCAAAAUUUAUUUUCUAAGUACUUCAAAUACUCUAGAUCAACUCUAACGGAGCCGAUCGUCGAUUCGAAAGUCCCAACAUCGAAAACAACUUGGAAGCCUCCGUGCUUCCAUAAGCAUACCAGCCAAACUCUAUAUAUAUAUAUAUAUAGAGAGAGAGAGAGAGAGAGAGAGAGUGAGUGGGCCCACAUCAUCCUAACUUUAUAUUUCUUCAUCCAAGAGCCGAAAAUCUAAUAGCACAAACAACCUGGUGCUAUUGAUUUUUUAGCCAUUGGAUUGAGAAAUGAAUGGUUAGGAUGAUGUGGGCCCCCUAGGGUUAAGUAAGUGGUUGGUUGAAUAGUAUAAUCUAACGGGUAAAAAUAAUUAUAGGAUUAAAUUUAACGGUAGAAAACUCGAUAGCACCAAAUCUUUGGUGCUAUCGAUAGUACCCCAGCCGGACUAUAGAUAUAUAUAUAUAUAUAUAUAUAUAUAAUAAUAAUAAUAACUAUUUGCUGCGAAGCAUGGUCCUAUACUAGUUCUAGAUAAUGCUUGCAUUGUCAGUCUUACCACAACUGCUGGCACAGAGUUAGCUGAUACUUAUUCCACUAAUACCGUUGCCCGGUAAGAUUUGCGGAAUUAUGUUCCACACAUUAAAUGGUAUGCAUGUAACACUUGCUUUACUAGAUUUUCUCCAUUUUAGGACCAAAGAAAAACCAAAAAACUAUCUUAGUUCUCUUUGUUGCAGUGAUUAGUAAAUGUAUAAGAUUAGCACAACCUCGCAUUUUGAUUAAUAGAGGAGCCCAAGAACAAAUGGAUUUUAAUUGAUUUUAAAAGAGUUUCUAAGUUGCAUCGAAAGAAAUGAAACAAUAUAUAUCACCUUAUAAAAAGAAAUAAAAAAAGUGGUUUAGUAUUUUGAAAUCUUACUAAUGGCAAGUAAAGGGUAUUAAGUGUAAAUUCUGUUUGUAGAUUGGAGGCCAUGAGACAAGCUUUCUUAAGCUCUGUUUAAGCCUGUUAAUCACAAAUGCAGUUUACUAUGAUCUUUUGAGGUAGUAGUAAAGGCCCUGUUGAGCAUUCAUGGAGCUUCUAUUAAGGGCAUGUUUGUUUCAACGUAAGUAGACUUGGGGUAGAAGUGAACUUUGAGUUGAAGUGUAGUUGGAGUAAAAAUUAGUUCACUUCUGCUGUUUGUUUCUAACUGUGGAAAUACAGUUCUGCGAGUUCUGUUGUUUGUUUGGUAAGAAGUAUAUGACGUAAAAAGUGUAACUCUCCACCUCCGGUAUACUUACCUUCAAAAUGAUAUCAUUGUCUAUUUUGUAACUUAUAGUGAAUAAUAAAUUAUAAUAAAUAAAAAUUAAUAUAAUUAUAUAUAUAUAUAUAUAUAUAAUGCAACAAAUAAAAUUCUAAAGUUAAAAAAUUAUUUAACAUUUAACAAAUUCAUUUUUCAUCAUUUUCUAAAUAUACAAAUUAAACAAAAAAUAUAUUAAAGCUUACCUAAUCAAAAUUGAUCAUAUUUUAGAAGAGAUAACCCUAACAUAUUAAUCCAUUCUUGUCUUUUUUUUACUUCACCGGAAUUGACUUUGCCCCAUAGGAGGGCGAAGUCAAGUUCAUUAUUUUAGGUGAACUGGACUUUCGGACAUAAUAAAAUUACGGUGAACCAAACAAUGGAAGUGGUCAGUUUUCACCGAAAAUCUCUUCCCCUGUCCCACUUCUACCCCACUUCCCUCGAAACAAACAGGCCCUAAGCGUUGUUCGAGUAAAAGUGCUCGGAAAAACUGUAUCAGCUAUUUUCAGUAAAAUGUUCCGAAAAACGAAAAUCUUUUGCACACCUCUUGUAGGGUAGAAAUUUUGUUGCUAGGGUUUGGUUCCCGCUUACUUCGGCGGUCGGGAUUACCUCUUCUCAUGCAUUCUUCUCUGGCAGUGGAGCUGAAAAUGCUCUCACGAAGCAGGACCAGUGUCGAUUGCUCGGCCGGUCACUAUACGACUAUGCGGCAUCAGGGAUGUCAAACGGCAAAAAAUCAGCUUACGAAAGACCAUGGCGACAGAAACAAAUUCAAUUUAUUACAUGAGUGAAUGAAUAGAGAAACAUAGUCAAUUUUUAGCGAUCGACUCGGAUUCACAUGAAAUGAAGAGUUUAACAGAGAACAGGGCUUACGAUGUAUCACAACUCAAAGGUACAAGACAGUGACCCUACCUUCUUCUGUUGAAGCACUGGUUAAAAGACACAUCUACAAUGUAUGCAUAUAACGUUCCGGGACUAGAGACCAUGAUAUGUAGUUUUAUGACUCCGCUUCGACGAAUAAGCUUGCUUGCGGAUGCAAACCUGCUUCUUUUAAUGUGAGAGAGUGCUUUUCCGGACCGUAGGAUACACGCGGGAAAUUCGAAACAAGGCUGUAUUUCUCGGCUUGUAAGCAGUCCAAGGAAUCGACAUAGUCAUAGAGCGAACUGAUGGUAGCUGAGCUGUGAAACCUCCUCUCUUUGCGCUCUCCGGUCGGAAAACGGAUCAGCACCUACAAAGAUAGCAAUAUUUACAUUAAAAAGUCAUCACCGAAGAUGAUUUUACUGUUCUAAUAUUAGAGCUGUUUAUGUAUAUACCACGUAGAAUUUUUUUUAUUUGCAUAUAAAUGUUUCAGAAACUUAAUUCCUCAGAUACUAACCAUUCUACUUACAAGAGUGCCUGUCAUUGAAGUCUUUUUCUAAUAAAAAAACUCACUUCCCAAGUUUCUGACUUUAUUCUCGCAAUUAUUGGAUGAGUUUGCAACUUAAGAUGUGGUUAUUUUCAUAAGAAACUGCAUAAUCAAUAGGUAGCUUCUGUAGACACUACUUGUGAAAGUAUGUAAGGAAAAUAACAUAGAUACCGCAACACAAACAGUUGCACAAAAAAUAGCAUAUAUGCACUUUGCAUAUAGGUUCAACAAAUAAGUUGACCUCAAGACUAGCUCUAUCAGUUUAUAAUUUAAAAGAACGAAAGGAGCAAUAAAGAAACUGUGAGUAAGAAGGGGUUUAUAUAUGACCUCUCCAUACUACAUAGAAGUUCUUAUCUGACUGGAAUGCCAACAAGGACGCUAUGUUGGACGCUAAUAGCAUACCAAUAAAACUCUGCAGUGAUAGGCUGCAAUUUCAUGGAACUUUUAUCGUCGGUGCAGAUAUGAUCAUAGAAAUCCAAUGUUUUAACCAAAAGAAAAGAAACACCUCUAAUGUAACCAAAUGAGGUCUUGACCCUUAACUGACAGUUAGGAGGAGUAUAGAGUACACAAGUAUACUAAACUAUUGGCCAAAUAGAUCAGAAUUAGUCAAAUUAACAUUUAUAAAGUAAAAAAUAAGGAGAGAUAAAGGUUGAUCUCGGAAAUAAAAAUUUUGGAAUUUGAAAACAGAAGGAAAACAUACUUGCGUAACAUCAGGCCCUUUCUCAGGUUCAGCUCCAAGUGCCAUUGCUUUCUCUUGCCGCCUUCUUGCAAUGGCAGCUUCCUUUUCAGCAGCUUCAUGAGCUGCCCUCGCCAAAGCCUCUUCUUCCUCUUUACGCUUUCGUUCAGCUUCUGCAGCUUCUCUUUCCAAGCGCUCUUGUUCUUCUCUCCUUUGACGCUCUCUCGCCUAUUUCAUUUUUGCAUAGGUUGGCAAAUAAGCCAAAAGAGAAAGAAAAAAAAGAGAAAUAGUGGCACAGAUCUCUCAGAAGGUGGAUACAUAUCAUACCACCUAUGAGGUCUAUGAAAACUAUUAUGACAGUGGUGGUAGAAACACAAUUCAAAAGGUAAAGUAUAUUACACCAGGGCUUCCCAAUCUUUUAAGAAGGUUUUAGCUCGGUCCCAACCUUUCAAUUGUAACAAUUAGGUUGCUGAUCUUCACAAAGGUUUAUAAUCUCAUUCUUAUUAAGAUCCUCCGUUAGAGCCCUUGUAUGAUCGCUAUGUGGCAAGUCCAAAAAUUUUGUAUGCAGAAGUUGAUGACAAGUAUGUUGCUAUUUCUGUCUAAUAUGAUGAACGAAUGUAAAUCAAUUAUGCAUGAUUGCAAUAAAAUCCAAACAUUAGCGACCCAAUUAGAAACUAAAAGGUCAGGAAACCAAAGUAAAACAACGUGGGGACCUCUUUUGCAAUUUAACCUCAAAUUUUGCAAAUGCAAAGAAGUAAACAUACUUGAUCAGCUUCAAGUGCUGCUCUAUAUGCAGCAUCUUGCUCCUCUCUCAAACGCUGGUUAUUACGCCGCUCCUCGGCCUCUAGUCUUGCGGCUAUUAAGGAUGGAGAGUGCUCUUCAACCACCCUCUGAAGGAUUGUGAGCAUCUCUUCAGGAGAUUUAGGCCCCUCAAUCUUAAAAUGGUUAAUAUUAUCAGUCAAAGGACUAAUUAUAGACUUCAUAAUAACAAGCUACAUAUAUAACAGGAAAAUAUGCAAGAUAGACAGCUUAUAUAAAGAAUCACAAAAAGAAGAAAUGGAACGAGAAACAGAAUCCCACUCUUAACAAAUAAAGAAAAACUUUAUGUGCAAGGAUUUAACCAUGAACAAUCAUAAAUUAUAGGAAACCUGUCCGUAUCUAUAGUUGAAACAAUCCUGUUCAAACAUUGCAUAUCAACUAGCUCAAGACCCUAAUCCAAUCCAAGCCUGACCAUUUACAUGCCUAUGGGAAAGCUUAAUUUGCUCAAGAGGUGAAGCUAAUUUUUCAGAACUAAAAGGAAGAUAUUAAAUACACUAGCACAGCAGUACUAUAAAGGCAUAGUUAGUUACCAGCACAACUUUUAGCAGAAAGUGUCACUUUGUAUAUCUUACAGUAAUCUAACUGAUGGAGGAGGCCUAAAACUAAAAACCAAUAGUACGAUAAACCAAACUACAAUAAUGUCUCUUACCACCAAGUUUAUAAUUAACCAGCCAAAAAUUAUUCUUUUCCACCUUGGUAAGCCUACAGCCAACAUAUGAUGUAUUGCAAGUAAAAAAGCUUCACCUAAGCAACACCAUUAAUUGUUCCUCUAUUCAAAUUCUUUGCCUUUCAAAUAACCACCAAGGCACCAACCCUAUAUCUGAACCUUCUAUAAUGCAUAACGAUCAGACAAAAGAUUCACAAAUUUUUCAGGGGAAAUAAAUCAUGAUUAAAUGAAGUAACUCUGUUGUCUACUAUAUCCCUAUUCCUCGACUCGGCAUAACAUGGAAGACAACUCUUUCCAUCUUAAGACCCAAACCAGAACUCUCAACAACUCCAAUGCAUUUCCUUAACCUCACAAAUCAAAAGGUCAAAUAGAUCUAGGACCUGUUCAGCCUGCUAGCAGCACUCGAGAAGGUUUGUCCAAUUAAGUUGUUUGCAAAAGCCCUAAUGGAUUUUUUUCGGAACUUUUAUUUUUAAGACACAAAAGCUCAUCUCUUAUUCCUGUCAGCUAUACUCCAAACCCCUAGACUUUUUCUUGUGCCCUGCAUCUUCUACUUCUCGAUUAGAGAAACUGUUUUACAAGCAGUUAGCACUUCCCCGAAUAGCUAUUAGUUUGAGUUCCUUUUCAAAUAGCUCUACUCAAAUAACAAUUUUACAGGAGCUCCAGCAAGAACAGGCCUCAAAAUUCAUUACAUCAGAAGUUCUUAACAACAUGCUUAUGAUAAAUGUACCAGCAAUCAUUAAAGAAUUAUUAGAACUCUACCCUUACCAACAUAAAGCUAAUUUGGGAAGAGAAGAGGGGAAAAAAACAAAUAGACUACUUGUGCAAACCUGCUGAAGGAGAGCAAUCCGCUGGUUGGUAGAGGCCAUGACGACGGCGCAGAAGGGGAAUCGCGAAGCCUUGAGGCUGUUGCUCAUCUUGAAGCCCUCGGUCCUCCGUAUGCUCCCUCCCCACGCCACGAAGUUCUCGUUCACGAACGCCGCCACGACGGGCGAGCAGAGGCUCCCCGCGCAGAAGGCGGGUACGUCCGGGUGGUCCGGCGAGUGGAGGUAGACGAAGAGCAGCUUGUACUCGCGCUGCGACCGCUGGAGCGCGUCCAUGAACCCCUCCGCCACGAACCGCGGCGCCGGGGCCCCGUCGCCCGCCGCGAAGUCGCGCUCGAAGGCGGCGACGAAGUCCGCGGCCUCGGCGGCGGAGGCGGAGAGGGCGAUGAGGCGGUCGGAGUCGCCGGCGCCGGGGCGGGGGAGGGCGAGGCCGAGGAGGUUGAGGGAGCGGGAGAGGACGGCGCCUGCCAUCCAGGCGCCGAGGCCGACGGCUCCGGUGACGAGGCCGACGCCCCCGGAGACGACGUAAAAGGGGAGGGUCACGAGCUUCCACGCGAGUCCCGGAGGGGCCGGAUCAGCGGCGGCGGCGGUGGAAGUGGUGGUGGUGGCGGCGGCGGCGGCGAUGGUGGAGGUGGGAGGGGGAGGGGGAUUGGAGGAGGAGGUGAAGGAGGAGACGGCGAGCUCGAGGUCCCAGUUGUGGGCGGAGAGGAUCUCGGCGCAGAGAUCGGGGUCGUCGAGGCCCGUGAUGGCCUGGAAAUAGGCCACCUUGUCGCUUGAGCCCUCCGCCAUGGGCUAUGCUGUCGAAGAACGGUUAGGGUUAGGGUUAGGGUUAGGGUUUCGGAGAAGAAGAAGAAGAAGAAGAGGAGAGAGAGGAGAUGGUGUGUUUUUAUUGGUUAGGAUGGAUGAAAAUAAUAAUAAUAACAGAGUGGGAAGGAAUGGGAAAGGAUCUCUUUCUAGAGAAGACGCUGAAAAAGAGAAGUUGCCUCGGAAAGGGGUAAUAUGAGAGAUUUUUUUUUCCAUUUUAGGCCCCCAAAACUUUUACUUCUAUUUAUUUUGGCCCUCCUUCUUUUAUAGUAAAUUUAAUGCCUCCUCCUGAAAUUUUAUAAAUUUAUCAAAUUAGUUCAUUUAUAUUUCAACUUAAACAAAGAUUCACCAAAAAAAUAUAUAUAUAUUGUAAUUUAUAGCUUUAUAAGGAUAAUAAUGAUAUUGAUCAUUUCAAAUAAAAAUAUGCAUGAUAUUUUCUAAAUUUUGAAGGGUAUGUUUGAAAUUCCCCCUAAAUGUUAAAUUUUAGUUUGCAAUCCUUUAUUGUAUAUAUAUAUACGGAUUUAAAGAAUAUUUACAAGAGUUUAAAGAAUAUUAAGCUUAUUUUAAAUGAAUGGAAACUAAAAGAAACUUUCAUACAAUUUUGAAAUCUAUACAGAAUUUAAUCCUAGAUAAAUCAUAUGAAAAACCUCAAAUAACCCUUUCUAGUUUAAUGCAUUUGCAAUGUACUACCCUCUACUUUCAUUUGGUUUAUGAUAUAGUUGUAUAUCAUGAUUAUCAUUUUCACUUUAUUUCAUUAAUGGUGCACUAGAAAUGAUUUACAAAGCCAGCAUUUUAAGUUAUCUUUUAAUUAACUUACUCGGCAUAAUUUCUUUUUCAUGUGAUUAGAGAUAAAACUUUAAUUUUUAUUUUUUUAAAAAAAAAUCUUGUCAUUCGUUAUUUUAUUGAAUAAUAUAUUUAACCUACAAAAUAGUUUAUUUUAUUCAAGAAAAUGAACUAGAAAGUAGAAUAUAUUAUUCCAUUCUAAACAUUCAAUCACAUUUCUCGUUUAUAUUUUUUAUUUAUCAAAAACUACAACUUCUCGAUUAAAUUAAAAUAUAUUCAAAAUAAGAUAUUCAUACCUCCAAACAAGAUCUUUAACUUUGAAUCAAUCUCUACAAUCAAAUACAAGAGUCUUUGGUAGAAGUAUUAGCAGUGUGAUCUUGCUCUACUAUAUUGGCUUCAAUUUUCCUACCAACUUCAUGUGUUUUCCUUCUCAAGGAUGCAUAUAUUAACCAACCAAACCCUCAUGAGUGGUGGCCUCCAAGAAACCUUGCUUUAUGAUGCUUCAUGAAUCAAACAUAUAGGACUGGAGGUUAUGCAUCCAAAUAGUCUCGACAUUCUUACGUGCAUGACAGAUAUCAAAGACGCGCAGAAUCGGUAAAUGAAGUAGAAAUAAAUAUUGACCCCAUUGGAUUUCCGAACAUCUUACUGAUCGAGAAGAUCGAUUUGGUAGGAAACAACACAAAAAUAGUCAUCAACAUUGAUCAUCUUGGCUACUGAGCUAUCCCAACUAUGUCACUUCGUUUUCUCAUAUGUGAGCUCAAUGUAUCCAAAAUAGAAUAGAUUUCAUCUACUUGGUUAUGUGAUUUAUCACCUGCAAGAAACACAUGAACUUUGUCUCUUACCUCAAUCCAACUGCAUCCUGGGCUCUUACGCAUUCCUUUAUCCUUAAUAGUACGCCUUGUUCUCACCAGUUCAUCCCUUUUCCCGGCUAUAGCAUAUAAGUUUGCCAGCAAAACAUAGUUAGCUACAUUAUCUCCUUCCAAUUCGAUGAGCCGAUUCGCCACGAUUUCUCCCAAUUCUGUAUUGCAAUGAGUAACGCAUCCACUUAAAAGCGAGCCCCACACCACGGAAUCGGGCUUCAUUGGCAUGUUCUGAAUAAGAUCAUAAGCUUCGUUUAGCCGCCCGGAACGGCUGUAAAGAUCGACCAUGCAAGUAUAAUGUUUGAGAUCGGGCUUUAUGCCGUAAAAUUUCAUUAAAUUGAAGUAAAAUUGGCCUUCCUCAACUACACCACCGUGAACGCAUGAAGAUAAAACAGAUAAAAAGGUGAUCGCAUCAGGUUUAAUUCUAUUCUCAAUCAAUUGAUUAAAUAGUGAGAGGGUUUCCUCCCGGAGCCCAUGCAUCGAAUAACCCACGAGCAUAGUAUUGUAUGAUACCAAAUUGUGCCGCAGAAUCCUAUCAAAUGUGAAAAUUCCCAAUUUUAUAACCCCACAUUUGCUGUACAAAUCCACAAGUGCCGAACCGAUAUGGACAUCUGAGUCAUACCCACAUCUGAUUGAAUAAGCAUGAACUUGCUUCCCUCGAUCGAGAGAUACCGAUCUUGAACAAAUCGGUAUUAUCAUUCCUAUGGUAUAAAUAUCAGGUCUCAAAUUUUCACUCAGCAACUCACCAAAGAUUUGCAAACCAAAUUCAUUCUGACCAUUCUCCAUACAACCUGCAAUCAAUCCAUUCCACGUGUAGAUGUUCGGAUCGAACCCACUCUCUCUCAUCAUAGAAAGAAGCUCUAGAGAAUAAUUCAAGUUUCCAGCUUGAGCAUACGCAGAUAUCAAUACGUUCCACGUAACUGUGUUCUUAUCAACAAUGCAAUCAAAGGCCAAAUUCGCACCAGAUAAAUCAUUGCACUGAGAGUACAUUUCCACAAGUGCAGCCCCCACAAAAGGAUUUACAUGAAGGCCUCUCGCUAUUGCGUAUGAGUGGAUCUCCUUUCCCUGUCUUAAUGCACCUAAUGCGGCACAAGCCGCCAAAAUGCUUCCCAAAUUAAAGGAAUCAGCUUCGAUCCCUUCCACCAUCUGCAUGUAUCUAAACAUGUUUAACGCUUCAUCGAACCGCUCAUUGUCAACAAGACCCGAAAUCAUCGAAUUCCAUGAAAUAUUAUCCCUCUUCACUCCAUCAAGUUCCAUACGAUCAAACAGCUCCUUAGCCAAUUCCAACUCACCAUUCUCGCAAUACCCAACAAUCAUAGUAUUAUAAGAAACCAAAUUUCUCACUGAGAAUCUCAGAAAAAGCUCUUUUGCAGUGAUCAUAUUGCCACAGCGCCUAUAAACAUCGAUCAAUCCGUUAAUUAUAUAAGAAUUGGAAGCGAGCCCAUUUCUCACAAUGUAGCCAUGAAUUUCCUUACCCACGUCGAGUAAUUCGAGUCUCCCGCAAACAGGCAAUACACUGGCCAAAGUCUGAGCAUUCGGGCUAAUGCCGGAUUUUAUCAUUUGACCUAGUAGGUCAAUGGCUUCUUCAUCGUAUUCGUUCUGAGAAAAUCCACCGAUCGCCGCACUCCAGGAAACGAGAUUAGGCUUAACAUCAGUAGACCGUCGCAUUCUCUCUAGAAACUCCAUUGCUUGAAAAACCAAUCCAUUAGAAGCACAACCGCUUAUUAUUGAGUUCCACGAAACACAAUCUCUCACCAGCAUUCUGUCAAACACCUUUGUCGCCUCUGAAACGAACCCACACUUGCCGUACAUGUCGAUUAAAGCGUUACCCACAUACAAAUUCGAACAAAAUCCCUUCUUUAUCACGAACCCAUGAAGCUCCUCCCCCAGCUCCACCGACCCGAGCCCGCCGCCGCAGGCCUUGAAGACCACCGGAAACACGAAGAACUCCAGCUCGGCUGCCUCCGCCAGCAGUGCCCGGAAGAGCAGGAGCGCUUCUCCGAAGAGCCCGCGAUCGGCAAAGGCGGUGACGAGCGCGAGCCACGCGUAGAUGGUCCGCUGGGGCAUUGCGUCGAACAGGUGGCGGGCGAGGUCGAGGCGCGAGAGCCGCGCGUACGCGGCGAGGAGCCGCGCCUCCAGGAACGCGCGGGCGCCGAAGAAGCCGCGCUUGAGGACGCGGGCGUGGAUCUGACGGGCCAGGAAGGGGCAGCCGCAGGAGUCGACAUCGGAGGCGAGGCCAUGGAGGUGGGGAGGGGGAGGCGUUUGUGCGCGGGUUUCACGUGCGAAGAGCGAGGGUUUUGAAGGGGCGGGAGAGGAGGGUGUCGGAGGAGGCUCAACGGUCGAGUGAGGAGGGGCUUUGCACGUGCGGAAAUGGCGCGGCACGUGUGGGGAGUGGAUUGGAGGGGAUAGAGUAGAGGAUGUCGUUGAGGUUGCUGCAGCCCACAUGCUUUACGAAAUGCAUGAGAUGAUUAUAGCAGUGCAUGAUGUGGAAUUUUGCUGAGGGUCUUUAUAUACAUUUCUCCCUUUUUUUUUGGUCUGUAUUCUUUUUUACACAAUCUUUUUGUGUUUUAAAAGUAAAAAAAAAUAAUAAUAAUAAGACUAGUAUUAAAAAAAAAGAAGAUACCUUUCAAAUGAAUAGAGUGAAAAUCUUAUAUUUACCUAUAGGCAUACAGGUAGCAUUGCUCAUCUUCAAAUAUUUCCAAUGAUAAUGCAAAAACUGUUAUAAAAAGAAACACAGUAUACGGAUUAAAACUCUCUUUUCUACAUUUAAUUUACGACAACAAUAACAAAAAAUGUAAUGUAAAAUUGUACAUCAAAAGCUCAAAAGAUGGAUACAACAAGAGACCUUUUCUUAAAGGAAAUACAAAGCUUUAACCACUCAAAACAUUCCUUUUGUGGCUUUGCUCUUAAAUAGGGAACCAUCUGAGAGGUGGUCUACGAGUCCCGCACCAGAUUAUGCGGUCAAAUGAAUCACAAGGUCCAUGUGCAAAGCCAUUAACAUCUAUGAAUUUGGAUCAACUUAGUUGUUUGAAGUGGUUCAGUCGUUAAGCUUGCACACUGAUAUAAAUUUCUGAACCGCGUUAUGGUACUGGGUUCCCUGCAUGAUGUCAAUAAGAAGUUGAUGUGUGUUAAAAAGCUAUCGAUAUUUCUAAAAGAAUAGGGCUAGAUUGCUGAUUCAGUAAGACACUUCGGCGACUUUUCCUAUGCCAUGCGCUUGUAUAGUUCAUUAAAACAAUUUACUAAAAUCUUGGCCUGUAGUCAUUUUUAGACAGCAUGAACUGUCGUUGGGAAGUACAUAAUGCAAUUAGACGAUUUAAAGAACCGACGAAUGGAUUCAAGAAAAGGAGUGAUAAUAACUAUGAAAAAAAUAAUAAUUAGGAGUACCUCCCAGUAAAGUUGGCUGCAAUCGGUACAUUUCCAGAACUCCAAAUUUCGGUUAAAGAGACAUGGAGGGAUGACUUGGAACCCUUUCGAAGCUUCAAUAGCUUCCUCGAUAGUCAAGGGCUUCUGAAUGAAGUUCCCAUUGCAUUUCGUACAUCUCGACAUGAGUUGGUCUUCUGAGAUCUUCAACUGGAAGGUCUCAAUCACCUGAAACAGCUAAACCAGAUUAAACAGGCUUCAUGAAAACAUCGACUUCUUACCUCUAAAAGAAAUGAAUAUCUUAAACAGCUACGAAGGCUUUACUUUUGUGCAGGUGUGGGUGUGUUUGUGUGGCUGUGGGCUUUUUACUUCAAAUGGAAAUGCAUAUCUUAACAACUAUUAAGGCCUUGCAUGUGUGUGUGUGCGUGCACUUGAAUUUGUUCUGGUGCAAUACUUUCCGAGCCAAAGUUUAAACAAUAUAUUAGCCACCAGAUCAAAGGAAAACUUGCGGUUUACUAAUGAGAGAUCUAACAUUUCUUUGAUAUCCCUUCAAGUAUAACAAAGGAUAUCGAGGUUAAAAAGCAAACUAAUGAAGGUCAAAAUACAGUUCAGAAACUGCCCACCAGCGUACCUCAACUAGCUGGUCAUUCUUGAGAAGACUCUUUAUUUUAUAUACUUGAUUCCCUAUCAAAUACUGAUAUUUCAAGAGCUUGACAUCUCGUGUUAGGAGUACCCUUUUCUCCUUGUAUGCUUGAUUAAGUAACUGCCUACGAAUAACCAAACAAAAUUCAGCAAUGAAUAAGAAGCACUUUUUAGUUUUAUCAAAGAAAAUUGUGAGUCAACAGAUAAGCAAGCAAAUUGUUCUUGCUUGUAUAGUGCAAACCUUGGUUCAGGUUUUUUCGAAGAUGGAAUAGCAGCAUCAAUUCCGACACAUCGCAAAUGCUUGGCUAGACCUUCCACCUGAGAUAUCACUUUAAAUUAUAACGGCAAUUUAACUUAACAAAGAUUUGUACAUAGUACAGAUUUCAAAUACUCCAUCAAAUGGUAACUCAACAAAAACAUGGCAGCUAAUUGGUAUUUAAGUUAAUGUAGGAGCAUAUGAACAAAAAACUCUCACCAUUACAUCACACAAAAACUUUGGGCAUCCGUCCCCACCAACAAAAGGAUCCCAUGGUGGAGGGCCCUGCCAGUCACUGUUGUCGAGUAGUUGCUCUUUGGAUUUUAUAUUUGUGUGCAACUGCUCUUUUCCUCUUCGUCUUGAGGGUCUAGGUUUCUUAUCUGAAUCUUUCAAUACAAUCAUCUCACCAUACUUCCUGAUAACGUGUGUAAUGCAAUCUCCGUCAAAAGCGUAUGAGGUGGGCAGUGUCAUAGAAUGGAUUGAAAGAUUCCCAUCAGAUUCAAAAGAAUCUAUGGUGUCUAUACCAUUUUCAAAAAUAUUUGAUAAUUUUGAUUCCUCGAUGGUUUUAUCGAGUUUAGCAGCUAAAGUGGAUGCAUUUCCUCUAGGGCUGGCUAGAUAUUUACCUGCAAUAAUCAUUAAAAAGUUAUUUUGGGAAACAGAAGGAAAUGAAUCUACAAAUUAACAUGCAUUUGUAUGAUGAAAUAUGAUGACGAUGAGAGUUGAAUUGGAGAAUAUUUGAUUCUGAAUAAUUUAUCUUUCAGUAGUUUCACUAGACUUAAAAAGAAGUCCAUAAAACUUGAUGAAAUCAGUAAAAAAUUAUGUACAUUUGUCAGAUCUAAGUAUUCAAAACUUCAUUUGUACAAUUGCUUGACGAAAUUUGAUAAAGAAAAGUUCAUUUUAGUGAUACUACAUUUUCCCAGAAUUUUUCAUAAAAUUUGAUGAGUUCACAAGCUUGACGAGUUUAAUGACAAAUAACAUGUCAGUAAAAUCUUUGUUCAUGCAUCUGCAUAGGACAAAUGGGGUUAAUUUUGAGAGGUUUUUGUUUUUCCUAACUUUCAAGCCUCAAUUAAUCAAAUUCCAUGUAAUAUUGUCACUUGUUCACUAUAAACAUGGAAAAUGGCAAAAACAUAACAGAGUAAUUUGCAAAUAUCCUCCUACCUACUGGAAGUCAUAUAAGAAACUAUAAUGAUAAUAUCAAAAAAUUAAUGAACAGAAAUAUCAUAUUACUAUUACAUUAUCAGUUAGCAGACUUGUCUAAUUGUUAGAACAAGUUCAAAAAAUUACGAAGCUAGAAAGAGAAGGUAUGUUAGGAAAUUACAGGAAGGUUGAUGGAGAUAUAUACACAACAAAGAAAAAGUUCCAAACUUCCAGCAAAUAUACCGUCAGUGAACACUUUUUGUUCAAAGAGAGAAAAUAUUUCGAGCAAGUAAUAUGCAUCAGCUGCAGCAUAGAGUAUCUGCUCUUCGCUUAAAGGCCGGCAUGACCAGUCACUACAUUGGAGUUCCUGCACCAAAAUAAAUAUGUAAGGAAAAACCAUUGCAUUCAAUAGUCCUUACUACAUUAUAUCGUCAUUUCUACGGCCGAUGCUGCAAUUAUGAUAGAUUGAUAAGAAUAACUGUCACAAUAACUCAGAUAUGAAGCUUAUUUGAAUAGAUCUGCAAUUUAUUGAGCAGACGGAAUUUUUUUUUCUUUAUCUGAAAAAAGCUCUGAAAGACACAAUAGAAAAUUCUAGCUUAUAAUGAGAUGAAAAUGUAAGAAUAGGGGAAAACAAAUUCAACAUACAACGGUCUAUCGGAGUACAUGACAAAAAGACACACGAUACACAGAUAGAUAAACAAUAGAGCAGGGAUAAAUAACAUGAGAUUCAUUUUCUUAGAACAUAUAAGAUCUUGAAUUCUUGAUACAAUAGAGAUAGAAAGAGUAAUGGGAUCAAAACCAGAACCUUAGAUAGAGAAAUGCCCAACAGUUCCGCACAAACAGUUGCCAAGCUUUUAGUCUCCUUUGGAAGCUUUCUUCCCAUAUUUUGACUAUUUAGAUGAUGGUAAAUGGUGGUAACAUCCAGGAAGGGCUCCACCUGAUAAAUGCAUCACACACACACAUCACACACACACACACACACACACACACACACNAGAUGAUGGUAAAUGGUGGUAACAUCCAGGAAGGGCUCCACCUGAUAAAUGCAUCACACACACACAUCACACACACACAAAAAAAAAAAAAAAAAAAAAAAAAAAAUCAUCUCUAAAGCCAUUAAUUUGUGGAAACUGUAAAGAAGAAUGAAAGAUUACGGCACUUUUUUGUCUUCUAAUUUCAGCAUUGCAGUGAUACAACUAUUUUAUCAAAAAAGAAAAAUAAACAUACAUGGACUUAAUUCAAACUCAUGUGCACACUAACUGCAAAACACUAGUAACGAACAAUUUUGUGUAAAAUAAUGAUACAUUUUUAUACUUGACACAAACAGCAAUUGCAAACUACAAUUAUCAAUUCAUGUGAAAAAAAUUAGGUAGAUUACAGACUUCUAACAAGCACUGUAAUCUGCAAUCACCUUUGUUUCAAAUAAGCCACUGAUCUUUAAUUUGUUUCAACUAGUGUUUUAUUUUAAUUAGACCGCUACAUCAAACUUCAUUCGAUUUUUUCUCUUAUAAAAAUAGAUGGUGUGAUAACUAAUUCAGUGGCCAACAUAUGAACAAAGGGCAGGGCAAUGACUCGUUGGUUAAGUAUCUCACAACUACUACUAUAGUUCAAUCAACACAUCAGCACUAAAAUAUGAUUCGACAGUUAAAUCAGUAGUCCCAUCAUUUUCAUCAUAUUAUCAUCUCCAAGAGAUGAUACAGCAGCUAAAUCAACCAACACCAAAUCUCCGUGCUCUCAUUAGAAAACUAUAAUAAAAUUAAAAAAGGGGAAGUUUUGUGACAUAAAUGAAAUAUUUCUAAGAUCAGUAAUGGAUAAUUCACCCUAUCAAAUCCAGGAUCGCAACCAUGGGAGGAGAAGGUGGAGGAGAGGUAGACGAGGUCCUGCUUGAACCGGAACCCUAGCUUGAGCACCUCCGGCGACUCGAACAGCUCCCUCAGGGGUUCCCACAGCGCCUCCGCCGCCACCGCGAGCAGGUCCACGAUGAACACCGGCGACGACGAUCCCCCUCCUCCACCUUCUCCGGCGACGGCGCGGCACGCGAUCUGGAGCAGGGUGACGGGAGGGAACAACGAGGAGGAGGACGAGGGCGAGGGAUCCGCGGAGGAGGAGGAGGAGGGGCGGGAGCGGCGGGGCUUCCACUCGGCGUCGAGGGCGACGGCGCGGGAGCGGCGGAGGGUGCGGCGGAGGAGGGCGAACUCCGGCGAGGCGGCGGAGGCCACCAUGUGGAUCUCGAAGGGAUGAGGAGGCGAGGGCGCAUCCCUGGCCAUGGCCAUGGCGAUGGCGAUGGUGGGGGAAAAUGGUUUUAGGGUUUCGGAUUUGAUUUGUUUCGGAUUUUGAAUACAAUAAAUUAAAAAAAUGUGUUUAAGGAGUCGGCAAUUGGCGGGGGAAAGGAUGUGGACGAGUCGGCGGUUGACGAGAUGGGCGCUAAAGAAAGAAAGCAAAUAACUCUCUAUAAUUUGGUGUAGGUGAAUGGAAGCCGAAACCAAAUCCGCAAUAAUUCAAUACAUAAAACAUUUAUGGUAUUUUUCAUACGCAGAUUAAAUAAUAUAUUUAAUCUUUUCAAAUUUAAAAUUUAAGUUGACAUGUUUUAAAAUUUAUGGAACCUAAAUUGUGCCAUACAAAACACAGACUCCCCAGAUAAAAAAAUUGUUUCAUAAAAGGAGGAAUUAUAAGAUUAGAAAAAAAAAAAAGAAGGAAAAACUCNUUUUUUUCCCCUUUGUUAUUCAUUUAUUUGAACUGUUUCCCUUCAUUUUGUGCAGUCAAGAGUUGUACAAUGUGCAGUUGGUGAACGGUCCUAUCAUAUUUUUAUCAGCUAUGUGCUGGUGCUACCUUGCCUCUCAGAGGUACAAAAUAUAAAUUUCUAACUUUUGCCUUCCUAUGGUUGUUACUUCUAUUGUCUAGAUCAAAUCAUUUGACAUCACUAACUCUUGAUGUGAGCUUAACUUCUCCAGUUUGUAAGUUCCUCUUUUUUUUUCUCACCUGCAUCUUAAGUACGAAUUAGGAAAUGUCAUUGUUAAGGCACCUCAAUUCUUUUGUUCUUUGAUAGUCAUGUCUGCAAUUUGUGUUCUGUUGUUAUGAUUUUCUAGCGACCUCUUAAAUUAGUGUUUCUGUUUCUUGUAAAACAGAGACUAAAUUUGAGGAAUGCUGAUGAAUAUAAAUAUCUGAAGCAGAGCAGUUGCUAUUCAGUAACUGGUGUUAAUGAUUCUACAAUGUUUCACACUGUGAUGGUAUAUCCGUAAUUGCCUCAGAAAAUUGUGUUUUUAUUUUAUGUAUUAUGCACUUUCAUACUAAUUUUUUUUUCUCCAGGAAGCAAUGGAUGUUGUCCAUAUCAGCAAAGAAGAUCAAGAAAAUGUAUUUGCAAUGCUUGCCGCAGUUCUAUGGUUGGGAAACAUUUCCUUUACAGUGAUUGACAAUGAAAACCAUGUUGAAGUUGUUGCUGAUGAAGGUAAACAUUUUAGACUUGCCAUGAUCAAUCUGUGAGAUCAGAUAUUAUAAAUCUAUGAUCUUUGUUACAUUAUUAAUGCUUUUUUCCUUCUUUCAAAAGACUAGAAUGAGGCCCAGUUUGGGCAUACCCAAGCCCAAGCAAAACUGAAUAGGUAAGUUUUAGUUUUGGGUUAUACUACUAAAGCGUAGCCUUGCAAUGGAGAAAUCCGGGCUUUAGGGCUUGGACCGUUCUACAGCUUAAUUAUUAAAUUCUCUAGAGGACCUAUGCUUUAGGGAUUGGCCUGAGUUUAAGAGCUCCUUGAAAUUCCAUACCUUGAUUUUUCUCUUUCUUUGGCUUUCUUUUCUUGUAGUAAGAAAAUACUUGUGUAAUUCCAUACCUUGAUUUUACCGUAUAUUAUAAAAAAUAAUACUGUGCUGCUAUUUGAUUUCUACUUCUCUUUUCUACGGAGCACAAUGGAGCUGACCAGGGCAAUCUAUUUGAUUUCUACUUGUUAGGUACCGUCAUGUUUAAGUCCACUUAUUGUGUUUAACGGCUUAUUUGGAUGAUCAUCCAGAGAGCAGUAGACUUAUUAUUUGUCAUAAUCAAAUCAGUUUAUCAUUGUAAUCCGCUUGACAUACUUAAAACUAAAUCGAAUCUCCUAUAUAUGACUUUUUUUAAAGAAAAAAAUUUCUCACGUAUUUUUAGUUUUGUAGGAGAUACAAGGUUGGUCCUUGAGUGUUUAGCUGUAAUUGGCAAAUAUUUUUUUUUACUUUUAGUUAGUUUUGUAGUUUUUUUUUUGAAACAAAUUUAAUCUCGUAUUUGGUGAACUAUUUGAAUAGAUAGGCUCUUCCCCGAAUAUUAUUCGAGUCUAGUCUUCUUAUCUGCUCUUAGUUAGAAAAGUUUUUUAAUGAUUUAUUUUGAAAUAUAAGUCACUUUUAUGUAAGAGCUGUUCUAGUAGAUAGUGAUGCAUGGAAUUGCCAAUUUAAUUAAUCCUAAUCCAACUGNGAAUUAUAAGAUUAGAAAAAAAAAAAAGAAGGAAAAACUCUAAUACAAGGGGUUAGAUAGGUUCACAUUUAUUUUAUUAUCUCACAUACAAAUAAACAACACCACACUCUUUUAAACAACAAAAGGAAACAAACUACAAUUUGCAUCAUUGUACUAUUUCAAUAUUGCAACUUAAUUUGCAAACUUCUAACUCGAACAAAUUUAUAAUUCUCUAGCUUUUUCGUAAAAUCACAAUUUAGAAUAGCGUUCUAAGACGGAAGUAUUUAAGUAAAGAGUUCAGAGACUAAGUUGCAACAUAAAAAAUAGUACAAGAACUGUUCGAUACAAUUUAUACCAAUCUAUGUAUUCUAGUAGUCUUCUGGGGACAAUGGCUGGCGAGUGAGCUGCGAUGGCGCCGUGUCGGCGGCCAGAAUCACGAGAAACUCGUAGACGAGCCCGGCAAGGGCUGCGCCGACGAACGGGCCGACCCAGUAGAUCCAGUGGUGCCACCACCGCCACCCGACGAGCGCCGGCCCGAACGCCCGUGCCAGGUUCAUGGCGGCACCGUCAAAGGGCCCGCCGGCCAGGAUGUUGGCGCCGACCAUGAAGCCGAUCGCCAGCGGCGCGACGGUGGCGAUGUGGCCGCGCUUCGGGUCGAUGGCGGUGGCGUAGACCGUGUAGACCAGCCCGAACGUCAUGACGACCUCGAGGAGCACCGCGUGCCACUCGCCGACCCCCGACGCCACCGAAAAGCCCAGCGGCCGCUGUAAUAUAUUACAAAAAUAUAUAUAGAUAUGCAAUGAAGACUGACAACAAUUCAAAACUAGAGCAAUGCUAGUACUACAACUACUUUUUCGCUAUAAUUUUACAACCUUUUAGUUUAUACUAAAAUUUUUUUUAAAAAAAUUUGAGAAUAGGAUUAAUAGUUUGAUCGUAGGGAAAAACAGACAGAACUCUUUCGAACUACGUCCGAACUACAGACCAUUUCGAAUUGGCUAUCUAAACUUUUAAAUAGUAAAAUUAAUCAAAAUUUUAAAAUAUUAAAUAUCCAAAUCUAGGUGGUCGUAGUUCAAAAAAAAAUUGAUUUAUUUUUAUCUUAAUAAUAAUAAUACUAUAACCUGUAUUUACUUGUAACUUAGCAUUUGUGCCCAAUUUAUUAUUUCAAUUUGGUCCUCAAUAUGAGAACAUCGAAUCCAUCGUUCAUGAUCAUCAUGCAUUGUAAAACUAAAAAAUCUUAAAGCAAGAUGAAUGGUGGAUUUGUCCCUAGCUCUAACUAUUCUACAUAUAUACGGUUUAAACUCCAAAGAAACCAAUCAUACAAUUAUGCUUUUUGGUAGAUUUUAUAGAGCGUGCAAAUUAAACAGUAGUUGAAAAUUGAUCAAUUUAUUACCAUGCCUCCGGUUGUUAUCCUUAAGAGGAGGGAGGCGACGACGGCGCCGAGGAGCUGCGCAGCCCAGUACAGGAGGGCGUCGACGAGCACUACACCAAAAUUGCCCUUUAGCGGUAAUUUAAUAGCGGCCAUUAUUGGACAGCCGUUAAUACUUUUUAUCAAUAUGUUUUAGCGGCAAUUAUUUUAAAUAGCCGUUAAUUUUAUAUUAAAUAUAUUUAUUUGACCACUAAUAUAAUCCUAACCCUAAGUCUAAUUCGAACCAAAACAAACCGAAGCACGCCUCCCACCCUAACCCUGUUCGCUCCCCACCCCAUUCGCGCCCCACGCGGAGCUCGACCUCGAUCGAGCUCUCCUCUCUCAUCCCUCUCUCAUCCCUCGAUCGACCUCGAUCGAGCUCUCCUUCACCUCUCCUCUCUCAUCCCUCUCCUUCACCUCUCUGAGCUCUCCUCCUAAAUCGCCGUCGACCUCGCGUGCACCGGCGCAACGUCGCCGUCGACCAUCUCGAUCGAGCGCAGCCACAUCGCCGGGUUCAUCGGCACCCACACCGUGCUCCAGCUCCUCAACGAGGGUUUUAGCGUCCACAUCAUCGACAACCUCGACAACUCCAUCGCCAAGGCCGUGGAUCGGGUUAGGUCUCUCGUGGGACCUGAGCGAUCGCGCAAUCUCCAUUUGUAGGUAGUGAGCAUUUUGUACGAGGGUUUUUCUUCGUAAUUUUUAUGAUUCUCUUCAUAUUUUCUUAAUUUUUGAGAUAAUGCGUUGUGCGUGUUGAGAUUAUGGAAGCAAUAAGCAAUCAAAAGUUCUAUAUUUUCAGCUACGGAACUGAAUGUGCUGUCAUACUUAUCAAAGAGUUUGGUUGAUUUCUUCUUGGGCAUAAUAAGUUUCAUUGCAUUUCUUUUAGCCCAAUUUCUUACGUUAUAUACGAUACAUUGUGAAUUUAACUUUUGAUUUUGGUAAACUUAAGUUGUCAUUGAUAUCUGUCGCCACCCUAAUUCCACUGUUAUUCAGCAAGCAACGAAGCCUAUUGUUAUGAAUGCUAAGAAAGCUUGUUCACUACAUGGAGAAAUUCACAUUUUUCUGUUCCGUUGCCGUCUUAUAUAGCUUUUGCUGAAGUUAUAAAUUGCAUCUCCCUCGACUUCAACUGCAUUUCUAUCUCUUUAAAAAACUUCACACCUUUUAUCACGUUAUGACUUAAUUUGUCAGAAUGCAAAGCUCUGACUCCUUUUAUGGUGUUGCAUCUGAUUCCUUUUUAUGGGGGUUUUAUUUUCCGCGGACAUGUGAGUUUUCAAAAACUAUUUCUUACGGCACCAUUCUUUGGAACUCUUUUGCUCUGUCCUAUUUGAAGUCAAACAUCACUAUCUUGCCAUCCACAGGUUCCUGUUUCUCUAAUUUGCUCGAUUGAGUGUUUAGAUUUCACCUUAUUAUUCAAAGGUCAACUCUCUUCUCUCUUCCAUUAGGUUCUUUUCAUAUAUAGAUAUAUAUCUAGAGAGAGAGAUAGUGUGUGUGUCUUAGGNUUGCAUACUAUUUAGCGGCAUUUAUAAUAGUCGUUAUUGUAUAAUAUUUAGCGGCAUUUAUUUAGAUUUUUACCGACCGCCGGAAUAAAUGCCGCUAAAACUUUUAGCGACCCUGCUAAUAGCGGCAAUUGUUAAAAUUGCCACAAAAUAUUUUAGCGGCAAUUGUAAUUGCCGCUAAUUUAAAAAAUAAUUGCCGCUAAAAAGUAAUUUUGUUGUAGUGGAGGGAGAUGCGGCCGCCAACGAGGGCACCGAAGGUGACGGCCGGGUUGACGUGGCCGCCUGAGAUGUUGAUGGCAACCGCCACGGCGACGAACAACGCUAGCGCAUGCGCGAUAGCCACCACCGCCAGCCCGCCGGCCGUAGACGUGUCUCUGUACAGCUUCUCUACAACCAACAUACAACCUUACAAACUGUUAAAUUAUACGAAACAAUGAUAAUUUUUAAAAAACUUAAGCUAUUAUAAAACAGUAUUCAUAAUAUUUAAAUUCAACACUUUUUCUAUCAUACAUGAGUUCAAGACUUAGGCUCAAGACGUAAACAAAUUAAACCGGAGAAAACUAAAUAACUGGACGAAACUUACAUUUUCUUUCUGCUCUGACACUGUGUUAAACUAUAUAAAAAAUCGUUUUUUUCUAAUAGCUUAACACAAAUCAUACUUAACUAAUUCCAUAUUUAUAGCUUGAUGCCAAUCUUUACAGCAACCUUUGCUAAUCCUCAUUUUAUUUUUUUUCAUAUUUUUCUAUAUCAAUGUUAUCAAAGUUAAUCCUAAACAAAUUAAACCUCUAUUAAUCCUUAAUCAAAAGAGUUUAAAUUUUAUCCUUGUUAUAUUACUUCUGCACUCUGAUUUAAUAUAGACAAAUAAUCUUAGACUAUUUCUGAAUUAUUAUUUUGAUUAUUAUUUUAUCUCAUUUGUAUCACAAAUUCCACAAGCUACAUAUAUUAGGAGACGCUUUAACCCCAUUAGGAUAUCCUUGCAUUUAGUACUAAUUAACAUGAAAUUUUUUUAAGAAAAAUUGACUAAUUUUAUUGGCUAAUCAAGUCUCAAAUCUUUUGAAAUUGUGGAUAACAAUGCAUGCAUGCAUGCAUGCUUGGUGCAAAAGUUGUAGCAUGCAUGCACGGGGCGUGCACAUACCGAGGGCGAGGACGGAGCCCUCGGCGGCGAAGACGAAGAUGGCGGUGGCGACGAACUCGGAGAGGGCGGCGCGAAUGGCGUCCGCCCGGACGGCGUCCUCCGCCCGACCUAAAGCGAACCGGCGCGGCGGCAUCACACUCUGGAUCACUCUGUGUGUAUGUACUUCUAGUUAGCCACAAUUCUAGCUAGUUAUACAGCUGUGCACAGCGCUUUUGUUCGAUCUCUCUGCUUCCUCACUCUUUCAGUUGGGCUUCUUUAAGAAGCUGCUCAAUUUUGCUCAGUUACGUACGAGGGAGGAGGGGGGGAGAGGGGAGUGGCACGUUUAGAGAGAGGUGGUGGGAUGUGCAUGGGUGCAACCGCUUCAAGCUUGUGUUCUUAUCUCCAGGUUUAUUUUGUAUUAUUAUUUGUAAUGAAUUGAUUAUGAAAUAUUAUCUUUUAUAAUUUUUUUCUUUUUUUUUUGAGAUAGGUAGCGCGCUAUUCGUUUCGUUUAUUUCAUUGAAAAAUAAACUUAGCUAAAAAUAUGAAUCAACUAUUCUUCGAAAUUAAAACCUCGGAUACCAACCACCAAAUCAUUUGUCACUUGCUCUGGGAAAGAUAGGUUAUACUUUAUAAAUUGUUGAGAAAAGUUCGUUUCAUAAUAGAAGAUGACGCUAUAGCAGAAGCUUAUUCAGCAUCGAGACUCACAAAUGAUGUUUACAUUACAGCUUUGGUGAAAAGCUACGUAAAUAAUAAGCAUGUAGUGAUGUACGAUGGUGAGUGGCACCACAUUAUCUAGACUUUUCAUUAAUCACAUUUAUUUCUCAUCAAAUUUAUCCUUAUAAAAUUAUAGUAUUUCCUUAAAAAAAUUAAUUAGCUUGAGACAUCACGAUGUAACAAUCUUACUGUUGCAUAAAAGACAUAAUUAUUUUUUACGGUCCAAUUGAAAAACGGGUCCUUAACCACGUCUCACAUGACAAACAUCUCAUAUAUAGUGACCUCAGAAGAGGCUGAAUCACACCAUUAAAAUGAAACUGCAUAUAUUGGCUCAAAAAAGCAAUUUACAAAACCCGUAAUAUGUCGAUUUGUUCUUUUUCCUCUCUCAAUGGAUUUACGGAACAAAUAAAAGGGAAAGGAGGAGUUCGAUGCCUGGAACCACUUUCUGCUCUGCCUAUUAACUAAUUUUCGAUAAAAUUUGUUCGACUUGAACACUUUAUUCUUCGGAUUUCAAGUCAUCAUCACCUGAAGCAGCCAAAGAACCUUCUUCACUUUCUUCCGUUUCGGAAUCGUCGACCAUCUUCUUAAUCGACUCGACAUCGUCAAUCUCAGAAAGGGUGUGAAUUCGAAGGGUGUUCGCAUCCUCACUGUUCCAAAGUGAAAGUGAAAAAUGAAUAACAUAUGUUUGAGAGAGAGACAGAGAUGCAACUCGGUUAGUGUCGUACUCUGUUACUCCGAAAAUUUCUUUGAUUAUCAACGAGCUGUCUCGCGAGCAGAACUCCGGAAGCUGGAGUAAGAUACAAGAAGUAAGUCAAUAUGGCAAGCAAAAUAGUAUAUGCGCAUCACAACAUAAUAUGGCAUGAUUUCACUUUACUAUCCCGCGGUUUAAAAACAAAUCACUUUUCGUCCCCCGUGGUUUAUUGAUUUUCUGCAAGGGCAUGCUGUUAAAAUGCCACUAAAAAGGGUAGCAUAGUGCGGCGUUGUGAACCACAAUGUAACAAAUCAAACUAAAUGUAAGGGUGCAUAGCAAAGUCCAAACUUUUUGAAGUUCAAGAAACCUUUUUAGAAUGGACUAAAAUUCAACUGAUGUCUGUACAUUUUUACACAACAUGUAUCCGUCUUUUGCAGAAUCACUACAACAUGAGGGAAGCUCUAUAUAUGAGAAAAAUAGGCUCACCUCAGAUAGAUAAAGGAUCUUCCCAAACAGGGCUUGCACAGCAAGCUUUCGCUUAAAACCUUUCUCUGUAAAUCCUGAAAGGUCCAUAACUACCGGCCCUGAAAAACCAAAAUUGAUAACUAAAAUAUGAGAUUUUACAAAAUUCAUAGGCAGGAAUAUUUCUUCACUGUUUGAGGCUCUUAAGCUGUAGUAGUUCAAAAUUAGAUGGAUUGCAUUUUGUGCCAUUUCACAAGUUUAGAUGGUAAUAAGCACAAAAGGAUAACGAGACCAAAGAUGGAAUAAGUAGAUCUAAAGUUUCUUAAAUAAAACUUUGAUACACAAAAUGAUAUGACAGGAUUGUAUUCAACAUUCUUUCAAAGAGGAACUAGACAUUAGGAAAAAAAAUUUAAAAAAGAAAAAUAGCACAUAAUACAACAUGAAAAAGAAAUUCUCGAAUGAUAAGUGUCUUAUGGUACAAAGCACUUAUAAUUAAACUGAUUCUCCUUCAUAUAAAGUUUAGUUCGUCUAAGUUUACAUCAUAAUAGCAAAUUUUCUACAAUUUCGUCUGCUGAUUGUAUAAUAAAAUUAACCAUGAAUAAGUGCAUGAAAGGAGAAGAAUGAAGUAGAAGAGAAUCAAGCAGGCAAAAGUAGACUUUUAUGUUGAGGAACUCCAUUUCCAGCAUUUCGGCAGAGUAAAACAGUGUUGUUUAAAUAGUUUUGUUUAAUCACAUUCUGGUUGUAAUUGAAUUUGACUGACGGUUUAAGAUCGUAUUCGUCCAUUCUUGUAACCCAAACAUGACCAUUUGGAACAAGACUUACACAUGAUUCAAUCAUCAUUACCAUUGUCGCACAUUUAGAAAUUAGAAGGGAAAUGAGAAUGACUAACUAAGAAGUUAUUCUUUGCCUACUUCACAUAUAGUUGAUCAGCAAUAGAUGGAGACAAGCCAUCCUUCUUGCCCAGCCACUCGCUACCCUACUCCCUUUCUUGGGACGAGGCCAUGUAAAUAUGACAGCCUCAAGCCCUAUGACUUCCAUUUAUAAAGUCCAAAAAGUACAAAAAAGAAAAAACUCAUUUUAUCAACAAAGUAAGAUUCAGAACAUUAUCCCUAGUGGUCGCUAUAUAAAUUGAUAGAAUUACCUGUAACUAGAAAAUAGUUAGAAGUUUGUUCAGCAAACCACAGGGAUAACUGUAAGUAAUAACUAUAUACAAUAUACCUAGUUUGAACUUGUCAAAUUUCAAAAGUUGCAUCACAGGACAAGCAUUUCUUGAAAAGUUUCUAUAACUAAAGAAUAUUUAACCACAUGAGUGCUGGCAAAACAUAGAUAGCGAUAAUUACCUUUCUCCUUAACAAUUCGCCUUGCAGUCUCAUUUAAAACUUCUGCAACCUGGGCAUCUUCCAGCAUCGAUGCCUUUCGAAGAUGUAUGAGAUCGACAACCACAUCAGGAUUGAAUGGUUUCUCAUUCAAAGUGUAUCUGAUGUACUUUCUUAAAAGGUCGUCCAUAGUAAAACCUGUCUGAACACAAUUACAAUACGGCAUUAGCUGUUAAAGUAGCUGGAGGGCACAACGAACUACAGGUUUUCUCCUUCCAUAUAUCUAUACCAUCCAUAUAAUGAUCAAUAGCUGAUGAAACUGUACUGUACUAUUGAAUACUAAAUCAUUGAAAGUCCUAGCUUUGAUACUUCAUACUACUAGUAUUAACACCUUAAUGAAAUCCUCAAUUUUUGCCAACAAAGUUCAAAGAUAAAAAAUGAUAACUCUUUUGUACUACAUUACUUGGAAAGUAAAAGGGAAAAAAAAGCAACUAAUCAAUACCUUUUGCAUAAGCCCUAUAAGAGCUGAAUGAGUUACAUCUUCCUUGCCCUUUGAGAACAACUCGUCUAUCGAUUUCAACAAGAACGCAUUUUUAUUCACCUGCAAUAUGUUUAAGAACAAAUCAUUUCUACUACACGAAUGUACAAGAAGAAAGCCCCUGAUACUAGUCCCAAACUUCAUCCAUUGAAUUUUUAUUUUUGGGUAAAUUACACCUUUCAUCACUGAAUUUAUCAUUGCUUUUCAUUAGAUAACCAAGCCUCAUUAUUUUCUUUUCCUUUUUUCAGUUAAGGCAUUCAGCUUCAAAUUCUGUUUCAAUCGGGUUACUCCAUUAAACUCCAUUCUUGACGUGAACAUCUAAUUUACUAUCAAUAUAAGACAUAACACUAAAUUUUCGGUUAAUAUAACUGCUAUAUCAUCUUGAGACUAUAAUUAUUCAUCACAUCAUCUAGGUGAGUUGCCAAUUGAAUCAGAAAUCACAGAGACGAAUUAGUAACUAUGUUGCCAUCUCAAUAGCGACGUGGAUCGACUCAGCAUUCACUCUUCAUCGUUUUGUUAGAAAAACUAUAUGGAGUUUAAUGAAGUAACCUAUUGAAACAUUAGCCGAAACAAUAGAUAUUUGGUCCCCUAAUGAAGUUUCAUCAUAGGUUCAUGAUGAAUGCCAUAACUUGCCUUAGAUUUUGGGAAAGUAAUAGUAAAAUUCAAUAGAAACGAUAAACUAAAGAAUCAAAACCCUAAUUCAGGUACAGUACCAGUCUCUUGCGCUUGGCAUUUGGUGACGUGAACUUCCGAACGGUCUUCACAAAUGCGAAGACGAAGGAGAGCCCGACGUAGGCGAGGGGCACGGCGAGGAGCCACGGCACGGGGCUAUGCCCAACCCUAGGCCCGGGUAUGGCCUGGGUCACCGUCCCGGUGAACUCCACGAGAUCCAGCGCCUUCUCCUGGAUCCACGGGAGCUCCUCCUCCACCUCCUCCACCUCCUCCGCCCCCGCCUUUGCCGGAGAAGAAGAAGACGCCGCCUGGGUCGACUCCUUAGGGUUCUUCGACUGUUGCGGCGGCUCGGGGUCGUUCUCCCUCCCCCUGGCGCGGGCGAGUACAAGGGGGGAGUGUCUUGGGGCGAGGGGGCGAGGGGGGAGAGAGAGGAAGGGGGUGCGGAGGGGGAGGUUGGGACCUCGGCGGAGCGCGGCGGCGCCGUCACCGGAGAUGGAGGAGAGGGGGAGGAGGAGGGAGGAGGAGGACGACGCCAUGAGAGGAGCAGCGAAGCUUCCUAGGGCUUAUCGAACUGCCCCUGCUAUAUAUCGUAUUAGCGUAUGAACUCUACUCCUACGAUCGCCGAAAAAAUUUUAAAAAAAGAUAAAUAUGCAUAGAAAAUAUAUAUAUAUGCAUAGAAAAUAUAUAUAUAUAUAUAUAUAUAUAUAUAUAUAUAUAUAAAUUUUGACCUCUUAUGAUUCAACUAUUCAAUUUUUAAAAAAAUUAAUUUGGACAUCUAAUUUUUCAAUUUUUUUUAUGAAAUAAGCCAUUUGGUGGCUUUGGCACAAUUUUUAAACCUAUUACUUACUUUAAUUAUAUUGUAGUUGCAUCAAUAAUGUAAAUUAUGCUAAUCAGCUUUGUAAAAUUAAAUGAUGCAUUCAAUUUUAAAAUUUAAGAGCUAUUAAAAUGGAUCGAAUCUAUUGAAUUAAAAGAUUGGAUAACUAAUUAAAAUUUUAAAAUAUAAGAUAGUUGAAUUAAAAUGGGUCAUUGCUUAAGCAUCUACUAACUAGCGAUUUUAUAGGCAUGUGUCUGGCAACAAAAUCACAAUUCAUAUAUUAAAUUUUAAUUUUGUGAAUUUAAGGUGGUGAAUUGUAAUUUGCGAAAAUUAGCUUGUUUUUGCAUGCUCUAUAAUCUAUAAUUUUUUAGGGGGUUGACACUACAAAUAAAAAUUGAAUCAAGCUAACCAAAAGUUUGAGGAUACCUAAAAAAUAUAUAUUUUAGAUUAGAUCUAUCUAUAUAACUUACUCAUAUCUAAAUUUAAACUUGAAACUCACCUCUGAAAAAUAUACUACUAUGAGACUUCAACUAUUUAAAUUUAUAUCUAUCCGACUAUCUGAUUAUCUUUACAUUAUCUAAUUUUGUCUGAUAUACUUUUUUCAAAUUUUAAUUUUAUUAUAAAUCAAAGAAAAUUUAAAUUAUUCAUUGUAAUCAACUGUGCGUACUAGACGAAAAUUGUUACCAAGAUACGUGGAGACCACCUAAAGGUCCUCAACUAUAGGCAACUCUGAAAUCGCCCCCUAAUUAAAUUAUUUUCCUUUUUCCACCUGAACUUCUUUUGGCUGGCUCUGAUACCACUUGUCACGGGGUUAGCAUUUUCGCCUCAAAAUCCCCGCGCGGCGCUCAAGUGUCGCACACUCGAGCCAGCCUUCUCGAGUCCCUUACACGGACAAGUCUCCCAGACUUAACAGCGGAAUACCAAUCCAAGCAUUUUGCCAAGCUUGCUCCUCCCCGAGACUUGCAGCCCGACCCUUCGCCUGUAAUCGAACCCCUCAUCGGACUCCUCGAGUUCCCAACGAGCAACCCCAAUAUCGAGGUUGGCCACCAAGCUAGGUGCAUCCUGUUUUGUCAACCAAACCCUCCUCGAGAGUGCUCUGUAGCCGAAUGCCUUGUUGCCUCUCUCGCCAGCCCAAGGACAUUACAAGUUCUCCCCCAACCUGUACAAUAUUUUUUGUCACAAAUUUAGCACAUAAUAUCAUAUUAAUUAAUAAUUAAUAACUACCAAAAUUAUUAACUUAAUUAAGUAUAAAAUCUAAAAUAAAAAAAAGGGAAGUUCAGGAGUCUCAGUUUUACAAAUAGUAGUUUAGAGCCUAGUUCGAAAGUCGCUAUUGUUGAGGGGUCUCCAUACACUUUUACCUAAAUUUAUUUGAGAACAUCGCUAACCUUUGUCUAACGAUGUUAAACAGAGACCAUCGCUCCCCAUAUAUAAAAAUUAAAACCCUGAAACCCACCACCACGUAUUGUAAACACUAAACCCACUGAAGCAGCUCACCACCCUGGUCCCUCUCCCUCUCGCUCUGCGCUCUUCUUCUCGUUCGCUCCCCCUCUUCAUCCUCGCUCUUCAUCUUUCUGUCUGUUUGAUUCUCGCGCUAUUCCGAUGAGGUGAGAUAGGUUAAUUUGUUGUAAUAAUUCUUGUUCUUAUUUCAUUAUUAUUUCUUUUUUUCUUUGGACGACGAAUUAAUCCGCAAUGUGAACAAGAAAUCCGAAUUAUUGUUUUCAGCUUCUGAUUUAUUCACCUGGUAUUGUGCAGAAUUUGUUGUAAUAAUUCUUGUUCUUAUUUCAUUUUGGUUUUUUUUUUUCUUUGGACAAAUUUUUUUUUGAGUAAACAAGGAUAAACCCUAUUUGGGUUGGGUCUCAUAUAAUGCGAACUAAGCAAACUAAGCAGCCUGAUUUAUUCACCUGGUAUUGUGUAGAAUUUGGUGUAAUAAUUCUUGUUCGUAUUUCAUUUUUGUUUCUUUUUUUUUUUGGACGAUUUUUUUUUGAGUAAACAAGGAUAAACCCUAUUUGGGUUGGGUCUCAUAUAACGCGAACUAAGCAAACUAAGCAGCCUGAUUUAUUCACCUGGUAUUGUGAAAAAUUUGUUGUAAUAAUUCUUAUUCUUAUUUCAUUUUUGUUUCUUUUUUUCUUUGGACGAAUUUCUUUUUGAGUAAACAGGGAUAAACCCUAUUUGGGUUGGCUCUCAUAUAACGCAAACUAAGCAAAAUACAUCUUCACGAAUUUUUCUUUGGACGAAUUGAUCCGCAAUGCCAACAAUAAAUCUGAAUUAUAGUUUUCAGUUUCUGAUUUAUUCGGCUGAUUUAUUCACUUGGUAUUGUGCAGAAUUUGUUGUAAUAAUUCUUGUUCUUAUUUCUCCGCAAUGCGAACAAUUUAUCUGAAUUAUUAUUUUCAGUUUCUGAUAUAUUCGCCUGAUUUAUUCACCUGGUAUUGUGCAGAAUUUGUUGUAAUAAUUCUUGUUCUUAUUUCAUUUUUGUUUCUUUUUUUGUUUGAACGAAUUGAUCCGCAAUGCGAACAAUAAAUCUGAAUUAUUGUUUUCAGUUUCUGAUUUAUUCACCUCGUAUUGUGCAGAGUUUCUUCUAACAAAGAGGCAGGUUAAUUUGUUGUGAUAAUUCUUGUUCUUAUUUCAUUUUUGUUUCCACUCAAAAGAAAACGCUCACCUCGAAUCUUCCUUUAUUUGUAGCAGUUCAUUUUGUUGGAUUUGGAACCUCUCGAGAAUAUUUAUUGCCUCAGCUUUUUGCAAUUUUGAAUUUUUAUUAUUUGUGCUGCGUACUAGUGUCUGCUGCUCUUCUUCUUUGUCUUUUUUGUUUCUUUAAAUCAAAGUUUGACUGAUGGCCAGUUUCUUAAAAAUCCGAUGCCCUCUACGUCUAAUUUGUACUACUAAUGACAUCUCCCUAAGAGUGAAAUUUAGAAAUGACUAUUUUCUUACAAAGACUGAAAUUUUGUACACAUGUGCAUUCUUAGCAUACACAUGUUACAUUCUUUAUGUUUUACUUAGCUUUGUUAAAUUUUUUUAACUCUGUCAAAUUUUUGUAAUGGAAUUUCUAUUAUGUGAAAGUUUAUGUUUCUUCUGAACAUUUGAUAGUGUUGCACUUCGAUUCCUCUAAUUCAUCUGGCAUGUUUUUUGUUCUUAUGAUUUUGUUAAAACUAACUACUUCGACAUGCUAGUAUAUUGUCCUUUAAAUGACUUCGAGGGCAUUUUGACAACUCUUUGAUCUUUGAUACUAUUUUGCCAAGGUCUUUAAUAAAUAUCUUGUGUAUAUAUAAUAUAAAUAGAAUUAAUUGUUAUAUUAACAUAGCUCUCUGCACCAUAAGCUUGUUUCCUAAAAUCCUCCUAACAAAUUCGAUUAGCUUUAAAUUGGAGCUUCUUCUGUUUUUGGUCCUGAAAGAUCUUUCGAGGUUCCUGCUGCAACAAAAAGUUCAGACUCUUUUCGGAAGCUUCUGUAGUUAGGAGGUUCAAUUUUUAGAUGAUUGACUUCACUUCUAUAGCAAAAUGCGUAGCAAGAUUUCCCAAAAAGGAAAAGGAAAAUCUUAUUCUAGAUUCAGCAUUGUGGUAUUGGUCUAUCACAACCACAUUAAGGUAGAAAGUAAAAUUUCGCUCGCAAUUAAAUUUGAUAGUUAAUAUAAUUUUAGUAAGAAAAAUUAUCUUUAUUUAUAGUCGAAUAGAUAAAUAUAACGAUGUUGCUAAUAGAUAAAUAUAACGAUAUUGCCCGGGAGGCAAUAAAUUCAAAAGUAAUCGCAGUUACGAACAGAUAGCUUACCAGAGUCAGUCAUGCAUAAAAUAGGUGAUAAAAUUUUGGCACUGGAUUGUAAAACGCCACAAAAAUUUAAGGUUGAAGUGGAAAGGAAUACUUCUCUCGCUAUUAUGUUUCGAACUAUUAUGUUUCUAACAAUUAUUCUUGCUUGCUUGUAAAAGAAAAAAUAGCGGUAAAAGAAGGUUGGUAACUUUUUUAUGCCACCAAUUAAUAUUUAUGACUGAUAAUGACAUCCUAAGAUCAUAAUUUGAGCAGCCGUGCUUAUUCUCAAAAAAAAUAUGUGGAUUAAGAUAAAUGAUUAAUGAUAAUCUCUCAUAUCUUUAUGCAUAUUUGGUAAUAAAUGAUAUUUUGCCCCUUUAUAAAAAAUAUUCUUUAUUUGGUAACGAAUAUAUCAACAAAAUAUUUUUUAUGCUUUUUUGCUGAAAAGAGGUGAAGACUUGGUCCUCGGGUGACACUGACGCGAAUUCUAAGGUUAUAAACAAACUCAUACUGGAAGUUCAGGAACUCUCUAUAGAACAUAGCAAUCUAAAUUUUCUCAUAAAAAGGGGAGCACCUUAAUCACGAUUUCGUUGUAUAAUUCAUGAUUUAUAGAGAGGUAUCUUGAUCGAGUUUCGAACACUACAUCGACCACCGCAAGUAUGUGUCCCUCAUGAUGCCACUUCUCAGGUCAACAACAACGGACCGCAGCAAGCACCAAUGGCGACGACAACAGCAGCAAUAAUGAGCAAUGCACUAGAAGCAAGCAAAUUGAUUCUAAAAUUAUAAACAAUAAUUUUUUUAUAAAAAAAUUUCGGUAAGAAAAAAAAAAUUAUGUUUGUAAUCCUUGAUCUGAAGGAAAAAUUAAUUUUUCGUUAAUAUUUAUUUGGUUAACUGCUUGUUUUCGUUUUUCUCUUUUUUCUGUUUUUUUAGAUAAAUCUUUUUUUUCUUUUUUUCUUUUUUUCCUUUUCUGUUUCUCUUCCCAUCUGAGAGGUGGUUCAUCCCCUCUGUGUGUCUGACCCUUUUUGCUUGAAUCUGAACGAAUUGGGCGUGGGUGGUUUUUAUUUUCUCAGGUGAUGUUUUUCUUUUUUUUCCUUAGUUUAGUUUUGCAUACUAUAUAAACAAGAGGUCUAAUUAAGUCACCAAACUUCAAUUUAUUCCAAUUUGAUAUACUAAACUUCAAAUUUUUUUUUUGUUUCAAUUUUAGUUACUAUUUUUAAUAGGAGAAUCACAUAGCAAUUAAUUUUGUAAAUUAUUAUGUUGUCAUUCGUCGAAUUUGAGGCGAUAGCUAAUUCACUUGAAACAUCAAUUUGAAUAAGUUAAAAGUUUCGGUAAUUUAACGGCGACUUCGAAUUAAGUUUAGUGGUUAUUGGUGUAGUUCAUCUUGAACUUAUGGUUUCUGUUUAGGGUUUGGAACUUGCUCACAAGCUGUUUGAUGCAAUGUCAACAAAAAAUUAGAUUGAAUCAGCUAUUGCUUUGAGCUUGUGAAUUCUUUGAGGAUCAUCUAGGGUUUCCAUUUUUUAGUUGCAGUUAUCUUUGCAAAGAUAUUUCCAGUUUUAAGAGCUACUUCCUAAACUCAACUGCCUUAAGAUGUUAAGGGUGCAUUUCUCUGUUAUCCUGAUUCCCGCAUAUUUUUUUUAAUAAAAAAAAAAAUUCAAGGGUCAUUUGUUAUAUGGUUGUUGAGAAUCAUAAGAGUAUUUAAGUAGUCUUAAUUUUUGAAGUAGUUGAAAUUUAUUAUCUUGAGAAAAAAAUCAUGAUACUCUUGAUCACCAUUGUAACACUAUUUAUCCCCAUUUAACUUGUUUCGACAUUCGAACAGGCUCUAAUAAUUUUUUACUCAUUUGCAGAAGUUUGAUAGUGUGGAAAGCUUGCUGGAGUAUUUCGACGACCUAGACAUCGACACAUCUGAUUUAGGGAUAAUCCGAGAGGAGAAUAAUGGAAUUAUGAGCAAUAAUUCUGUUAUAGCUGAAGCUGGGAACAAUGGAACCUACUAUAUGGUCCUAUCCGACGACAACGGAACGAUGAAAAACAAUCUCAGUAUCAUUAUGAACGAGAAGAAUGGAAUGAUGACUAACAACAAUACUGCGAUGGUUGUACAUCAGAACAAUGGGGUGGCAAAUAAUCAUGGCGGUAUUGUCAUGGUUGAGAACAACAAAGAGACUAGGAGCGUUGCUCCUAUCAUUCCCUUGAGUAAUCCCAGCAACAAGCAUGUUGAGCCAGUGCACAACUUUAGUCGUGAAAAUCCGGCGGUCGUGCGUUGGUCCCGAGAAGAAGAGUCUAUCUUGAUGGAAAAGCUUGCUGAGUAAGUCCAUAGUUGGCUUCCUAACAUCAUCCUUUGGUGAUGUUCGUCAUUUUCGUUUAUCUCCCACAAAUAUGUCUUCUUCUUCAUACUGCCAAUCUGUGUUUAAAUGCUUUACUCCUGCCUAAAGCGAACAAAUUCAAAUAUAGAUGGUUGACUUGGAAAUUAUAACUUAGAUUUUGCGUUCUACGUGCAAUAUUCCACCUCACGGAAGAGUAUUAUAAUGCUGGCUCUAAUUGAAUUUUAAUUUGUAGUAGCUUCUGGAAUGAUAUAUGGAGAGCCCACACUUCCUUCCGAACUCUUUACCCCAACGUCUAUGUUAAUGUCGUGAACAAAAAUCUUAAGGGAAAGGACCCCUAGUUACCGGGGCGACAUCAACCUUAUUUCGCAACUAAAAGAGUCAAUUUUCGCGAUCUCUCUAUAUAACAAGAAAGAUGAGGUUUGGUGGAGGCGGACUCAGUUUGAAGAGUUUACGGUCAAAUUGCUCUAGGUGGAGUAAAACGAUAUGAACUUUAUUCGAAUAUGGACGAUUAAAUACCCCUUGAAAGUUAAGAUCUUCUAUGGUUAGUACUAAGAAGGAAGGUGCUCACUACGGACACAACCUUCGAAAACGUGAGUGGAGUGGCGAGGAACGCUAUGUUUUUCGCUUGAAUGAGGGUAAGACUAUGGAUCACCUCUUUAUGGGAAUUGAAUGUAUUAGAGCGCUACUGUAGGGUUUCCUCCCAAAUAGCUCAGUACUUCAAAAAUGCACUUCUGCCGAUUUGCUUUGGGAAGCGAGUAGAGAUAAAGGAGGAGAGCACCGGCACGAAGGGAGUUAGCAACAAUCGCCGUACCAUGGUGGGUAGUUUGGCUAGAGUGGUCUUUCGUUUGGUUCGGGUAUAAAUAAGAACUGGUUAUAUCGAGAAUAGGUAUAAGAAUAGAUUUUCGUAGGAACAAGAGUAUUUUUUUAUUUGGAUGAAAAUGGGAGUAUGAGCUGGAACUAGAAAAAUUAUGUUUGGAUGAAAAUCUUUGUAUCAGGUGAAAUAAUUGGUAGUUAUAGAUAGAAAAUAGUGAUUUCGCCCCUAUAAUUGAAUUUAACAUUUAAAACUAAUAAUUUUAAAUUAAAAGUUUUAACCUUUAAAUUUUAAAAUUUGAAAUUAAAAUUAAAACUUAUAAUUUUCAAAAUUUAAAUUUUAAAUAUCAAAUUUAAAAUUUAAAAUCAAAUUUAAAUUUGAAAGAUAUAAAAUAUUAAAUUUUAAAUUUUAAAUCUAAAAAGUUAAAUUUAAAAUUUAAAAAUAAUAAAUAUCAAAUUUAUAAUAUAAAUAUUAAAAUUUAUAAUUUACAAUUAUAAAUUUAAAUUUUUUAAAAAUAAAUUAUAAAUUUUAGAAAUUUAAAUUAAAAAUCACUCUCUCUCUCUCUCUCUAUAUAUAUCCGGGAGCGGGUGGAACAAGUGUUCCAACCCUCCCAAAUUGUGUUUGGGUACAAAGUUAUCCCCCCUCUUGUACCUAAUUCAAAUAGGGUGUUAGAAUACCAAAUAUUCAGUGCAUGUCUUAGUAACGGAGAUAGGCUUGCUUAGACAUAUUUGGGAUUUACUUUGCUAGUUUUUUUUUUGGAUAUUGAGGCCCAAUUGCCUUAAUUUGUAGUCCAGUUCAUCCUCCUAAUGAAUGAAGCGAAUUUUUAUCUCGAUUUUUAGUCUAGAAAAGUAUGACCAAAUGACAGAUUUUUUGGCAAUCACUGUAACUACUGGACAUUAUCGAGAUUGAAUAGAUUUUUGCCUCAUGAUCUGAAGAGGCUCUACUUUGCUAGAGAGAGUUCGAACAAUUUGUUUACAUAAUACGUAUCUGAGAUUUUGCACGCUUCUCGAGACUUCUAUAUUAUGGAAGGUGUUCAUAUAUCAAAAUUUUUAAAAAACCUAAAAAAUAAAAUAGAAAUAAAAAACCUUUUUUUUUUUUUGUACCAUCCAAAUUAAUACGCAUAUAUAGAAAAUUAAUUUUCUUUUUCUGUCGAACCAAACAACUGAAGCUAAAAAGUUUCUUUUCUAGAAGAACUUUUCCUGAAAACAGUUUUCUACUGUUUUUCAAGGAACCAAACAUGCCCUGCUGCACUUGCAAUUUAAAUCAACAACAUUUUUUUCUCCUACAUUUGUAGAGGUUCUGAGAUUUAACUUAGGGUGUGUUUGAUUCUUCGUAAAAAUAGUCAAAAAAAACUCUUUUUUAUCCGAAAAUUAUUCUUGCUAAGAGAUCUUUGAUUCAUUUGUCUUCUAAAUAGCGUAUGAUUUAUAUGUUUUUUUUUUUUUUUCCAUCAAGACUGCAGUUGCCUUGAAUGAAAUAGUGGCAUGCUACUUUUUCUCAAAAAAAAUAUUUUUGUUCGUUUGUUUAGCAGUAAAAUUGCUUUUCUCGUAAAUUUUUUUUACAUAUUUAAGGGAAAAACUGGGCUUUUUCUAUUUCCGCUAAAACUCGGCAAAAAAACGAAAAAGCCCUCUGCGUAACAUGCAACCUUUCUCUUAAAAAAAAAAGAAAAAAAGAAAAAAAAGAAGAGAGAGAGAAAAAAGAAAAAAAAAAAACUCCGCGUGUUCACGCCAAAAAAAUUACGCGGUCCGCCCACAAAGAAACCAAAUGUGUUAACGAGUGCAACUACAAAUACUAGUGAUUACUGCAUAGACCAGGUGUAUUCAUAUAUGUACACCAUAUUUUCAUCUAUUUUUUUAAAAAAAAUAUAUUAGUCUAUUUCAUUUCUUAUACAGCAGUUUUUUUAAAAAAAUUUAAAAUUUGGAGCAUGGUGCGUAGGUUCAUGGGUGCACGGGUGCACAAUUUUUUUUUUCGCGAGUAUAUAUAUAUAUAUAUAUCAUGUUGAACGGUGCCGAUCGUCGAUUUGAAGGCUCCAUCAUCAAAAAUAAAUAGGUGGCAAAAGUGCCGAUUUGCUAUCAAUAGUAUUCUAGCUCUAUUAUAUAUAUAUAUAUGGGUCCGGCUACUAUACUAUUAUGAGCACGAUCGCCCUCGUACUCAUAAGUUGUUUUCGAUGAUAGAGCUUCCGAAUCGACGAUCCACACUGUUAAACGUUAAUUACAGCAUUUAAAACUUCUAGAAAUCAAAUUUUAUAAUUUUUCGUCAUCAUUUACCUUACGAUCAAGAGGUCACAAAUUUGACAAUUUUUAACGGCCGGUAUGGGAUACUUGCUAUUCUAACGGUGUAAAAGAAUUAGAAUUUAUUGAAUUUUUUAUAGAAAAUUCUAUUCACUACAUAGAUAAAGAUCAAUAACUCCAAUCUUGAAUUGAAGGAUCCGAUCAUCCUUUUUUAGGACGUCGUUCGAUUUUGACCAUUCAUUUUAUGCCCACUUGAUGGAUUUUAUUAUGAUUUCGAAAAUUUACGAAAUUUAUUUUCUAGAAGUUUCAAAUAUUCUAGAUCAUAUUUAACGGAGUGGAUCGUCGAUUCGGAAGCUCUAUCAUUGAAAACAACUUAUAAGUAUGAGGGCUCUAAUACUAAUGAUAGUAUAGUAGGCAUGGCCUAUAUAAAUAUAUAAUGACAUGUAUAAUAUAUAGGGAUAAUUACCAAUAUAUCUCUCAAAACAUCAAAAAUAUCUCAUUUAUUCCUUUUGUUUCUUUCCAAUAUACCUCUUAUACGUUUCUCCGUUAUUCCAAAAUGCUCCUACAGUUACCAAGUUAACUUGAGUUAAAGGUGAGUUAAAUAUUUAUCAGAGUUAGAAAAAAUUAAAAUAUUUCUUUUGCCUUUAACUUAAUGACAAAUAAGAAUUAUUAAUGAUAGUGGAAGGGUAUAUUUGAAAAGACUAAAAAGUAAAAUUACUUUUUUGUGCCCCUAACUUAAGAGCAAAUAAAAAAAGACGGUGAUGGUAGAAGAGUAUAUUUGAAAAAGUAGAAUAGUAAUUUUGUAGAAAUAACAGCUAUUACUAGGAUAUAUUUGAAAUAUAUUGCAAUGUAAAAAAUAUUUUUUAGUUUUAAUCUUCUAAGAUGAGUAAAUUAGAAAGUGAAAAAUUUUUCAAGGAUAUAUAAGCAAUUGCUCUAGUGUAUAUUAUAAAUUUGCAAGCAUUUAAUUUCCAAAUAAUAAUAAUAAUAUAUAGUGUUAUUACUAUUUUAUAUAAAUAACAUAUAAUAUAAUAUAAAAAAUAUAUAUAAAUAAUAUUUUCUUCAUCUUUUCCUUUCAACCAAAUAAACAAUGAUGCAAAAAAAUUUUUUUCCUAUAAACCAAACAUUAGAAGGCUUAAUUUUUUUUUUUUUUUUUUCCAUUGAACAAACACUCCAUUAUGUGGAUCCUGUUCUUGGUCUUUUUCUUUUUUUCUCCCCCUAAUAUGAUCAAUAAGAAAACACACCGCACUUCAACUCAUGAGAAAAAUUAUUCUACUUCAUUAAGAAAAUAAAAUGUUAUAGUAAAUAAUAAAUCACACCAGAUAAUAUAUUUCAAAAUUAUGUAACAUUAUGUAAAUAUAUACACAUGUGCAAGUAGUAGACUAUUUAUCAUGUGAAAACUAGGGGGUGUAAACCAGCCUAACACGAGCAAGCUGAGGUCGGCUCGUGUUUGGCUUGUAUAUUAAACUAGCCGAACACGAGCUGGCUCGUUAAAAUAUCGAGCUGAAAAAUUCAGCUCGUGUUGGCUCACGAGCUGGUCAACAAACAAUAAAUUAAAAUAAUUAGAUUAAAUAUAUAUAAAAAUAAAUUUAUAAAAUUUUAUCCAUUAGAUUUUGAUUUAAUAGUUGAAAAUUUACAUAUAAAUAAAUAAAUUUUUAUAAUUAAACUCGUAUUUAUAUUUUUAUUUUGGUAAAAAUUAAAUAAUAAAAAUAUAUUAUAUAUAAUUAUUUAUUUAUUUAUAAAAAUAUAAAUUAAAUAANUAAAAAUUAAAUAAUAAAAAUAUAUAUUAUAUAUAAUUAUUUAUUUAUAUAUAAAAAUAUAAAUUAAAUAAAUUAUAUAAAUAUAAAAUAUAUGUAUUCGAGCUGUUAUCGAGCCGAACACGAGCAAGCUGACCCCAGCUCGUGUUCGGCUCGUUUACUAAAGGACCGAGUCGAUCUCGAGCUCAUUUCGAGCCGAACACGAGCUGGCUCGCGAAUAACGAGUUGGAUUGUCACUCCUAGUGAAAACAGUCAAAUAUUAUCGGAUAUUUGAAAAAGCAUAUUCGCAUCCAUAUUUUUUUUCAAUGCAAAUUCAAAUACAUAUAUGUGUCAAAUGUUAAAUUUUUUUAUUAUAUUCGCUAAAAAUGGAUUCAAUUUUUUUCAAUGCGAAUUCAAAUACAUAUAUAUGUGUCAAAUAUUAAAUUUUUUUAUUAUAUUCGCUAAAAAUGGAUUCAAACGUGAUCAGAUAUUUCUUCGACAUUAUAUAAAAAAAUAAAAGAUUUUAAAAAAANUUUUCAAUGCGAAUUCAAAUACAUAUAUGUGUCAAAUGUUAAAUUUUUUUAUUAUAUUCGCUAAAAAAAUGCGAAUUCAAAUACAUAUAUGUGUCAAAUAUUAAAUUUUUUUAUUAUAUUCGCUAAAAAUGGAUUCAAACGUGAUCAGAUAUUUCUUCGACAUUAUAUAAAAAAAUAAAAGAUUUUAAAAAAAUUUUAAAUUUUUUAAAUUUUUUAAAUUUUUUUUAAAAAAGUAAUUUGUUCAAUUUCAUAUUGUUAGGAUUUUCUCAAUCAUCACGGGUAGGUUUGAAAAUUUUAAUUUAAUUUAUAAAAUAAAUUGGGUUUGGAUAUUGUAGUUUGAAAUUUGGUUGUUAUUCUUUUGGUAUCAAGAAAUUUAAGAGAAACAUCAUACUAAUACAAAUAAUAAAAAACAGGAAGCUAUAUAAAAAAGAGAAAAGGAAAAAAAAAAUUUCUUUUUUCGGUUAGCAUGUUUUUCUAAGAUUUUUUCAAGUAAAUUAAUCUUCAAAGACAUGACCAUAUACAUGAAUCAGAAUUGAUGAUAAUACAUUCAGCGGCAACGACAUAUAAUAUUAAAACUUUUUGUCGAAAAGCCCACGCGGCGCUCGUUCAUCAUCUGCACAAACAAGCUAGUCAAUCCGUUCCGAAGCACAACUUCGUAAAUUGGCAAUUACCGUGAAUAAAGAGAAAGCACGCAAAAGAGUCUUAUAAAUUAGCACAAAUAACGAAUAUUUUAUUGAUAACGAAAAAAUGGACUACAGGAGAAAGGCACAUGACUCGACUUGGUCGGACAUGACCGAUGAUAGCAAAAUGAUCACCAAGACACUCCACAUCUAGCGAAGCCGGAUAACUGCUUUUUAGAAAAUUAAAAUUCUGUAAAAUGAGUAAUUAUAUCAUAAAAAAUAAUAGAUAUUUUGAAAAUCUAAUAAUUUAAAUAUAUCAUUCUAUCAUCACCAACUGUUCUUAUUUAAUCUUAAGUUAGGAGCUAAAGAGAUAUUUUAAUUUUGUAAUCUCUAAUAGAAAUUUAACCUAGGUUUAAUCAGAGACAACUUAUAAUGAUUCUAAUAGCAGAAAAAAUUUUUAAAUUUUCAGAAGUAUAUUAUUAGAUAUUAUCCCUAAAAAGAAAUAAUUGUUCAAAUUUUUUGGUUCGGAUUCAAAUUUUGGAUUAGAUUCUGUUUUGGAUAUAGAUUUUCAACAUCCGUCGGAUUCAGAAUAGGAUUCGAAUUUCAGACUUGAUUAUCGGAUACGGAUUAAGGUAUAUAAAAAUUCGCUCCAAAUCCGAUCCAAUCCACAUUAUGUCUAAUUAGAGUAGGUAAGUUAGCAACAACCGUUCGAGAAAAUCGACCAAUCAAAAUUCAACGUGAAAGAAGCGAAUAAAAUCCGAUAACGAAUUGGAUUCGAUUAGCAUUACUCGCGCACCAAACGGUAACAAAAAUAUAUAUAUCCACGCGCCGUAAUUAUUAUUAUUACUCUUUCAUAAGGCAUCAACAUUAACAUCUCUAUUUUUAUGCAAUUUAUUAUUUAUUUUCCUAUACGUCAAAUCAUUGCAUCCGUAUAAUUCUUAAUGUAAGUACAAUUUUUUAUUUUCGCUCUUUAUUUUUGUCCCUUUUUUUUUUCCUUUAGGAGGUCUCGGAUGCUUCCACUUUAUAAUAUUAGUUCAUUUUUCUAAUGAAUGGAACCGUUAGUUUAUUAUCUUUCUAUCAAAAAAAUAUAAUUUUUUAUUUGGUUUUUCAGAAACAUGUAAGUAAUUUUUUUUUUUAGAAAAAAAGGUUUUUAUGAAAAGCUCUUAUUAUAAUUUUUUCCCUUCGAACAAGUAGUUUUGGAAAUUAUUUUUUAUUUUUUGAAGCCACUAUUUCUUUGAGUUUAUGAAUUCUUAGAGAGGGUUUCUUAGUUGCUGUUAUUUUUCAAAAACGGUACUCUUCGCUAGUUAUCGUGCAAAAUUUCAUCAAACAAAGAAAUUCUCGAUCUUUUUAUUAGCAUAUCCCCUGCUACUUCAAGUUCUCUCUCUUUUUUCUUUUUUUUUAUAAAAAAAAGAAAUAUCUAAUGUAGUUGGAAUGUAAAUAAAGAUGAAUAACGAGGAGUGGAGUUGGGAGCAGGAAGAGCCUUUCGUCCGCGCGCUCGUCGAGAAUCAAGAGGACAAUGCCGACCGGUGGGAGAGAAUUGCGGCCGGAUUAGCCGGAAAAACUGCGGAGGAGGUGAAAGCUCAUUACGAUCUUCUGGCCGGGGAUAUCAGUCUGAUCGAAUCCGGCCUCGUUCCUUUACCCGAUUAUGUCGAUGAUGAAGUGCAGGUGGCCCCCGAUCAGAAAAAGAGCAGAAAACCGAGCACAAAGUGGACUCUUGAGGAGCACAAGUGAAACACUUCCCCUUUAUUUUUAUGUGUAAUUAUGUGUUAGCAUAUAAUGUUACAUAAUUGCAACGGGCCGUUGGACCCAGAUCACCGGUCUAAAAUGUUUAAGCCCAGUUAUUAUUACUAACAUGUAGUCCUUAUAUAUUCUAAUCAGAAUUAUUCUAUUGGGGCGGUACGAUAAUAAUUUUGUGAAUCGUUGCAUGUGUUUCUGAUUCUUGAUCUGAAAGAAGUUGACUAUAUAUGAACUAGAAUGUUUUAUAAUUGUUUUCUUGACUUCCAUUCUUUUCUGUCAAAACAUACAGAUGUAACUGAAACUGUAGCACGUUUUAAAAACUUGUACUUGGACUUUACAAAUCAAAAUCUUAACACCUGCUGCUGAAUAUUCAGUUACCUUUCCAGUGUUUCAUGCUCAUACAUGCCAUCCAAUUUCUGAUGGUGCAGGGCAUUUCUCCGGGGGAUCGCAGUGUUACGCAAGGGCGAUUGGCGCGGUAUUUCUAGACAAUAUGUGCCGGGGAGGACACCAAUACAAGUGGCAAGCCACGCGCAAAAGUACUUCGAGCGCCAGGGUAAGGAGCAAUCGAAGAAGAAACGGCGAAGCAUUCACGAUGUCAGCCUCGAGACGCUGAUGCCGGCCACAGCCAACGAGCCGGUCAACAGGCACCCCGCCGUCCAGUCUAACGGGUCCAGCAAUGGACAGCCGAUCCACCAAACCGAUCGGCCAGCCAACGGAACCCCGACCCUCGACAUUGAUACGUCGACGAAUGGGAGCUCGACGCACCGAGCUCCCCAGCUUCGCGACCCGCCUGCACCUGCACAUAGCACUCCAAUCAAUCUCCACCCGCAGCAGCUCACUCCCGGUAUCUUCAUCCCGCUAUUCAGAAGCGACGAUCCACGUGCUUCCGCGUUGAACAUCCCUCCAUUAGCGUCUCGAGCGCCCGAUACGCCGACCCAGUCAGAGCAAGAGCCACACAGACCGCGAGGUUCGCUCCACAACCCCGUUUCUUAGGAUUCGAUAGCAUCGUUCCCUGUCGGACGUCGCUCCGAUUGCCCAUCGAAUGCUUAAUACUUCAAUCCAGAUACAGCAAAAGUGGAUCUCAUUCCAUGUAUAGCAAAGUAUAAACAAUAGAGAUUAGUCCCAGUUUAAAUAUGAGGUAGUCAUUAGUAUGGACCAUGAUUUAGAUGGUCCAUAGGGUAUAGAAAAGGCCAAAACUACAGCUUACAACUCACAUGUAUAUAUAUAGUCACUAGUGGAGCUUUGUCCCAUUUUGGAAUCAUGUUUUAGGUGAUGAUCCAUAGGAAAGAGAACUACAGUAUACAACUAACAUGCAUACAUAGUUUUGAAACUAAUAAAGUUUCGAAAAAAUUGGCGUCUCUAUUGACUUGUGCACAUAUCUACACUCAGUUUUUCUUCUUCUCUCUUUAAGUAUAAAAGUAUGAUGACUUGUUUGCAAAUUUUCUAUUUUGUUUACUGUGAGAGAACAUGUUUGAACAAUUCUGCAGUUUACUCUUAACUCUUCUGUUGUAAGUGGAUGGUGGUUAUGGCUUCAUUGUUUGCAGGAUAUGCAUAUACAUGCUCAUAAUAGCCACAAAAACAUACUUCUUGUAUGAGAGAGAACCUCAUUAACAGAGUUGCUUGGAAUUUUAGUUCCCAAUUGUUGAAAAAUAAUAUGGUUUGAUUAGAUGAGCAAUGCCUCAGAAUUACAGUUCCAUAUAAUUUGCCCAAAUAAACAAACCCCAGUUCUUUUAAUUUUUUUUAAAAAAAAGUUAAAACAGAAGCGAAGUAAUUUAAAAGAGAGCAAUCCAUAAAAGCAGGAAAUAUCAAACUUAUAUUUAAAUGAGAAACUACAGAGAAUCAAAAAAAAUCACUAGUACAUCUUUUAUUCUACUUUGGCAGGAAAAGGUUAGGAAAAAGAAUUCCACAGAGCAGAAAAAAUUCAGUUUGCUAAAAAGUAGUGCUCACGCGAAAAUUACAAUAUAUAAGAUGUUGAUAAACUGAAGCUAAUGUAGUAAAUUUACAGAAGAAUUUUCCUGCUAGAUGUGACUCAAAUCUUCUUCAAGAAUUUCUGAAUUGAGAGACGCUAAUAUUAAAGCAUCCUACCGCGACCUCCAUUUUGAUGUUGCUCGAUUACUUAAUCUUCUUCAAGAAUUUCUGGAUGUUCAUGCCAAAAAUUGGGGCCGAUAAUGUCAAAGUGUCCAAGAACAACCUUCUUUCGAAUUCUUCUGACGGGAUUUCUGCUCUCAUCGAACUUCACUAUUUCUUCAACCUAGAGUUCAAGAUGCAUGAGAUUCACGUAGUUCCACAAAACAUGCAACAUAAAAUAUAGCAAAAUAGCAUUCCAAUAUGCAUCCUACUGUAUAAAGAUGCAGAACCAUCAAACACUAGGACUUUUACAAGUGUACCUCUCAGUUAGUCCUUAAUUGAUUAAUGCAAAAGUCCAAGCAGUUUUACCUUAUCUCUGUAAACACAAGACCCUUUGCGGAACAUAGCUGGUACUUUGUCGUAAUUAACACCAAACUGUUGGAAAAGAAGCUCAUUCUUAUCUUUUGACAGUGUACCCUGUAAAUUGAGUAUGACACAAAGAUCUAGAAAAUGAUUAUCGCUCUUCUAAUUCAAUAAAGGCAUCAAAAGAGAAACAACAAAGAAAAGUUAGUUAUAAAGUGUAAAUGUCACUUAUAACAUAUAACUACAUAAUUGUUAAGAUAUAUAGGUACAAAAUAUUCAGCACAGAUAAAAUAACAGAAUAGGCAUUUCUAUCAUGAAAAUUCAGUAUCACGUCACAAUUUUCAUAUAUUCUUAAUGAAUAAAAAGGUAUUAAUAACACGAAUUACAAUAUUACCGACUAAGUUCAGACAAAAAUUGGAUUCUUUUCACUCCAACCUAGUUAUGGUAAGUCAACAAAACUUUCUAACUUCUCUAUCUAAAGAUCUCUAAGGGAUCUAAGGUAUCUAAAAUCCUUUCAAGUCUAAUCCGUGCCAAAUUUUUAUCUUAAUAAAAUCUAAUCUACAAAUGAUAACCUGGCAAAUAUUCUUCAUAAAGAAAAUUCUUGACACACCUUUAGCAUUUCUUGUGCUUCCCUUUCUGUUUUCCCAGACUUAACUAGCAUCCAGAAGCAAGUAUUGUAUUGAUUGUUAAUAUGACCUGCAAAGUGAGAGAACAAGGCGUCAUCAUGGUCUGACCUUUUAGGCUUUGACAAAUCAGCUCUACCAAUAUUGUUUACAGAAGUAUCAACUUUUCAUUCCUUGUGGGCAUAGUACACGCAAGCUGUCUCUUAACAGAGCUUCUAUUGUUUUAAAACAUGUUUAGCUUAUAGUUGCACUUACAGUCUACUUGCCUCCACGAAAGAUAAUCUCGAAUGAUCUUCGCUCUUGGAUAGCAUACAACUCGCCCAUCAAAAAAUGGCGGCCUUUUCAAAUCUUUGUGGGGGAAGAACUCUUUCCACUUCAUCACAUAAACAGCAGUGAAGUAGGAGACAGUGAGCGAAAGUAUUUUGCUGCAAUUUGAUUGGAUUUAGGAAUUCAAAACUUGCAACUCAAUACAUGUAGACUUUAGCAAUUGCAACUAUCAAUUAAUUUAGUGCGCAAAAUAGAAAUUUCACAACUCUUUAUCUUUCCUGCAGGAAUUCAUCACAUGUAAUGGAAAUAGAUAAUGGCUUUUACAUGGAAAUAUUCAUUAUGAGAUAACCUUGCCCGUCUCUGGUAAAAUUGACUUGCCUCCUUCAGUACAAAACUGCCGAAAAGGGGAAACCACAAAAUCAAUAACCAUCACAUAGUAAAGCAGAAAUUGUACAUAAAUUAAAUCAUUGUUAUGAUAUUAAAGUAAAACCAUUUUCAGGUCAUCUUAGCUCCAACAGUGGAUAUAUACACAGCCACUGUUUCAGUGGAGGCAUAUAAUGCCUCAACUAUGAUAAAGGCUGGUUCUUCUUCAUCUAACCAAAGAAGUUAACGGAAAAGUGAAAAACACAAUACCUAUAUUCAUCGCUCACACCGUAAGCAAAUACAAUAUCUGGGAACUGCUCAAGCAUAGAGACUGCACACGCAUUCAUCAGGUUCAGGGCAUUCUCAUCGUUGGGUUUCUCAAAUGCAUGAUCUGCAGAAAAUCUACAAAAGAAAUAUAAGAAUUGCAUUAAUAUAAAAUCAAUCUAACAUGAUAUUGCCAAUCCACUGUAGCGAUAGACAUAUUCGAUGAAUGGUUUAUAGCUGGGAAUGUCUCAAUUACUGAAGUUUAGUGAGCAUGAAAAAGAAAGAGAAAAAGAAGGAAAGAACGGAACCAUAAGAACAGAGAUCGCAAGCAGUAUUCAAUAUAAUACGGAAGUAGCAAUUUCCAGGGAGUUUUCUAGCCUGCAUAGAAUACUUUUUCAAUGAUAGCAAGACAAAUCUAACCAAUUUAAAAAAAAAAAAAAAAAAAGUCUUACUAAUACGGUCCUAUUCUGCAAGAUCUCUUUAAAACUACAAUAUUAGAGAUUUAGGUGACCCAAUCGAAUCAGCAUGGAACAAAGACCAAAAAUAAAAGAGGAGCUCAGCAAAAUCAGUACAAUUUUGCUGCUAAACUUGGCAAAAGCACACAACUUUGUAGAAGAAGAUGAUAGAGCUGUUUGAAUGUAUGAAAAUGCAUUAAACAAAUGUCAAAUAUAGGAUUAGAAUUGGCUCCCACUUUAUCGUUGUAGCUUCAAACGUAAAACAUUUCUUACACUAAUACAACACAGAUGCUAAAAUUCCAUGUUUAAUCAGAUGAACAAUUCCAAAUAUUAUGAACAUCAAUUUCUCUCUACAAAAUUGUGCGAAUCGGGAAAAAGUGAGCGCUUACUGGUGAAAAUGGCAUCCAUCAAUUCUCACCACAAUCCAAUUGCAGCGUGGCAAUCUAUCAUCAGUCUCGAAAUCCUUCACAUACUCAAAUUUGCUAUUGGCCAUUGAAGAACAUCAAUCCUAGAGGGAAAAAAAAUUUUAAAAAAAAGUUUAAACUUUUUACACGAAGUAAAUUGAUUAAUGGUAAAAUAUACAAUGAAUGAAAUUUCUGAUUGAAACUUCAAUGAAGAGUAGAAUGGAACCCUAAAAAGGGAUUUGCUUCAAUUGAGCACUACAUAAGUGUGAGAGAGGGAGAAACCCUAACCCUAACCCUAACCCUAGGAAGGGAGCGGCGGAGGCGGCGGAGUGUUGUAGCCGUUCAAUUGAUCGUGAAGAAGGAGCGGAUCGGCUACAAUUCGGGUUGUAUGCCAGGUUACUGCGUGAAACGUGGUACGUUCUGAUUGGGUAACAAUGCUGAAUCGGUUCCUAAGUGGGUGGGACUGGUUGGACCAACUCCCGCCCAAAUUCGACCCAGAAAUGAACUUCGGGUUCGGAUCGGCCUUAAGCACGAAAAUUGAUGAGGCCUUGAGGCCCAGCAUUAACUUGGUCCAGAGCCCAAAUCCUUGUUGGGCCCCAUUGCCCCUGAUAUAUUAUUAAGUUAAAACAACCAUUUUAGGGGACCAAAAAAAAAAUCAUGUCCUUAACAUCUAUCCUAUAUGACUUACAGGCUAGGCCUGCUAUACUCUUCUGAAUAUAUAUAUAUAUAUAUAUAUAUAUAUAUAUAUAUAUAUAUAUAUAUAUUGUAGAAAAAGCUAAAAUUUGUAAGUAAAAGUAUAUGGGUAGGGGAUGCCAGUUCCAUUGAAACGUAAAGUAAUGGAGCUUUGAAUUUGAAACUUUGAAUACCAACUGUAGGGAAGCGUGAUUUGCUCUGAUACCACUUGUUGGAAGAGUGAUUUGCUUCGAUAUCAAUUGUUGGAACUGUUAUUUGUACUGAUACCGAUUAAAUAACCCAAGAUUUAAAAUAGAACAAAAUAAUAUAGAGAAGAGAUAUUGGAGGAGGAAGAAAAUAACUAAACUAAUAAAAAGCAAUUCAUUACAUUCUAGGCAACACCUAUGCAGCCAUAUCUACUGUGGCUUAUUUCUCUAAUUAAUCAAUGCCUAACUAUAUAUAGUCACCAAAUCAUAACAGAUGAUAAAUCUAAUUUUACUUUAGAUAAUUACAUAUCCUAAUCAUAAUCAAAUAAAGAUUUAAACUUAUCUCUAAUAAUAUCUUAAUUAAGUUUGGAUUAUUAUUUCCAACACCAACUAUCAAAAUUUUUGCCACCUGGUUAUAGUAUUAUGACUUAUUCUUAUAUCUUAUUUAAAUAGGAUUGUAGUUAGGAUACAAGAGAAAGUAUCAGAAAAGAAAUUAUUUUAGGAAGUAUCACAAUAUGCAAAACACAAUAAUUCAGCUAUGUUAUAAUUUUUAUAUUUCCAUCAAAAAAAAUAGAAAUAUAUAUAGGAUCCGGCUACUAUACUAUUAUGAGUACGAUUGCCCUCGUACUCAUAAGUUGUUUUCGAUGAUAGAGCUUCCGAAUCGUCGAUCCACACCGUUAAACAUUAUUUACAGCAUUCAAAUUUUAUAAUUUUUCGACAUCAUUUACUUUACGAUCAAGAGGUCACAAAUUUGACAAUUUUUAACGGCCGGUAUGGAAUACUUGCUAGUUUAAUGGUGUAAAAGAAUCGGAAUUUGUUGAAUUUUUGAUAGAAAAUUCUAUUCACUACAUAGAUAAAGAUCAAUAACUCCGAUCUUGAAUUGAAGAAUCCAAUCAUCCUUUUUUAGGACGUCAUUCAAUUUUGACCGUUCAUUUUAUACCCACUUGAUGGACUUUAUUAUGAUUUCGAAAAUUUAUAAAAUUUAUUUUCUAGAAGUUUCAAAUAUUCUAGAUCAUAUUUAACGGAGUGGAUCGUCGAUUCGGAAGCUUUAUCAUUGAAAACAACUUAUGAGUACGAGGGCUCCAAUAAUCAUAAUAGUAUAAUAGCCACGGCCUCUAUAUAUAUAUAUAUAUAUAUAUAUAUUAAUUUUUACUCAAGUUUUUUUUAAAAAAAAUUAAUAAUGUCAUAUAGUCCUCAAUAUCGAGCGGAUUCUUAAUCUUUAUUUAAAGCCAAGUGAGUUUGUUUUACAAGUAAAGGAGACGAUAAUUGAUUUAUGCAAGAAUUAAUAUUUUUAAAAGGACAAGAGCUCUGGCACGUGUGAUUUUAUUAUUGUUGGAUCGUCUCUCGCUUUGAGAUACACGUGCUAUAUUAGUGAGAGACACUAGAGAGAGAAAUGGAGCCUGAUUGGUUAGAAAUACCACUUCAGUAGUAUAACUUGUACAUUUUAAAUUUUUUAUGGUUCAUUUUAGAAUAUAUCAGUUAUAUUGCUGAUAUCUCUUUUGUAACUAAUCAAUUUUUUUUAGAUUCACCUAUUCCAUAAUAAUUACAUAUUAAAAAAAUAUUUUUAAAAAAAAAUGAUUUGGUGAUAGAAGAGGAGUGUAAGUAUUACAAGUAUUACAGGAUCGAUCCCGGACGAAGAUCCUAGCGCUCCUUCUACUCCGUACGCUCUGUUUGGGUGAGCACGAUUUUUUAAUUUCACACUAUUGUACUAAAAAAGAUUUUAUGUUCCAAAAUUUUAUUUUAACUAAUUUCAUAAAUUUUUGUAUUUGUUUUUUAUUUUAUUUUUGAGAGAGAUAAAUAGUAUGCUGUUCAUUUUUUUUAUUUUUUAUUUUUUUACUGGAUUGUGAAGCAUCUAGGCUUCCAACUUUUAAUUUGAUUUUGAUUUUGAAUUUAUCUUGACCCAUGGCACAUUAGGGCUUAUUGGUUGAUAGCAUAAGCUCUCUACCAUUGCGCACUAGAAACUCAGUUAGAAAUAGAGACGAGACUGAUAAUAUAUUUUGUCGGUUCUUUAAAACAUGUUAGGAAGUCAUGAGUCCGAUUACUAUACUCUUAUAAGUACGAUCGCCUUCAUACCCAUAAGUACUUUUGAUGAUAGAGCUUUCCGAAUCGUCGAUUUACACCAUUAAAUAUUAUCUAGAGCAUUUAGAACAUCUAGCAAUCAAAUUUUAUAAUUUUUCGACAUCAUUUUCCUUACGAUCAAAAGAUCACAAAAUUAAUAAUUUUUAACGGCCGGUAUGAAAUACUUGGUAGUUUAACGCUAUAAAAGAAUCGAAAUCGAUUGACUUUUUGAUACAAAAUUCUAUUCACUACAUAAAUAAAGAUCAAUAACUCCAAUCUUAAAUUGAAAGAUCCGAUCAUAUAUUUUUAAGACGCCGUUUGAUUUUGACCGUUCAUUUUAUACCCGCUUGAUGAACUUUAUUAUGAUUUCGAAAAAUUACGAAAUUUAUUUUUUAGAAAUUUCAGAGUCUAGAUCAUAUUUAACGAAGUGGAUCGUUGAUUUGGAAGCUCUAUCAUUAAAAACAACCUACGAGUAUGAAAUGCUCUAUAUUCAUAAGGGUGUAGUAGCCCUAGCCUCUAUAUAUAUAUAUAUAUAGAGAGAGAGAGAGAGAGAGAGAGAGAGAGAGAGAGAGAGAGAGAGAGAGAGAGUCCGGCUGGGAUACUAUCGAUAGCAUGAAGCAUUUGGUACUAUCAAGUUUUCUGCCGUUAGAUUUACCUCUUUUAUCAUUUUCAUCCGUUCAAUUAUACUAUUUAACCAACCACCCGUUCAAUCCUAGAGGGCCCACAUCAUCCUAACCGUACAUCUUUAAUCCAAAGGCAGAAAACUUAAUAGCACCAAGUUAUUGGUAUUAUUAAUAGUAUAGUAGCCUAGUUCUAUACACGUAUUCAAAAUGUAGUCCACAUGAAGCUUUCUUACCAAGAGAUAAGGUUCACUGCACAAGUAGAGAGAUAUCCAGCAGCAAAACGAAUUAAGCUCUCCAAGCCAAAUUGGAGAUCUAUGGCAGCCAGAUCAUGCAACUCUAUGAUCUCAAGACUUGUACCUGAUCCUUUGAUGCUGCCUCAUCUCCCAAACACAAGAAGCAGCCUCAGCUUCUCCAGCCAAUCCUGCUCCGAAACACGGGCUACUGCAUUGCCGUCGAAUCGAGUUGAAGCCCCUCAUGUGAGUUCUAUCAAGCACUUAAUUACUGCUUUUCAGAAUAAAAAAGCUGUUCCAAAAGUCUUAGUAUGAAAUACAAAUGAUCAUCUAUGGGAGAACAUUGGCUGUAGAUAUAACUUCUCUGAUGUUUUUGAUCGGAAUUUUUUUUUUCUUUUCGAUCUCGACAACAUUUGAAGAAAAACCCGAAAAAGGCGUCAAGAUCACCGCGCAAACUAAUCUCCGUCCCGACAUCGGGGGGAAGAUGGCAAGAUAAGUGGUGCAGUGAAUUUGCAUUCACUAUGGGAGAGCUUCAGCUAGUAGAUUUACUAGAUGAAGAUAAAGAGAAGGAUGCAGAGGUCUUUGUUAGCCUCUCUGUUCAGAAGGUAAUUAACUUACUUUAUAAUUGUGGCACCCUAAUUGCCCCGCAUCGAAUAAUGUAAUAGCAUAUAAGAAGCACACUAGAUUUAGAUCAAACGAGUUAUUACUGCUAUUAGACUGGUCAUUAUAAUAACAUUUUCUAUCUAAAGCAAUCACGCAAAGCUUACAUUUAACCUUUUUCCUUUUGUUUUCCAGCACACUGGUUUUGGAUUCUCAAUAGAUGGCCGAAUUGUGACUUCCUUCAGCAGGAAAUGCAGCUGUUGCUUUUCAUCAUACUGCAGAAAGGUAAAUAUAUAGUUAGUAACUAAAACAUUAAAAAAAAAAAAGCAAAGAAAAAGAAAAAAGAAACCAUGAUGUUUUACCGUAGUUUUAGCAUGAAGAGAAUGGAUUAUAUUCAUCAGCACAUUUUGUCUUACAGAUUGAUGCCCCAUUCAAUGUUUGGGUUCUACCUUCUUCCAAGAACAGUGAGCUUGAGAUGCCAGAAAUUGGUGGAAAUGAUCCAUCUGUAAGUCUCUCAGGAAAAAACACAUCUCUCUAAUUCUGUCUAAAUGAUGAGGAAUUUCUCUUAGCAGGUCAUCUAUGUGAAACCUGGAUCAGAAGUAGAUCUUGAUUCACUAAUCAAGGAUACAAUUCGCUUAACAGCGUCAGCAGAGGUGGCAUGCAUAGCCCCUAAUCCCCUAUCAAAAGCUCUUCAAUAUAGUGGCUAUACUAAUACAAACAUAUAUUUUCAGGACACCUGCUCAGAAUCAUGCGCGAAAUCAGCAGUUGUAUGGCAGUGUACGCAAGAAAUCUAUCUAUCAACAAUUAUAAUCAGCCCUUUAAAUCAUGAAAAUGGGUUUCGAACCAAUUUUUGUAUUUGUUUGCAGAUACGGAUCGAAACAGGGGCUUCGAUCAAAGGUGGUCGAGGCUGCUAGAGUUGAAAAAUGCACUUAGAAGUUGAAACAAGUCAGUUCUGCUACUGAAGGCCAAACAAGUCCAGAGAUUAUAUAAAGAGGGAGAGUUGUUAGUAUGAUAUAUCACUAGUACUUAUACAAAUGUCCCCAGAUUCAGCAAGAAAGGGAAAUUUCUGAUGGAGAAAAUUUGAUGUGCUUCAAAAUAUUGCCAUCAGUAUAUAUUAGAUUCAAGCAGAAAAAUAUCAAAGUUAGAAGCAGAGAUUACAUAUUGUUUGUGUUUGUAAAUAAGGUCAAGGGAUAGCUAAUGAGAAGGCUUGUUCAAUGAUCUAUUGCAUAUUUUUUAAAAUUUUCUGAAUCUGCAAAAUAAGAAGCAUACACAUGUAUACUGUUUAUAGUGUUCCUUUAUUUCCCAAUUGAAAGAGCUUUGUUAUUUCCCAAUUGUGCAGGAUACAGACAAUGCUAAGACUUUGUGGCUUCUUAGAAGUAGAAACCAACCAUUAUGCGAACCCAAAAACGAGUUCCAGAACUUCUAAUCAAUGCGAGACCAACAAUUACAAUCAUUAGCCCCAAAGCAUGAACUUCUAACUGCAGCAAAACCCUGAAGAGCAAAUUUCAGAUCCACUUGAUUCGAAAUGCAAUAGACCUAAUUUUUAGACCCACUUGGUUCAAUUGAUGCAUAUUAUGGAACACAUACUGAGCAUACUCAGCUUUCCGGGCACAGCUUUUCAAAAUAGCAGCAGCAACUUCAAUAAGUCCCUCCAGCUUUUGAACAAAGCAAAAUUUUAAAAUUAUUUGGCAUAGUAAUCAUUUCUUUGCUCCUUUCUUUUUUCUUUAUGUGAUUAACUGCACUGACAGAUAAACAACCACCAGUUAGCGGUAAUCCAAGAGUAUAAGAGUCCAAACACUUGAGUGUGUCUUCAUAUAUAUAUAUAUAUAAAAUAAAUAAAUAAUGGGUUGUUGUCCAAGCAUCAAAAAUCUAGUCAUGAGCCAACAAUAAGCACAAAGGAACCAUUUGUACAAAGAGAGAGCCAUAAGAUUUAACAGUUGUAUCAAGAAAAGAGCUUAGCUUAACAUAGUUACCGUAUUCACUUAAGCAUUAGCAACAAAAUAAUGAAAGCUUCACAAACAGAUUAUACCCAAAUAUCAGAUGGAUCAUUUGAAAUCCAAAGAAAAAUGAAAAAAAAAAAAUCCAGCCCAACUUGCAGCUCAUUGCAGCAUAAUAUUAUGCCUUGAUGUUGCAUUUCAAUGUCUAUGCAGGCACACCUGAAAUAUGUAGCUACAUAACAAUUAAAACUGAUAAAAUUAUAUAUAGUAGAAGUCUACUUACCUGACUUACCUUUCUCCAGUGUCUUGAACCAAAUGAAGCAUUUCACUCUCAGAAAAAUAGUGCGAUUUAAUGCUUUUAGUAAAAAAGUCGCAAUACUUUGCUACUAAUUAUUUAUAUUCAUGUUACCAAUUAUAUGUAGUUCACUCACCUGUCUUGUCCGGUGCUUGGAAUAACAAAAAACAUUCGGCAGUAAAUGUAGCUGCAACAAACUUGCACAAAAGAGAGAGUAAAAUAGCUAGUACUUAUUCAAUAUUCAGGGAUUUUAAAUAUAUCUGUGAGCAUAAUGUUAGCGAAGUAACAGCGAAAAAUGACUAAAUCUAGAUUGAAUCAACAAAUCCAUGUUAAUGCCAAAUUUAUGCCAAAAAGAAAAGAAAAACAACAACAGUUGUAACUAUUCUUAAAAUCCUUGCAAGCACAGCACGGCAGCGCUGGAACAUGACUACGCAAUUGGAUGGAAGAAAGGUAUCACAAUUAGACCCAUCUUCUACUAAGUGAUCACAAAUCACUAAAAGGGUAAAAUGUAUCAAAUAGUUCUACCUCCCCAAUAUUGCAACUUAAUCCUUGAAUUUUCUACUUUGGCCAUGUUUGGUCUCACUGGAGCUACUUGGAAAAUGCUACUGAGUAGAGCCAUUUAAAAAAGCACUAGUAGCUUUUCCAGUGAUAUCCUCUGUAACAGUUUGAUGCUGCUGCAGAAGCAUAAGCUUCAAAUUGGACCUUUCAUUACUAGGAUUGGAAAGCUCAUUUCAGGUUCUUACCCCAGCAAAGCUCCAGAUGUCUAUCUGUUGUGUCAACUUGACCUACCUUCUCUGUUGUGUCAUAAUCAUGUUGUUUUUGUGUUGGCAAAUCAACUCGUGAAACACAACAAGAUAAUUUCCUAUCAUAAUCAGGCAGAGACAAACCCACUUAAGGUAAAUCUAGACCCAUUUAUUUCAUAUCGUGUCCAACUCAAAACAUACAAGACAAUUAAUAGUAACCUCAGCAAUUGCCGUGACAAGAAUCUAAGAUCUUCAACACAGUUAAAAUGGGGCAAUACCAUCUCCAUAAAAGUAAGAUCCCUUCAAAUGAUAACUUGAGUUUUAUGAACAAAACACAUAAAAUGGGAUAUUGCCAUCUAACUAAUAGAAAUAAGAUAACUUCUAAUGUUAACUGAGUUUCCUAGGCACAUAUAUAUACUUGCAGAAAAUUAGCUAAAAUAGAAUUGACAACUCAACAAUUACAAUUAUGUUAUACCAUUUACAUAUACAAUUUAGAAGGAACUGCUAUAAAAAUAUGUUCUAGCAUAACUGCGUGAUAAAUUUCUCAUGAGCAUAAAAGUCCGAUUCCUCAAUUAGCCAUCGCAAAUUCGUAACCUACUAAAAGGCGUGUACAAUAUAUAUUAAACUUACAACUAUCUCUAAAGAAGGAAAAGACAGAAGAGAAGGCAAGCAAAAGUCUAUAGUUACAAGAACAAGCCAAUAUUUCUGUAAAAAAAUAUGGCAAUGAUAUUUUUCAAACAAAAAUCCCAUUAUCAGAUCAGAAAACUGCCUGGCAGUUGCAUAUUGGCUAGAAGUAUUCAUGGAAAAAAGCAGAUGGCAGGUGACAGACACUAUGAACACAAAGUAAGGUUUGAAACUUUGUCAGUGGUUCACUAGCUUAACUAUUAACUCCACUUGUUACUACGCAACCAAUAUUAUUCCAUGUGAAGUUCAUGCAAAAAAUAAGAAUUAGAAACUUGAUAAAGUUCAACUACGCAAAAUAUCAAGAAAUAGAUAAUAGGAGUAAAUUGAAACUUCAUAAAACACAAAAAAGAAAGUAUGUCAUCUCUCCUCUCCCUUUUGCUUCAAUCUUUCUAUCAACACUAUACUAUUUCCUGUCUUGUUUUUGCAGACAAUAUUCAGGCAUUUUAAAAUUCGAUCGCUUAUAAAUCCAUGCUUGUCUUUCUAUCGACUUCAAAACUGGGGCCUCCUAUUCAAACCAAGUUUAUGACUGAACCCUUUAGUUACGAAAACCCAAAAUCUCAGUAAAAUUGGCUCUAACUGAACAUCAAUUCACAUGCUAUAUUGCACGCCAUGACAUAUAUAUUCCAGCAGAUAUUCAAACAUGCUAUUCUUGAACCUGUCAAAGGCCAAUAUUUUGGUUCUGAAACUUCAACAUCUUCUUUGUAGUGUGGUAUAUAAUGAAAUAAAAGGAUCAAAAAAAAGCACUGACAUGCUACUAAUAAUGUGUUCUGACUUACUGAUUACACAAACUAUGGUUACCAGUACGAAGCUUCAUUAAGUAAUCCUAUAAUAUACCUCCAUAUCACUCACAAAGACCGAAGAAGAUAAUUCAGAUUAGCAUCCAAUCAAAUACAAAUUUUUGGCCAAAAUUGAAUUGAAAUAGAAUUCAACCCUCUAAGCCAAUAUAUGCAAUUGUCCAUUUUACAUUUCAAAACGACCAUUCAAACCAGUUUCUCAUUUUGUACAUAUAUCACGGAGCACAUCACACUAGCCAUAACUAACGUCAAUACAGGAUUUUCAUAGUUCACCAGUCCAUAACCAGAAAUCAGUAUGUAAUAAACAGUUAAUAAGAUCACCAAUAAGCUAUCUUCGUUGAAUCCCAUCAUUUUUUUCCAUUUUCGUCCUACAAUGCUUUUAGCUUAGUAAAAGAAAGCAGCUCAUAAAAUACAGUUAAACUUAUCAAACCUCAAAAAUUCUUCCAACAUCACCCAGAUUGAAACACUGGAAACAAAUAAAAGAUAAGCAUCCUUCUGACAAUAUAUAUUUGCCUCCAGGCAUAAGAGCAACUUACAUCAACUUCAAUUGGACUUUCCAGUUCCCCAGUAAAAACAUCGAGGGCAAAAAAAUUUCUUCGAUGAAGAGCAUCCAUUAAUUCCAAAGAUUUACUGUAUCAAAGCCAAACAAAUGAGGAAAAGAAUAUCAACAACUAACUAUCCUGUUAUGAAACCAUUAGUUCUCACAUCUCCUUGCUGUUUCAUCAAUUCAUUUUGGAUCAGAAACUGAUUAUACUGUUCUGCUUUUUCUCUCAUUUAUUCAUGAAUAACUUGUCAAAUCUUUCCGUCAAAACAACAGAACCAUAAACUCCACCUCCAGCAAAUAGGAAGUCCAUAUAUCACCAAAUGAGGGCAGAUUAUUCAUUAGAAGUAACAGAUUUUAUCCCUGCCUCAACCUCAAGGGGCUUUACAUCUGAUAAUGAGAUCAUUCAACUGAAAUUAUACAAAGUACUUCCAAUCGUCUUUAGCAGAAAAGGCAUUGCCCAACUACAUCCACAUACAAUACUUACGAACCUACUUUUAGGGUUUAAUUAAAAGAAAAUGACAAGAAAAACCCACUACUUCAAAAUCUAGCUAUCAAAGUUUAAAUAUUAGACGAUUGCAUUGGCAAAAGAAAGAUAACUCCAAUUGUUUAGAGAACUCGCCUUCUGAAGCAUCAUCCGUGCAUAAGUCACUGGCAAGAAAAUUAAGGAAACAAAGUGAAAUGAGACCUUCAAAAAAUAAUGUUCAUACUGGUUUCCCCAGACGGAUUAUCCGUCAGCAUGUGAUAUUACCAUCUAAUAGUAGUAGCCACUGCCAGAGUGUUCACCCCUGUACAUAGAUGAGUAUGUGCUACCUCCAUACUGCAAAGUAUAGGAAAAUAAGCAAGAAACUUGGAGGUAACUUUGAUAACAUACAAAUAAAAUUUAAAAUGUAGACAAUACCUGAACUAUAGGGAAGUUUGAAAUGGAUAACAGAACUCCACAAAUUUUGGUUUUACUACCUAAUCUUUCAUUACUUUAUAAGUCAGAGAAUUCCAUCAAGUUCUGUUAGAGCUGAACAAUUUUUAUCCCAUGUAUGAGAAUAUUCUGUCAGGUAACAAUAAUCCUCCAGGUCUUAAAAUAUUCCAUAAAAAAAUAAAUAGUUGAUGAAGCAAUAUUAUAUGGUUAGGUAGUAAAAUCAAAAUCUGAAGGUCCAAUUAACCAUUUCAAAAUACGUUAUAGUUCAAGUCUAUACAUUUUUACCUAAUGUAAAAUGUAUAGCAAUACUUACAUCUGAACCAAAGUAAUCACGUGAAUACAUGCCACCCAUUCCUAGCGAAUCUAGAGCACAAAAAAGAAGUAAGCACUUUUCACAGGAACAUUGGAAAAACUCAUAUGUUAUUCCACUUAAGUAAGAAGAUCUCGACCUCGAUAAUGGCUUCCACCCAACAUUGGGUCAGGAUGAUCAAAACGAGGACGUACUCUUGAAGGCUGCAAAUAACUGGACUCGUAUUCCUGAAAGUAAAUUAUAUAACACAAGUAAGCUAACCUGAGAUGGACGGUAACAAAAUGUUCAGUGUCUAGCGUAAAGAGGAAGAACUAACCAUAGCUGAAAAUGGCCGCUUGACACCAUGGCUAAAAUCUCCAUAGAAAUAUGGAUCUUCCCCCAGAUGGGUAGCACCAUAAUGCCUGCCAAAAUCACCCUGUGGUGGAAACUGUGGCCUUCUUGGUGGAAAUCCUCUCCCCCACCCUCCAUCAAAGGCACCACGUCUCCCUGACCCUGAACCCCAUCUACCUCCUGCUAGUGCCAAAAUUUAUUGUAAACAUCUGAGAGAUUUACUAAUAUGCCCUUAUAAAAUAAUUUAUUUUCAAGUACAACAUGUCCUUUGGAAUCUUGAUACCUUACAUAUUUGUGUGCCUUAUUACUCUUGCACAUAAAAAUGUUCCUACUUAAUAAAACAUUUUAUUAAUGCAAAAUCAACUCUACCUAAUAAGAUGAGUCCCCAUGUUAAGACAAGGCCAUUUUAGCCAAAACAAUGAAAUUUAAAAAGACAGCACUUUCAGCGGUAUAUAUGAAAAUCCAUAUUUUACAAGGGCAUAUAUGUAAAUAGAUGAAUUUCCAGGAACAUACAUGUAAAAGACCACAAAUAAUACUCGAGAUAAUAAACAACCACAGUUAGUCUUCUCUCACUCAAGAUCAGAUCCUCUAUUUACCUCGAAAACCAAAUGGCCGCCUCCCUUGGAAGUUAAAACUCGAAUUUUCAAAACUGUUAUCAGCGAUAAACCUUCCAGUUCUACCGCGUCCAUGUAGAUUGAAACCUCUGUUGCCAUGAAAUCCUGCCCGAUUUGGGAAAGACCUGCCCCUACCAAAUCCUCUACCUGUUGAAACAUGUAGAUAUCAAUGCAUGGCACAGAAUGUAACAUAAAAGGUUGGGACCCCCUCAACUCUCGGCAAUUUUGAACGAACCCUCAAACAUUCUUUUUGUUGAUUGGCAUGCUGUCAGUUUGUGUUUGUUUUGUUUUAAGUUAGUUCAAUCAGUUGAAUUGUGAAUUCCAUUACAUUUACUGACCCCAUUAACUGUCAUCUAGUAACUAUUAACAGAAUGCGGUAAAUCCAUCAGCAAAAAGAGCGCUCAAAGGCAUUGACUUUAAUCACCAUUAACUGAUGGAAAUAAUUAAAAUCAUAACAACCAAAGUUGACUGGCCUAUAGUUGAGGGGGUGUCUGUAAAUCUCUAUCUAAAAAGUACAUAACAUAAGGUGAUAUUUAGGACUUACCAAACCUAUUAAAACCACCUCCAGAGUAUCCAAUGCGAAACCCACCACUCAUCCCACCCUUUACAGCUUGAGUUUUGGGUAAAGGAUUGGCAAGCCUAGCUCGUGCUUUCGUCUGGAUGCUCAUAAAAGUCAGUAGAGUUUCAGGAACGAUAAAAGGUUAUACAAAAUGUGAUAGUCAACAUCUAAGUAGUUUUUGUGUGUUUAGCUCUACAAAAACUGUAUCUCUACUGCAAAUUAAAUAUCGCACAACAUCAUUACUUAGUACCCUGUCCAAAGGAAUGGUAAUAUGAUCACCUAUUAAUUUGUUGCUAAUGUGUGUUAUUUAAAGGAAAGAAAACAUAUAACAGCCCAACAUGAAAUAGAAAAUCAGAGAUAGCAGCAUUGUGAAGUAUUGGACAUUCUUUCACUUUAGAUAGGCCAUGCAUAAAAUAAAAUCUACCAAGAAAUUUACAAAAACAUUGAAACAACUGGUGAUACAAGAUGCAAGUAAAAUCAAGAGAAUCUCUCAAGAAAUCUAAAAAGAAGGGAAAACAAAAAUAGUAGAAAUAGUAAUAUUUACAAAAGAAUUUAAAAAGAAUAUUUGAGAACAACCUGCUUUAUUUAUCACGUGUUCGCCCAAUCUUUUUUAUUACAGAGUCGUUGAAUUUAUUUUACCUUAUAUUAUAAACGGUCAUUCUAUUGCCAAAUUAUUGUUGGGAAACAGUUUAAAAUAGUCAUAGAAGAACAAAGCACUUAAUGAAAACACUUUCCAAAAAAUCAAUAAUACACGUCCUAUUCCAUCCUAGCAGGAAAUAAAAGGCAAUUAUAUGAGAUUGUAAAUGUGUCUCAAGGUAUGAUUAAAAUCAUGUUAUCAAAAAAAAAAAGUUUAAAAAAGAAGCAAAAAUGAGCUACAAAUAUUAAUCUACAAGCCUCGACGAAUAUAGAAUCAAUGGAAUAUGUCGUAGGACAGCAAUCUAAUCUUUGUCAUUCUAUGAUACUGCUGAUUAAAAAAACUAACCAAAUAUGUCUUUUACAAGUCAAUUACCUAAACAAAAUCAUAAAGGCCAAGCCCAUAACUAUAUAGGAGAGAUCAUGUUGAAGAAAAGAAACACUGAAAUCUAUCUUGAUACCCUAUUUAAAUGUUGGUAUUAUGAAAAAGAUGCAUGGUGCACCAAGAUUUCAAAUUUAUUGCCCAUACUUAUUCACCAAAAAACUCUGAAUGACUAGAACCACACAACAUUCGAGUCUUGCAACAAAGGGCAGGGUUUACCAAUCAAAUUCUUAGACCAUUGAAAGUCUUUAGUGAUCAUUCAACAUAACACAAGUGAAUGAGGAGUUAUUUACCAACCCUUCCCUCUCACUGGCGAAUACUAAAUGCAAUCUGAUGGUUUGAAAAAUGAAUAAUGUCGUCCAAAAUCAACUAGUCCACAUUAACCAAAGAACCUGAAUUUUCAUGGCUAGGGUUUCUAUGAUAAAAACAUCACACUAAGAAUCUUAUCGGUUCUUAAUAUGACAAAGUAAAAAUAAUAUCAGCUCUCAAGUACCUUGGACCUGCCAUCAUCCCCCAAGUCAGUGUCAUUUAUGCCUUCAAUGCAAGCAACAGCUGCUUCAUGAGUAGUGAAGUUUACAAAUCCAAAGUCAUUCCUCUUGGCAGUGGACAUAUUGCGAGCAAGCACAACACGCUCUAUCUCACCGUACCCUUUAAACUGCUCUUUGACACGAUCUUCAUCCCAGUAUGGUGGCAACCCAUCAACAAAGACAGAUUUAACCUGUAUUGACCAUAAAAAAGAGAUGUCAGAUACAAACAACUGCAAGGUGAGAGAGAAUGACUGAAAAAGAAGAGCACAAAGACUGACUUAGUUAUUUAGAGGCCAAAAGAUUAUGGAUUUCUUCAACUGGAGAGUUUUGGACUGGAGAGGGUUAAUCUCUUUUUGUUCACUUAGCUUGAAAUCAUCUACUGUAUAUAAAUCUACCUCGGUAAGUUCUUAAUUUUCAUAUACAUCUAAAGAAAGUGCAGAUUCUUACAGAAGAUAUACUGAUGUUGAGUUGGGGGAGUUGUCGAACUCAUGGUAUGAAGUUAUUCUUAUAUUAAAUAAAGCCUUUUCUAAAGAGGAGCAUCAACAGAAAUCUUGAAGGAUAUACAUGAAAGUUCAUAUUUUCAGGGUUAUGUAAAUAGAUAAUUAUGUAGUCCUAUAUAUGUAACUAUAUGGCACAGGGGAUAGAAUACCUGAGCCAUGACUUCUGGGUCCGGUUCACGUAAUGGCUCCGCGAAUGCAACUUUUGCAGUCCUCUCUGGGUGCCCAAAAACAGCAUCCGGUUUCUGCAGACGCUUGUAAGCAAGCAUUGCAUCAGCAUGGCAAGAGAACUCGAGGAAAGCAAAACCCCUACUCAGACCCUCAUUUUGGGUGUCCGCAACAAGAGUGAUACUUUCAACUCCUUCUAUCCCAUAAUCUUGCAGCUUCCUUUUAAUCUAAAAUAUGAAAAACAAAUUGAUUACCACCAUUAGAACUUGAUAGAUUGUACUCUUUAUAAAAUAGGAAAAAGAUAAGCCUUACAGCCUCCUUUGUCCACGUAUUGCAAAUGUUGCCUAAGAAUAGUGUGUCGUUGUCUUCGCUUCUAGCAAUGCCACAGCGCUUACCACGUAUCUGCAGAGCGAUAACUGGUAAGUAAGAUUAACCAUACAAAUGAGGGUGAAAUAUUAAGAUCGACAUGUGUCGAUACUAUUGUCAAUUCCAAUUAGUAAAAUAAAUGGCUGCCUUUACACCGAUUCGGAGAAGUUUAAAUAACUAACACUACCACAGGAAAAUUACAUAAUAUAAAUGCACAGAUCUCAAUAAUAUAUAUCCAAUAGAUAUCAUUUGAUAAAUCAAAGAACAACACCAGCAACCUCAGAAACUUCAGAAAUCCGCUUACAGCUUUCUAAUACCAAAUACUGAAUAGGCAUUUCAGAAGCAAGAAAAGCAAAACUUAUUCUCUGCCAAGUACAAUCCAAAGAAGUGGUAACAACUGCUUUGGGGCACAAUUUAUCUGGUCACACCGGUAUAAUCAAGGAACUUCUAUUUCCACCAAAUCAUAUAAUAGUGCUAUUCAUAUUUGGUCCCCAGUUAUCCCCAUAAUUAUCACACAUAUCCUCAUCAUAAGCAUAUCCAUGUGAUCAUUGCAAUUAUUCCUCCAGCAUAAAACCCAUAUAAAAAUGAUUUUGUUCUCUAAUGUUCAGGAUAGCAGGCUAAGAUGAGGUUAAGAUAAACUAAAAUAUAUGCAAAGAGAACAGAUCAAAGAGAAUAAUUAUCUUACCACAGGACUUUUCAAUUCAGCGAGUGCCCUAGCUGCUUGUUCCUUACUCGCAAACUUCACAAAUGCAAACCCCUUAUUCCUAUUAGUCGCAAAAUCUUUGUGAAGCCUGACCUCAACGACCUCUCCAAUAGGCUCAAACGCCUUCCUUAUAUCCCCCUCCACAGCAUCCCGAUCCAACCCACCAAUAAAUAUCUCCUGCUCUUUCUUCAACUGCCUCCUCUUCGCCAUGUCCGAUAUCUCCAUCUGCUCGUCCUCUUCAACCUUCGCACUUUCUUCUCCUCCUCCUCCCUCCCCUUCUUCCCCUUCUCCUUCUUUUGUUUCCUCCUCAGCCAUGACCUCCUCUUCAAUAGGCUCCUCGAAUUCUUCAGGGUCUACCUCCUCCUCCUCCAUUUCUUGGAGUCUUUCUAUAUCCAUCGCUUCAUUACUGGAAGGACCAUUUUCUGUUUCAUCAUUCUUAUCUGCUGCAGGAGAAGCAUAAUUACAAGUUCACAUUCGGCACAACAGAUUAGAGAAGUUCAACAUUCACCGAGAAUCAGCUAAUUCAGGGAGAAAAUAAGGAAAAGUUUGACUAGGAAAACCAUAAACAUAUGAACUAAGGAUUCUGAUAGUAAGAACUUGUUAUUUUCUUUUUAAUUAAAAUCCAAAAAGAUAGUAGAUGAUCUCUCUGGAAGAAAACAAUUUAUGAACUUACAGAAAAUUCUGUAUACAAUAUAAAGCUUAUAAACAGCUUCUUGUCUUUGUUCGCAUGCAAGUGUUAAUAAACUGUUAAAAAUUUAUUAUGCGAACCAAAAAUUCAAGAAUUAUUCAUGAAUUUAGAAAAAAUUAGAGAAUAUAGUUACCAUGAGCAGAAGUGCCCUUUUCUGGUAUCUCCUCUACUUUGUCCUCCUCCUCGGCUUCCUCCUUUGAUUCCUCCUCCCCCGCUUCCUUAAGAGCUUCCUCCUCCUCUUUCACUUCCUCUGUCGCUUCCUCUGUCACCACUGCUUCCACCUUCGCUUCCUCUGCCACAGCCACUUCCACCUUCGCUUCCUCCUCGCACGCUUUCUCCUCAGCCUUUGCCGCAGCCUUCGCUGUACCCAAUUUGACUUUCCCAGCAGCUUUUUUCGCAGGGGAUUUCGCUGGAGAAGCCAUCGCCGCCGCCGCCGCUGCCGGCUUCUUCUCACCCGACGGGGCAGGCACUUCCUCAACUGAGUCAGGCAUACAAACAAACACUUUCAAGACCACAUCCUACAAAUCAAAAGCCUUGAUUUCUUUAAAAGGGUUUCUACCUUUCUGCUCGGGGUUGGGCUCUGCCGAAGCGGCUGAUUUCGGCGUCGCUUGCUUGCCGCCGCCGCCUUUCCCGGAUCUCCCUCCGGAUUUCGGCGUCGUCUUGGGCGCCGCCGCCGCCUUCUUAGCCGCCGCGGAUUUGGGGGUUUCGGAGUUCCGAGUCCUCAUGCUUCCGAAAAGCCAAAACUCUGAUUCGAUUAUCGCACCUGCGGAUCAAGAAGCGUGGGAAAGAGCGGGCUUUUGAUGAGAAAGGUGUCGUCUUUGUUGGGGAAAAGGGAUCGGAGAGGGGUCGAAUGGGGAAACCCUCCGAUCGAAUUCGAAGGAGAUGUUAGGGCAAACCUGCGAGAAAAAUCUUCGUUCGAUCGACGAGAGAGAGAUGAGCGAGCUCGUAGGGUUUUUCUUUCCCCGCCAGAUAGUGGAGGAUCGAUUUGCAGGAGCACGGUGAUUAGUAAAGCACCGCUAAUAGAAAUUCUCUUUUUUUCACUAAUUGGAAAAAAAAACCCCUUAUAUUUUAGCCUAUUUAUUAUAAACCUUUGUGAAAUUAUUGAGAGGUGAGAGAUCUAAGUUUGGAGCUAGUGCAACUUUUGGUUUACUAUAUUAGGAGGUUGUUUGGCUUAGAUUUAAAAAAUUUAAUGUCCCUAGAAUUGAUUUUACUUUUAUAAAAUUAUAAAUUAGAAAAAAACUCAACAUUAAAUGUAAAAAAUGCAUGAAGUUGUGAAUUUGCAUCUUAUUGUCACACGUAUCGUAUCAUCUAUUUUUAAUAGUGACACAAACUCAAAAGAGUAUAUAAUUUUAGAUUAUUUCAUAAAUUAUGUGGAAGCCGAAAUAUCACGAGAAAUAAAUGUUAUAGUCUUGAAGAGCCAAAAAGUCAUGAGAAACUUCAGAAAUUUUAUAGAAAUAAAUAUGGAUGGUAGCAAAAAGACAUAAAUAAAAGCUUUUUAGAGCCACUUGAUUUUUUAGAUUAGAUUCUCUAGAAACAAUAAAUGAUGCAUCUUUAUUUGUCAUAAUGGCAAUAGGUUUAUAAAUAAUAAAGCAUUUUAGAUUUUUUUUUUCAAAUUUCAAAAGCAUAUCUUUCAUUUUUGUAUUUAGUUUUCAAGAACUAGUAGGCCGAGACUAAUAAAAUUGAUAUAAAUUUGUCAUCUUCAAGAAAAAAAAAACUGACGUAAGCAGCAAGUUAAAUUAAUUACUGUGCGUAAAUCGACCGUCCCUAGAGCAAGUGGCAAAGGAUUUGAUAGUUGGUAUCCAAGACCCAAGUUCAAAUUCUAGUUGAUUUACAUUUCAAGCUAAAUUUAUUUUUAAAUAAAAUAAACGAAGCGGUAGCGUGCUAUCUAUCUCUUUAAAAAAAAAAAAAAAGAAUACGUAUCUGGAAAGAACUAUUUCAUUCUUGAAGGGAUAUAGAAUUUUUCGCAAUANUUUUUUUCAAAUUUCAAAAGCAUAUCUUUCAUUUUUGUAUUUAGUUUUCAAGAACUAGUAGGCCGAGACUAAUAAAAUUGAUAUAAAUUUGUCAUUUAAAAAAAAAAAAAAAAUACUGUGCGUAAGAGAUUCCUCAACAUAUGUGAACUGUAGGUACUUGAACUAAUAACUUCAGCCUCGGACUUACAUCUAAACAAAUGCAUCCUAAUGUGGGCAGGUUAGAAAGUUUGGAAUUAGAUAAAUAUUCAAAAAUUUUGAAAGAAAAAAAAAAUAAGGGAAAACUUCAGAAACCCCCCCUGUGGUUUCAUAAUUUCUCACUUUGCUGCCCGGUGGUUUAAAAUAUAUCAAUGCCCCCCUGUGGUUUCAUUUUUAUCUUUUCGAUAGCUUUUUCGUUAAUAUUUAAUUAAAUUAUAUACAAAAAAACUUCAGAUACCCAUAUAGAUUUAUCAAAUAUUCACUUUAGUAUCCUUUAAUUUUAACUUUAUAACUGAUUUAAGAAAAAAAAAUAAUAAAAUUGACAAGAAAAAGAGAAAAAAAGAAACUACAGGGGGGCAAAGUGAGAAACUACGAAACAACAGGGGGGUUUUUGAAGUUUUCCCAAUCUAAAUAAUAAUAUGAACUAAAAUUAAUUUAAAAAAUAAAAGAAAAUAUUGUCACUACGGAUAUAAAGGAUACAACCCGGUUGUCCAAAUGGAGAGCCUUUGAGGAUGACGAUGGGGAUCUCCGCUCAGUAUUAUGCGCACGCCCGCAUACUCCAUCUCCUCCUUCCUCUCAAACCCCCCUUCUCCUCCUCCUCCUCCUCCUCCUCCUCCCUACUACGCCCUAAUCCCUCUCCUCUCGCAACAACAACAACAACAACAACAACAACAACAACAACAACCUCAAGGGGCCUCCUCUGCUGCUUCUCCUCCCAUGGAAACCCUCGGCGAGGGCGCGAAUCUCGAGGCGGCGGGGGAGGCUCCGCGGAGGGCGAGUCGGGGUUCGUCGUUGCGAGCUUCUACAAGUUCGUGCUCGUCGCGGACCCGGAAGCGGAGGUCGCGAAGCAGCUAUCAUUUCUCCAGGUUCUGGGCUCUCGUAAUCUUGUUCUCAUCACCGUUGAGAUCUCUUUUGUGCUUAAAUCUGAUUUCCUGUACUGUAAUUAACACCAGGAUAUUUUAAUUUGGUUCUUCCUGUAGUUUCUUUUCUUAUUUCUCUGAACCUGUUAUGACAAUUCGCAUUUAUAUUGUUCUUUCCAGGAACGUAACAUACAUGGUCGCAUAUAUGUUAAUGAGCAAGGAAUUAAUGCACAGGUGAUUUCUCUUCAUUGAUCUUUAAUAGAUUUUGAUAUAAUUUGAUGCAGUAAAUUCACAUAUAAUAUUUGUUCCACAUGUAUUCACCAUACUUAAUUCGAACCUCAAUUCCUCAACAGUACAGUGGUCCAACUACGGAUGCGAUGGCUUAUGUUGAGUGGCUUAGAGAAGAUCCGCGUUUUUCUGAUAUCUUGGUUCAACUUUCACCGGCUUUAAGUGGGCAUGCUUUUCCUCGACUUAAACUGCGGUAUAAACCUUCACUUGUUCAGGCAAGCCAUAUACACUGUUUUCUAAUGCAUAUUUGUUCAUGUGUUUCUAUUCUUGAAGCAUUAAAUUCUCCAUGCUCUUAGUAAGCACUUGGUGAAGAAGUAUGAGCACCCUUCUUUACUUUUAGUAAUUUCAAUGUCUGGCCUUGACUCUCAGUAGGAACUUGUUCUAAAUGAAAUAAUUGGAGCAUGACUGUGCAUUUUUAACAAAAUAAUAUCAAGACCACAUUUUUAGUUUUGCCUUUAAGAAGCUGGAAGAUUGGUUGAGCUAUUAGUCAUGAUGACCUAUAUGAAUUUUGUAAAAGGAGGUACAUGUUUGGUGUAGACCCACACACUCUGUUGUGUGCUAUAUUUUGCAUAGUUUUUGUGAUCUAAUUAAUGCCUUCAAGAUUCUAGUGAGCUGAUGCAGGAUACGCACGAUAAUUUUAUGAGAAAUACGUGUAGGCUUAUAUUGUAGAUUUUUGUGGAAUUUGGAACUCAGGAGCAGCUACAGUUUAGAUAAUUAUUUUAUAUACGACUCUAAUAUUUGAGUGUUAUAUUUCUGUUUAUAUUCCUGUGAAGCUAAAAUGUGCAUUUACCUAAUGUAUUCUACUUCAGCAUUUUACUUCCUAAAUGAUGUUCUCCGUUUUCUUAGUAACUGCCGUAGGGAAACAGAAUAAACUUUUGACAUUUGUAUCAUUACUUCGUAUAUCAAUAUUAUCUAAUCUCAACCGAAAUUUCCAUUAAAUUAGAACCAAUCAACUUAUAUCAAAUUCCGCCACAAAAUUUCUGGUCAUGGUCGAGCAGUUAUAUUUGUUUUUUCAUAUUUUUUUACUUAUUUCUUGAAUGUUUAGCUAAUAUAUGUUAACUUCAGUUAGAAGGAGGAGUUUCACACCUUCCUUUGGUGGACCCUUCAAUGAGAGCUACACCAUUGACUCCGUCUGAAUGGAGAAAAAGAUUACAAAAUGGUAGAAAUGUUGAUAUAUUCUCCAGCAACAUAGAUAGCUCAGCCUCUGAAAAGGAGUUUCUAUUACUGGAUGUUAGAAAUGGUAAGAGUCUUCUUCAAUUUUGCUAUUAAUUAUAUGGUUUAGGGAGCAUAUAGCAAUACCGAGGUAUAAGCGGUAGGCCUGGCGGCAUACAACAGGGUUGUUCGGAUUCAAUCCCCAACCUUUCAGGUGGAAUUUGAUAAUGCCAUCCUAGAGGGCUUAUUUGAUCCGACCGACUGGAAUCAAUUUUCCCUACCCUUCGUGACCCCCAAUUCAUCCGAGUCACUAAAUCCUCCUUCCCCAGCAUCACUCUCCUAUCUAAUGCUAUCCAAUCCAUUCUCAAGUGCUAAAACCCACCAGGUAACUAUAUAUUGUUCUAAUUAAGUUUCUUAUUAAUCAUUUUGGAAUAGGUUAUGAAUGGGAUAUUGGCCAUUUUCGAGGAGCUGAGCGACCAAAUGUGGAUUGUUUCAGAAGCACUUCUUUUGGGCUCUCGGAGCAAGAGGUAUGAUCUCUUUUAACAAUAACUACUGCUGCAUACAUGCAUGUGUGGAAUUAGCCUGGAAGAGAAAUAAUACUCCUUUAGACACACUUUUGUGGCAACAGACCAAGCUGAACAUCCCCUUGGAACAGCCUAAAAGAGAACAUCCCUUUAGAUAAACCCUUUUCUGCUGGGGAAAAAGACAUAGGCUUUAGAGUGCGCCCCUUAGCAAUUAUACUGUCUGUUGAAAUUCUGUCACGAUAACCGACUGUCCCUCGCGCAAGUGGCAAAAGGCUUGGUGGUUGGUACCCGAGGUCCCAAGUUCGAAUCCUAGUUGAUUCACAUUUCCAGCUAAGUUUAUUUCUAAAAAAAUAAACGAAGCGGGUAGCAUGCUACCUUUCUCGCAAAAAAGAAAUUCUGUCAUGAUAGUUAAAAUCUCCAUGCUAAUAGUGAGUUAAACAACCCACUCCUCAAAGACUUUUGGCGUAGUUUCUGCACCCGUAUUUUGACUUGAUAUUUCCCUUUUUUUCUUUUCCCUUCUUAGUUUAGUUAAGUGUUUUUUCCUUUUCCUUUUUUCCGAGGCCUCGGUUGCCUCACCUUGUAGCCAAGUUCAUUUCCUAAAUGAAUGAAGCGGUAGCACGCUACCUUUUCUCAAAAAAAAAAAAAACAACCCACUCUUCUGUGUAUGUAACAUUACCUAAUCCUUGUAUAGACUGUAAGGUAGAGAUUCUCCAUGGUAAUAGUGAGUUAAACAACCCACUCUUCUGUGUAUGUAACAUUACCUAAUCCUUGUAUAGACUGUAAGGUAGAGAUUCUCCAUGGUAAUAGUGAGUUAAACAACCCACUCUUCUGUGUAUGCAACAUUACUUAAUCCUUGUGUAAACUGUAGGUUAGAGAUUCCACUCUUGCCACUUUUAUGUACAUAAUUUUUUCUUUGUAAUUUUUUGGCUCAAGCAUGGAAUUUAUUUCUCUCAAUUCAGGUGGAUGCAUCAGACCCUUUGACAGGAAUUGACAAAGAACGUACAGAUAUACUGAUGUACUGCACCGGUGGCAUACGCUGUGAUGUAUAUUCUACAAUUCUUAGGUAUCAAUGCAUUUAUAACAUCGCAAUCGUUAACGUACGAUCCCUGAUCCUGUGCUAGUAGGCAUGCUGUUCUCCCUUUAGAUGGGGACUGUCCCAAUUCGCAGGGAAAUUUUAGUUCCGAAUAGGAAGAAGCUUUUGAAGAACAUUUGCAUGAUAAGUCUUAAGUUUAUAAAAGGCGUGGAUGAAAACUCAGAUUCUGCACUGAAAUAUGCGUAUGCAGAUAGAUGAAUUUGCAAUAGUACUAGCUAAAUUCCUCCUUGCUUUUCUAUUUUUCGCUUUUUCAUUUUUUUCCCCCUCUUCGUAAUUCCAGGCAGAAGGGUUUCAAAAACCUUUACACUCUGAGCGGGGGUGUGUCUAAUUAUCUAAAGAGCGAGGGCCCAGCAGAAUGGUUGGGAAAUCUCUUUGUUUUCGACUCACGUCUUUCCUUGCCCCCUUCUACUUAUAACCCUGAGAAAGAUUCCGAAGGCGAGCCACAACUGGUUUCUGAAAGCACCAUGCUUGGAAAGUGCUAUAUAUGUGGAUCACAGCUUCUUGAUUUCAGGCACCGCAAUUGUGCAAAUCUCGACUGCAAUCGGCUUUUUCUGUAAGCUAUUUUCAUUUUCCGUUCGGCUGACUUACUAAUUUGAGAGUAUACUCCGUUUUUGUGAGUAUUUCGUGUAGAAUAGUGUAAGGGUCUGUUUAGCCAGGUCGAGUUGAGCUGCUACAAGAAGCCUAAAUGCUUUUUCAUUCAAAACAACUUGAAACUCUCCAGCUGCAGCUGAAAAUAGACGCUUCACGACUAGGGCUUAUGCUUUUCGCAUCCCGUGUGCUCAUUCUUUUGCUUCCUUUAAGGCGGAAGCUGCGAACUUUUUUGUUUGCCAAGCAUCAUUCUUCUACUUCGCGAGCAGAGAGACUAUCCCAGAUGGCCAGCUGAACGAGCAGAAAGACGGCUCAAAACGGCAUCAAAACAAUGGCUUAUUAGUUGUCUGCCAUCUCUUUCAGGUGUUGCAGUUCAUGUGCGAAAGAGUUGAGAGGCUGCUGCGGUGCGGACUGCGUCGGUGCUCCUCGACUGCGACCCGUUUUACUCGGACGUCAGAGAUACCAGAAAUGGCACAUCUACCGGGACGGCGAGUUUCCAAAAGAAAUAACAGCUUAAUGCAACGUUCCUUCUCCGUGCCAGUGCUCUUGCAUCAUGUCCUCACCAAAAGAAGUUGAAGCUUCUUCUAACACACACUAAAAAUGAAAAAGAUUCACCUUCAAUGGAAGGUUUGGUAAUUUCUUUGUUAAAAUCCGAUUCUGAUUUUAGACUUAAAGUUUAAAUUUGAACUUAUUUUUAAAUUUAAAUUCAGAUUUUAAUUUUUAAUUUUUAAUUUUGAUUAAAUGUUGGUGCAUCGCGAAUAGAAAAAUAAUUUGACAUCUUAAAUGUUGGCGUAUCACUAAUCAAAACACAUUAAAUUAUUUUCACAAUAGUAAUACAAUAAUUUUUAGUCAAUUAAAUUGGGUUCUAAUUUAAUUUUAAAUUUAAAUUGUUAAUUUUUAAUUUUGAUUAGAUGUUGGUACAUCGCUAAUAUAAAAAUAAUUUGACAUCUUAAUUGUUGGUGUAUCACUAAUCAAAACACAAUUACAUUAUUUUCACAAUAGUAAUACAAUAAUAUUUUGUCAAUUAAAUUAGAUUCUAAUGAUUGUAAUAAUUUUGAAAGUUCAAGUAAGAAAUUAUAACAAAUUAAAUUUUAACGAUCCCACCCUCAUAGUUUGGGGACCACGCGUGCAACUUUAUCUAAACUUGAAUUCGAGUGGGGCUAGUUUGGACUUUGGAUUGCUAAAUAGAUAUGGUUUCGAAUACAAAUACAAAAAUUAAAAUUUCGGCGGAUUCAGACUUGAAUAUGGAUUUUGUCUGUACCUGAUUCGAACGUGAAUCCGAUCUGAAUCCAAAUAAAUUUUACAUUACAUUACAUAAUAUGUAUGAAAAUUGGAUGUUAUAUUUGAAUGUGCAUUUUGAAAACUUUGAUUUUUAAUAUAAUAUUUUUUGAAAUACGGUAAAAAAGGGUUUCGGGUUGGAUUUAGUUUUGGAUUGAAUUUUUAAAAUCCGUUACAUUCUAGGUUUCAUAUUCGGAUUUCAAAAUUGAUUGUCGGAUUUGGAUUGAGGUUUGCAAAAAUCCGACCCGUUAACAUUAUCCAUGUAUCGUCCAGCUUGUAUAUAUAUAUGUCUAAUUAGAGUCGAUUAUUAGAUAACUACAACCGUUAAAGAUAAUCAACCAAUCGAAAUUCAUCUUAGCAGAUAAAAUCAUAUAAUUAUCUAAUUGAAUUCGACUAGGAUUCGAUACAUCACGGUACAUAUAUAUAUACAUAAUAUAAUAAUAAUAUUUAGUCACGUACCUAAGGAUUACAAAAUUAUAAAUUAAUUAACCGUUCUCCUCUCUCUCUCUCUCUUUCUUUUUAUCUCCUCUUCUAAGACAUUUAUAUAUUUAUUUAUAUCUAAAUUUACUUCUCUACCCAAUCAUGGAGAUUCCGUCAAGUCCGUUACCUCCUCCGUCCACUUCCGUCUCCGACCUCGACCUCGACUUCUUCAGCGGCCUCGGUGUAAGCACAACUUUUUUUUUUAUUUUCUAAAUUUAAAAAAUUUCUCUUAUAUUUUAGCACUAAUUUUAAUUAUUUUUCCGCAUUACGAGCUACAUUAAUUGAUAAAUUAGACGGUAAAGUUUUACUAAAACGAGUUAGCAUGUUACAUUGUCCUACAUCUUAAUAUGUGUCUAAUUUGCAAUUCAGAAAAAAAAUAUGAAAAAUGUAGAUAAUUGGAUAUUUUGUUUUUCUAAUACUAUCGGAAUUGAUAGUUGAUUAAAUAAUUAAUUACUUUUACAGAAACUUUUUGAUUGAAUUUAGUAAUUAUUCUGAAUAGCUUGACCUAUUUAAGAUAAUAACAAAAUAUGAAAAAAUAAUUGGUGUAAUUUUUCAUGUAGGGGUAACUAAAAGAAGCACUAAAGUGCAAGGAGAUUUUUUUCUUUUAUAAUUUAGUUAUUUGUUUAUAUUGACGUAGCCACAUAUCUUUAGUAUUUGUCUGAUAUUAACAGGGUAAAUUACACUUUUGGCCUUCAAACUAUGUGACCUUUAUUAAUGUUUUGGUCAGGUUAAGAGACUAUUUUGAUAAUUUUAGGAUAAAUUUGAAAAUUAUGAAUAGUAGUCAGAGGUAAAUAAAUAAGAACCUCUAAUUUAUUGUAAUUUCUAGUUCAAACUUUUUAAGUUAUUACUAUAAUUAAGUCCACAAUCUAAUUUAAUUAAAAUUUAUUGUAAUUUAUAGUUCAAACUUUUAAAGUUAUUAUUAUAAUUAAGUCCACAAUCUAAUUUAAUUAAAAUUUAUUGUAAUUUAUAGUUCAAACUUUUAAAGUUAUUAUUAUAAUUAAGUCCACAAUCUAAUUUAAUUAAAAUUUAUUGUAAUUUAUAGUUCAAACUUUUAAAGUUAUUAUUAUAAUUAAGUCCACAAUCUAAUUUAAUUAAUUAAACAUAAUCAUAAUGUUAAUAUAUAAAAGUGAUAUGAUAAUAUUAUGAUUUAUAAUACGACAAUAAUUAAGAUGUUAUUUCGUUAUUAUAAGUCCGGCUACUAUAUAAGUAUAGAUCUCUUUAUAUUCAUAAGUUUUCGACUGUUAGAUCUAUCACUUUGAUCAUUUUUAUCCGUUAAAUAAUACUAUUCAAUCAACCACCUACUCAACUCAAAGGGGCGAAAAUUUAUGAGUACAAAAAACUCUGUACUCAUAAAAGUAUAGUAGCCUUAGUCCGUUAUUUAUUUAUUUAUUUAUUUUUUUUGAGAGAUAGGUAGCACGCUACCCGCUUCGUUUAUUUCAUUUAGAAAUAAACUUAGCUAGAAAUGUGAAUCAACUAGGAUUCGAACUUGGGUCUCGAGUACCAACCACCAACCCCUUUGCCACUUGCUCUAGGGAUGGUCGGUAGCCUUAGUCCGUUAUUAUAUCAAUAUUUUGUCAAUAUUUAGUAAGUCCGUUAUUAUAUCAAUAUUUUGUCAAUAUUUAGUAAAGUAAAUUGGUUUGCGAAAUUUGAUUGCAUCAAUUCAGAAUGUUCGACUAAAAAAUUAUAAUAAUAAAUUAAAAUUUGAAAAUCAAAAGUAUCACAUUUAUAGUUUGAGGACCAAAAGUGUACCAUUAGUAAAUUUUUAUUUGUAUAUCAUCUGUUUCAUUAUAUUUGUUUGGAUCAACAGGAAAGUUUAUUUACAUUAUAAAUUAGAAAAUUAUGAUCCAAACUAAACAUCAAAAGAAAUUUUCAACCAAAAUUUCCGGUUGUUGCAAUUUUUUUUUUUUUUUUUUGCAAAUCCUGCUUUUUUGCGUUUUCUGUUUUUUCUGUUUUAUCUUUAUCUAUGGGUUUUGGAGUUUUCUUAUCAAAAAUAUUGCUUAGGGCUUUUUUUGCUUGAUUUUUUUCAGCCUGAUGAAAUUCUUUUUUUNUUUUUUUUUUUUUUUUUUGGCAAAUCCUGCUUUUUUGCGUUUUCUGUUUUUUCUGUUUUAUCUUUAUCUAUGGGUUUUGGAGUUUUCUUAUCAAAAAUAUUGCUUAGGGCUUUUUUUGCUUGAUUUUUUUCAGCCUGAUGAAAUUCUUUUUUUUUUUUUUCCGUAACUUAGUUUGUUGUAUACCACAUAAACAAGAGGUUUAAUUAAGCUAACCAAACUUCAAUUUACUCCAAUUUGAUGUACUAAACUUCAACUAUUUCUAAUAGGGGAAUCAGAUAGCAAUUAAUUCUGCGAAUUAUUGUGCUGUUAUUCGUCGAAUAUGAUGUGAUAGCUGAGUUAGCUGGUAGAGUAUGCCACACUGAUACAUCUAUUUCAAUAAUUUAAAGUUCUGGGAAUUACGGUUUCUGUUUAGGGUUUGGAACUUGCUCACAAACUGUUUGACACAAUGUCAGCAAAAAAUUAGAUUGAGGCAACUAUUGCUUUGAGUUUAUGAAUUCUUUGAGGGUCAUCUAGGGUUUCCAUUCUUAGUUGCAGUUAUCUUUGCAAAGGUAUAACUUUUCGGUUUUAAGAGCUACCGAGUGGUUGUUGAGAAUCAUAAGAGUAUUUAACUAGUCCCGAUGUUCGAAGACAUGGUAGUCAAUUUGUAGGUGAAGUUUAUUAUCUUGAGAAAAAUCAUGAUGCUCUUAAUCCCCAAAACUGCACUAUUUAUCCCCAGUUUACUUGUUUCGACAUCUGUACAGGCUCUAAUAAUUUUGCACUUGUUCGCAGAUGUUUGAUGAUACGGAGCGCGUGCUGAAGUAUUUCAACGAUGUAGACAUUGACCGAUAUAAUUUAGGGCUAUUCCAAGAGGAAAAUAAAGGAAUUAUGAGCAAUAAUUCUGCUGUAGUUGACGCUGGGAACUAUGAUAUGGCCCUAUCUUACGGCAACGGAAUGAUGAACGACAAUCUCAAUAUGCUUAAACACGAGAACAAUGGAAUGAUGAACAAUAAUUGCGGUACUGUCGCGGUCAAGAACAAUGGAGAGAUGGUGAACAUCUUACCGAUUGUUCCGCCGAGUAAUUCUGGCAACGGCCAGGUUGAGCUGGCGCGCGGUUUCCACCAUGGAAAUCCGGCGAAUGUGAAUUGGUCCCAUGAGCAGAAUAAUGGAAUUAUGAUCAAUAACUCCGCUAUAGUUGGGAACACAAGAACAAUCGCCAACUCCGAUGCGCUAGUCCUACAGAAGGACAAUCGAGUAACAAACAACAAUGCCGCUAUGGUUGAAGUCGCGAACAACGGAAUGAUGAGAAACAACUGUAGUGUUGCCACAGUCGAGAACAAUGGACCGACAGAUAACAUUUCUCUGAAUAUUCUGCCUAGUAAUUCUGGCAACGGGCAUGUGGAGCUAGUGCAAGGUUCCUGUUGUGGAAAUUCGAUGAAUGUGGAUUGCUCUCGUCAACGAAAUAAUGGAAUUAUGAACAAUAGUUCUCCUAUGGUUCAAGCCGGGAAUACCUGCUGUACUGUCCUACCUGAGGACAGUGGAAUGGCGAACAACAAUACUGUGAUGGUAGUACAACAGAACAAUGGGAUGGCGAAUAGUUAUGGUAGUAUUGUCAUAGCUGAGAACAACGGAGAGACGAGGAGCAUUGCUCCUAUUAUUCCCUUGUGUAAUCCCAGCAACAAGCAUGUUGAGCCAGUGCACAACUUUCGUCAUGGAAAUCCGGCGGUCCUGAGUUGGUCCCGAGAAGAACAAUCUAUUUUGAUGGAAAACCUUCCCAAGUAAGUCCAUAAUUGGCUUCCUAGCAUUAUCCUGUGAUGUUCGUCAUUUUCGCUUAUUUCCCACAAAUAUGUCUUCUUCUUCAUACUGACAAUCUGUUUUUAAAUGCUUUACUCCAGCCUAAAAGUGAACAAAUUCAAAUAUAGAUGGUUGACUUGGAAUAUUUAACUUAGAUUUUGUGCCUAUGUGCAAAACUUCAGCCUCUAAGUGAACUUUAGUUUGUGGUGGCAAGGUCACAUUGAAGCAUUUGACCUUCUUUAGUCUUGAAUUUGAUUUGAACAGGAAAACAUAAUCUCUCUCUCUUUUUUUUUGGUACAAAUGUUCCUUCUUUAUACUUGCAUGCAGUUUUAAGGCUUGAAUAGAGUUGCUCAAGUAAGCACCGAUAAUUUUUUGCCAAAUUUGUCAUUAGAGCUUUCUUCUGCAAUUGUAGAAGGUGGAAAAAGCUGUUGGAGGGAUUUGAACUGAAAAGUUACUAGUGCUUAUCAUAACAGUAAACUCGCCAUCGAACAACACUAUAGAAUGUCCAAACGGGCACUAUUUCAUACGAAGAAUGCAUACUCGUUGUAUCGUUUGCUUUCUAUUGCUACCAUGUCCUAGAUAUCCUUUUCUCUUAAUCUUUUUUAUUUUCUCCCUCACUAUUUCCCGCUAUGCUUAUUGUGCGACACUUGUUUCUCUGAGCUUUUCAGGUAUGAGAACGAGCCAGCAUUGAUGAAAUAUGUUAAAAUAGCAGCUAUGCUUCCCAAAAAGUGUGCAAGGGAUGUUGCAAUGAGGUGUAAGUGGAUGGUGAGUACUCGGCAUGUCACAGUGCGCUUCUAUUUUUCAGAUGCAUGGAAUUUACUUUUUCUUGGUCAUUUACCUUUAACAUUUAUACAUCUCUCAAUGUUUGUUUCUUUUGUGAAUGGUCGAUAUUUGUGUCUCAUUCAUGAAGUUAGCAAAUAAAAGCAUGAAUAUCAAUUUCUAAAAGGAUCAAAUGGUUUUCUAGCAUAUAUUGUUUCUAUAUCAAUAUAUAUACACACUCUGUACUACAGUGUGGAUACAUGGGUAAUUGGCCAGAGUAAACCAUUGGCAACCUUGCGUUCUUAAGUAGUAUAGGAUCACAAAACUAUCCUCAUUUUGCAUCAAUACCCAGUGAAAAUUACGUCGACUAUCAAAUACCAGAUUUUUGGCUGACAUGUAAAAAGUGAGGGUAAUUUCAUGAAUUUCUAGUAAGCUUCUAGUGUGCCCUGUUGGAAUUUUGCGCAAAGGGCAUACAAGAGCUUUUCUUAAGGAUAUCUGGGCAAAUUUUAACUUUAGGGGUUUAUAUGCACAUUGUCAUGCUGAAUUAAGAUCGAGAUGUAUAUAGAACUACCUGAUAAUUCAACUGCAGCAACUCUUCUUUUUGAAAUUGUUUUAGGAAGUUCGUUAAAUCUUUGCAACAGCAAGGAAGAAUGUUGAUGUUUUCUUACAUCAAACUCAGUUUUCUUGAGUAAAGAUAAUCAGAAUCCUUUUAGUAAUUUUCUUAGAUGUUGCUAUGAGUUUGUACUUCUGACUAAGUAGCUCAAAACAGCAAAUAUCCUUUAUGCGUCCUAGUAAUCUCUAACAGUUUCAACCAUUAUAACUUGUAGUCUGCUUAUUGCACUAGUGAAAUUUGUAAUUGUGUAAUAAUGCCAUCUAACAUUUUGAAGGAAAAGAAACAAACUGCUGAAGAACAUAGUGCGGGAAGGAUCAGUGAAGAACAUAGUGCGCAAAGGAUCAGCGAAGAUAAGAAGGUAAUGAUCAUUUUCAAGUUUCAUGAUUGUCAAAUUUUGAAGUACAAAUUGCAAAUGAGAACUCUCUUAUAAUUCUUAAGAAUCUAAGGGUCAAGGUUUUUUUUUUGAAAACAAAUUAAUAUAUAGUUUUCUUUUCUAUGAGUUGGCCUAUUAUUUUACACAUGUUUCAGCUAUUUCUUUCUUUAUUAUUCAUGAUUGACUGUGGGUAAAACUAUAAAUUCAACAAAAAGGCCGGGACAGCUGCCAAACUAUGUGUUUGAUUUAAACCCAAAUUAGCUUGUUAACUUUGGCUAGAUUCUGUCAAACUAAAUAGUGUCUGUAAAUAUGUUGCAAGAUAUUUUGUCAAAUAUUAAUUUUGCGGGUGCCCAUACAUAGCUGAGAAUUUAUUGCACUUAGCUUUUGAACAUAGAUCGUUCGUUUGUAGUACUCUUGAUGGAUGCUAAUUUUGAAAAAAGAAUACAUACAUUCAACUUAUUGUGAAAAAACUCAUUGAUUUGAAAUGUUGCUUCCGUUGUUUCAGGGAAAGAAGGUUGAUACUUCUCAAAGAACCAAUAAUCUGCCCAGGCAACGAAAAGCUAAGGCUCCUAAUGCAACUGAGAAUAAAACAGGUUGGUAGAUUUUUCUUUUGAGUUAUUAGUUGAUUCAGUAUCUUAUUAGAUCAAGUGUAGCAUUUUAUCAGAUACAUAUUUUGACCUAAUUUCUUGUUCGUUUUCUCUUAUUCAUUUUGACUUUUAGCUCAAGGUUAUUACUUAUAACCCUUCGUUUUGAAUUCAGUUUUAUACAAGUAUAUGCAUCCACUAGGCGCAGCGAGUAGUGUUCAUCUUUUCUUCGGUUGUGAAUUAGAAGUUUCAUUAGGCAGUGAAAAUUCGGAAUCAUAAAAAUUGACGACCUGAUGAUUUCAGUAAGUGAUAAGUUUGUUUCCUUCCCUGGGAAAACAUCAGAAGUUUGACCUUAUAAAGAUUUCCUUUGUAUCACUCAAUCUAAUUUUUCACAUUGUGCAGAUCACCAUAAAUAAUGAAAUUUCACGGAAACAAGUUUCUAGCGUUUUGUUCCAUGAGAUGGGACUAUUUUUUAAGUUUCUAGCUUUUCGGAAGUGGAAUUUGAUUUAAAAUCUUCUCUAGAUAGUUGAUUGUUUGUCAAUUAGUUAAAUCAAUUGAGCAGACCUCUUUUGUUUCUUUUUUUCCUUUUGUAUCUCUUUGGUAUUCAUUAGAGCUUGAUAAGUGCUAAUUAUCCUUCUGUUUGAUAACUUCUCCAUUUCUUUUUAGAAGUUUCAGUUCUUUUCAUUUUUCCUGGCAUCCUUUCAGAAGAUUUAAUUUCGCGUGUUUAAAACACUGUUUAUCCUAGUAUAUUUGUUCUACUGCUUAAUGUACCAUGUUGUUUAGCAAAUUAGUCUUUAUUCACAACCAAUGCUGUAACAACCCGACUCGCUAGUAAUUAUAACUCGUUGGUCCCACACCAUCGAUCCAAAAUGCUUAAGCUUAGUUAUUAUUACUAGUGUCUAAAAUACUUAAGCCUACUAAUUUUUACUAAUGUACACGGCCUCUUAUAUUCCCAAUCAGAGCUCUUUUCCUAUUCGAUAUGGGAUUAUUGGGGUAUUAAAAACUCCCCAAAGUUUAGAUCCUAGCGUCCUAGUCAGGUCCAAAACCAAUCACGAAUAUAGACCUCAUUCAGGUCCUGACAUCUUCAUCAGGUUCAAAAUCCAAUUACACAUAUAGACCUGAAUUAGUAGGCCAUGUUAGAUGCUAACGAUGGCUUUUAUGAGUUUAAGAGGUGGCUUCCAUCAAACCCAUACACUUUUGGCUGGUAUUUGUCUCCAAUACCAACUAUAACGGUCCGACCCAUUAGCAAUAAUAAUUCGUUAGACCCAUAUUACUGUCCCAAAAUACUUAUGUCUAAUUAUUAUUACUAGUGUACCUCUUAUAUUCCCAAUCAGAACUCCUUUCCCCUUCAGUGUUGGACUAUUGAGGAUUUACAAAUAUUUUCUAAUUGAUAUUGUGUUUCUCAUUGACUUAUGUUUGUUUUACCAAGUUGCUCAUUGGCUUAUGUCUUUCCUACCAAGUAUUGUCUUUUGAGUUGUUUAUUGAUGUCUCCAGGUUCCAAAAAGGAAAUGGAGCAAAUUUUGAAAGCAACCAACAGACUUGUUGACCAGCUUGAAGCAAAAAUUGGGGCAGACACGGUAGGCUUAUUUGAUUUGUAUUAGAGACGUAUAAACAAUAUCUGUUACUGUUUUUUUCCCCCAAAUACGUUAAAUGUUCCUUCACAUCUAUAGUUUUUUCCACACUGGAUGCAUAAGUUUCACUAGCAAAGUUGCAUGUUGUUAAUGUUUUUCAUUCGAAUCUGUUCAUUUCUCAUGUACAGGAUAUCAAAAAGCUCAUCUCUGGAAUCAAGAAAGGCAUCCGAGCUGCUCUAAAUGGGUAAUUCUGAAAACUUAUGUACUCGAAUUGAGAGUACUUACUCUUUUAGUGGGGGUUUUGAUCUCGUUAUCUAAAAAAACAUUUCUUUCAUUAAACAGUGCGAGUCAGAUGACUGAUAAAUUUGAUGACGAUGCUGCAUGUCCUGAUUGAUGCAGAACCAGCUAAUUCCUCGUUACCAGGUGAUGCCGAGGUAAACUUCCAGUUGCCCCAUGGUUUAAUACCUGCAAUGCUGGGAAUUUCGACUUAAUGUAUGAAUCCUUACAUUGUCAAAACCAGUUUAACUUUAUCGAAAAUUCAUACUUGUUUGGAAGGGUUAAAAACUAUAGAAUCUUCCAGGCAAAUACAGUGUCUAAAGAGCGUGCCUCAGGCAUCUGCCUAGGUGCGCACAAAGCGCAGGCCACCGCACCUGGCAACGCCUAGGCAGGUGACCUCACCUCGGCGCGCGCUUUGCGAGCCUAGGCUCCAACAGCCCAAUGCGCCUUGGUGCGCCUUGGGCAUUUUCAAACACUGGGCUUAUAUAGGCGCAAUUGAUUUUUUCGAACUAAAAAUCAUUGUUUAAUUCGAAAGUGCUAAACAGUUUACUUUCACUUUAUCUUGAUCCCAUUUUGCUUUUUUUUUUUAUCUUUUCUUUGGAAGGUCAACGCAUCCAACAACACUCAAUACCAAGCUGCUGCAGUAUGAAAAGAAAUAGGAAUCUGUAGAUACACAGCCACCUUGCACAAAUACCAACAAGAGUCUGUAAAUACCCCAAUACCGAAUACUGAAUCUGAAAGAAAAGAAAGAGGCAGAUGCUGGAUAGGGUUGCCUCAAGUAUUAGUUUUAAUUUUCUUUUUGAUUCUAUAAUUUGUCAAUUAUGCUUUACAUAAUAUGAUUUACAUUAUAGUUCGCAGAUUAGUGUUCUUUUUUUCUUUUUUUUUUUGUAAUGUUUAGCAUUUAGACUUGGGAAAGAUUAGUGGUACAGAGCAAUUGCUCUGUAAAUAGCUAGCAAAAAUUGUCGAGGGAGAAGGAGAAAAAACGAAAUUUACAGAGACUGGCUGGUACUGUCUUUCUUUCUUUGGUUGAAUUUAUAUAUAUAUAUUCUUCUCAUAUUCUCUCGAAGAUCUCAUCUAGAGUUGCUGCAAUGUUAUUAUAGCAUUCGUGCACUCGCUUCUUGUCUUUGUCCCUCGCCGCAUAAUCUAGCUGCAAUGUGAAUAAAUGUAAAAGAAAGUCACUUGAAAUUCUUCUUGACAGAACCUAUGGACACUUCUUUCGCCAUUUGUAAACAGAUGCUCAGACUUGCAGCUUCUGUUUUGUAUUUGCCUUCUUCAACUAGCAUAUUGUCUGAUAACAAUUUCUGACAGAACAUACUGAAACUCGUGUGCUAACUUUUCUUGUGGAGGUUGCGGGAUUCCCGCAACAAAAACGAUAAAUUUGUCGGAUGUGUUUACAGUUUUCCUCAUUCCGAUCACGCUGCACACAGUGUUCAGAGAGAAUAGAACACUGGAAUGAGGAAUAAAUGAAAUGUAAGUUAACUUACAUCAGACACACUGUUGAAGAGAUUGGAGUAGAGCUGCCGCAGCCGCGGCCUGAGGCUUCUGGGCUUCGAUUGGAUUACUCGCGAAGCGCGAGCUGCGCUUCUCUCCACGACUCUGUAUCCAAAAGCGCUUUUAUUCCCAGCAGAUCUCGCGCGUGUGCUCUUAUAGCAGCUUCUGCUUCUUCUGGUGUCUGGUCAGGAGUCGUGAUGCGGAACUCGACAGCAGAAGCACUUUUCAGAGAUGAGAAGAGCUCCUGAUGAAGCAGGACAGCAGAAGCAAAAGCUAGUUUUCUUCUGCUGAAGCGAUUCUUUUGCUUUUGUAGAGGCCAUAUCCAUGUCUUAUUUGAUUGAUGAGUACUUAAGUGAAUGGUCCUACGUGGUGUAGCAUAGUGUUGUGUAGUGUUGUGUUAUAUGGAUUAGGAGAAACUGUUGCCUGGGUUCGGUUCACCAAGUAAUCCGUGGACCCUGGGGCCUCCAAUAAUCUAUGGAUAAUGCGAAAUUAUUAUUAGAAUAUAUUAGUCCUCAUAUAUUGAAAUACAAUUUCUUUUCUAUUCAAUGAGGGAAUAUAAAAAUAUUUAAUAAAAAAAUUAUCCGUUAGAGAAAAAAAGUAAUUUAAAUCUUAUUUCCUUAUAUUUUUUUUUUGCAUAAGAAAAAAGAGAAAUCAAAAAUUUUCCGGCCAAAAUGUGUGUCUUUUGACAGACUAAAAUUCAAAAAACGUAUUUUUAUAUAUAGCAUAUAUAUAUAUAUAUAUAUAUAUAUAUAUAUAUAAUAUAAAUUUUAUUAUUGAUUUUUAGUCCAAUCUAAAUACAAAGCCCAACUCAAUUAUAAAAAGACUCAUUAUAUGUAAUGUUUCAACAAUUACAUCACAAUUUAAUGAGUAAGAUCUAAAAAAAUUAUUUCUAUAUAUAUCCUUUAAUGUUCGUGAGCCAGCUCGUAUUCGGCUCAUUAAUAAACGAGCCAAACGCGAGCUAAAUUUUUCAGCUCGAUACUUUAACGAGCCAGCUCACGUUUAGCUCUACACGAGCCAAACACGAGCCGGCCCUNUAGGCGAACAAAAAUACAAAGAUAAUUAUAUUUUACGAACUUCAGUAUUAGAUUAAAAUUCUAAUUUUUUAAUUCUUUCACACUUUUCAAACCUAACAAUCUAACUUACUGUUCACAAUUUGGAUAUUUUAUCUUAAUAUUUUAACAAAAUAGCUUGUGUUCGACUUAUUUAAUAAAUGAGCCAACACGAGUCGAUUCUGCUUCCUCGUGUUCGGCUAACCAAUAGCUCUAAUUAAUAUGACUUUCUAUAUUAUUAAUAUGACUUUCUAUAUUUUUAAUUUUUUUUUAAAAAUCUUCUAUUCUGCUAUAUUAAAGGAGGGAUUUUAAUAAAUUACUCUCAAUUUUUUUUCAUAUAAGUCUUUAUAAAAUAGUUUGAUUACUAAAUAAUUUAAAUACUAAUAAGUUGUUGCAUAAAUUUACGUUGCACAUAGGCCAAUUUUAAUUAUAUUUAAUUAAAUAGAUUUAGUUUAUUGAAUUAUUUUUAUUUAAUUUUAUUUAAUUAAUAAUUAGACUAAUAAAAUUGCAUGAAAAUAUAAAAAUAUAAAUUAAAAUUUAUUAUUAAAAUAUUUUUAUAUCCGCAGUGUGUGUGUAUAAAUUUGGACUUCUUGGAGUUCUUCUCCGUCUCACUCCUGUUCCCUCUCUCUCUCUCUCUCUCUCUCUCUCUCUCUCUCUCUCUCCUCUCUAAACCACUCGAAGCUAGGGUUUCGCCAAGGUGAUCUCGCUCCCUUCAGCCAUGGAGGAGGCCCCGAGGAAGACGAAACCGGAGGAGGAAUCCUCUCCUACAGAGGAUGGAUCGCCUCUCGCACCGGAGCCGAAGAGGAGGCGGAUUUCCGGCGAGGAGGACGACGGCGGCGGCGCCGGAGGAGGAGGAGGGGCGGAGGAGGAGGAGGAGGAGGAGGAUACACAAUGGGAAGAUACGGCUACUAAUGCGAGUAAGGAUAUCACUGGUUGGUGGAUUAUUCUCUUGUUGAGUUAUUAGUUGAUUGGGCAUCUUCUUAGAUCAAGUGUAGCAAUUGUGUCAGAUGCAUAUUUUGACCUAACUUCUUGUUUGGUUUCUCUUAUUCAUUUUGACUUUUAGCUCAAGAUUAUUACUCGUAACUCAUAUGCAUCCGCUGGGUACAAUCAGUAGUGUUCAUCUUUUGUUUGACCGUGAAUGGAAGUUCCGUUUCGGCAAAUUGUGAAAAUUUGAAGUCAUACAAAUUGACUAUGUGAUAGUUUCAGUAAAUGAUAAGUUUGUUUCCUUUCUUGAGAAAUUAUGAAAAGCUCGCUCGCUAUUGUUGCCAAACUUAUGCCCUCGUAAAAGAAAACAUGAAUUUGACCUUCCAAGGGUUUCUUUCGUAUCGCUCAAUUGAAUUUCCCACCUUGUUCAGAUCACCAUAAAUGAUGAGAUUUUCACCGAAACAAGUUUCUAGUGUUUUGUUCCAUGAGACGGGCGUAUUUUUCAAGUUUCUACCUUCUUGGAAGUGAAAUCUCAUCUCCUGUAGAUACUUGAUUGUUUGUGAAUUAUUUUGAUCAAGUGGAUAGACCUCUUUUUGUUUUUGUUUUUGUUUUUUUUUUUUCUUUUGUAUCUCUUUGGUAUUCAUGAGAGCUUGAUCAGUGCUAAUUAUCCUUCUGUUUGAUAACUUCUCCAUUUCUUUUUAGAAGUUUCAGUUCUUUUCAUUUUUCCUGGCAUCCUUUCAGAAGAUUUAAUUUCGCGUGUUUAAAACACUGUUUAUCCUAGUAUAUUUGUUCUACUGCUUAAUGUACCAUGUUGUUUAGCAAAUUUGUCUUUAUUCACAACCGGUGCUGUAACAACCCGACUCGCUAGUAAUUAUAACUCGUUGGUCCCACACCAUCGAUCCAAAAUGCUUAAGUUUAGUUAUUAUUACUAGUGUCUAAAAUACUUAACCCUAGUAAUUUUUACUAAUGUACAUGGCCUCUUAUAUUCCCAAUCAGAGCCCUUUUCCUAUUCGAUAUGGAACUAUUGGGGUAUUAAAAACUCCCCAAAGUUUAGAUCCUAGCGUCCUAGUCAGGUCCAAAACCAAUCACGAAUAUAGACCUCAUUCAGGUCCUGACAUCUUCAUCAGGUUCAAAAUCCAAUUACACAUAUAGACCUGAAUUAGCAGGCCAUGUUAGAUGCUAACGAUGGCUUUUAUGAGUUUAAGAGUUGGCUUCCACCAAACCCAUACACUUUUGGCUGGUAUUUGUCUCCAAUACCAACUAUAACGGUCCGACCCAUUAGCAAUAAUAAUUCGUUAGACCCAUAUUACUGUCCCAAAAUACUUAUGUCUAAUUAUUAUUACUAGUGUACCUCUUAUAUUCCCAAUCAGAACUCCUUUCCCCUUCAGUGUUGGACUAUUGAGGAUUUACAAAUAUUUUCUAAUUGAUAUUGUGUUUCUCAUUGACUUAUGUUUGUUUUACCAAGUUGCUCAUUGGCUUAUGUCUUUCCUACCAAGUAUUGUCUUUUGAGUUGUUUAUUGAUGUCUCCAGGUUCCAAAAAGGAAAUGGAGCAAAUUUUGAAAGCAACCAACAGACUUGUUGACCAGCUUGAAGCAAAAAUUGGGGCAGACACGGUAGGCUUAUUUGAUUUGUAUUAGAGACGUAUAAACAAUAUCUGUUACUGUUUUUUUCCCCCAAAUACGUUAAAUGUUCCUUCACAUCUAUAGUUUUUUCCACACUGGAUGCAUAAGUUUCACUAGCAAAGUUGCAUGUUGUUAAUGUUUUUCAUUCGAAUCUGUUCAUUUCUCAUGUACAGGAUAUCAAAAAGCUCAUCUCUGGAAUCAGGAAUGGCAUCCGAACUGCUCUAAAUGAGUAAUUCUGAAAACUUAUGUACUCGAAUUGAGAGUACUUACUCUUUUAGUGGGUUUUGAUCUCGUUAUCUAAAAAAACAUUUCUUUCAUUAAACAGUGUGAGUCAGAUGACUGAUAAAAUUGAUGACGAUGCUGCAUGUACUGAUUGAUGCAGAACCAGCUAAUUCCUCAUUACCUGAUGAUGCCGAGGUAAACUUCCAGUUGCCCCAUGGUUUAAUACCUGCAAUGCUGGGAAUUUCGACUUAAUGUAUGAAUCCUUACAUUGUCAAAACCAGUUUAACUUUAUCGAAAAUUCAUACUUGUUUGGAAGGGUUAAAAACUAUAGAAUCUUCCAGGCAUAUACAGUGUCUAAAAAGCGUGCCUCAGGCAUCUGCCUAGGUGCGCACAAAGCGCAGGCCACCGCACCUGGCAACCCCUAGGCAGGUGACCUUACCUCGGCGCGCGCUUUGCGAGCCUAGGCUCCAACAGCCCAAUGCGCCUUGGUGCGCCUUGGGCAUUUUCAAACACUGGGCUUAUAUGGGCACAAUUGAUUUUUUCGAACUAAUUUUGGACCAACAAAAAUAUUGUCAAAAUCAUUGUUUAAUUCUAAAGCGCUAAUCCGUUUAGUUUCACUUUAUCUUGAUCCCAUUUUGCAUUUUUCUAUCUUUUCUUUGGAAGGUCGACUCACCCAACAACAGUCAAUAGCAAGCCAGUGCGGUAUGAGAAGAAAUGGGGAUCUGUAGAUACACAGCCACUUUGCGUAAAUACCAACGAGAGCGGUGUAAAAGCCCCAAUACCGAAUACCGAUUUUCCUUUUGAUUCUAUAAUUAGUCAAUUACGUUUUACAUAAUAUGUUUACGUCAUAGUUCGCAGAUUUGAGCUUUUUUUUUUUCCUUAAUGUGUCGGAUUUAAACUUGAGAAAGAUUAAUGAUACAGAGCAAGUGCUCUGCACGUAGCUACCAAAGAUUUACACAGCCCGGUUAGUUUCUUUCUUUCUUUGGUUGAUUUCCUCUCUUUACUCUUUUGUUGAAUUCAAAAAGAAUUCGAUCUUCUCAUAUUCGCUUGAAGAUAUCAUCUAGAGUUGCUGCAAUAUUAUUAUAGCAUUCGUGCACUUGCUUCUUGUCUUUGUCCUUCGCCGCAUAAUCUAGCUGCAAUGUGAAGAAAUGUAAAAGAAAAUCACUUGAAAUUCUUCUCGACAGAACCUAUAUAUGGACACUUCUUUCGCCAUCUGUAAACAGACCCUCAGACUUGCAGUUUCUUUUUUGUUUUUGACUUCCUCAGAUAACGCAUUUGUUGGCUUAAAUGGGCUAGCAUUUUGUCCUGUAGCAGAAGACCAGGUUAUGCGGAGUCACGUUCGGAAUGGUGUGUGAGGCUCGGUUGGGUUGAGUCAUGUUCGAAGUGGCAUGAGGCCGGUUGGACCGAGUCACAAUAGAGAUCCGUGGGUGUUGUGUCUGUACGUUUUCAGUGAAUUAGUUGCGUAUUUCUAGCUGCUCGAGCUUUUAGGAUUAAUGGUUAGCGCCGACAAGUGGUAUUAGAGUUAGAGGUCAAGGGUUUAAUUUUCGCAUGCUAGAGGGGGGAUUGUUGGCUUAAAUAGGUCAACAUUCUGACCUGUGGGAUUAAUGGUUAGAGCCAACAAAGACCUGUGGGCGUUGUGUCUGUACGUUUUAAGUCAAUUAGUUGCGUAUUUCAAACAGCUCGAGCUUUUGGGAUUAAUGUUUAGUGCCAACGAUCCGACAAGUGAUACCAGAUCAGAGGUCACGGAUUUUAUAUAUAUAUAUAUAUAUAUAUAAUUAGGCUACUAUACUAUCUAUUGAAUUGUAUCGGAGCUCUGCUAUUAUAGUCUUGUUUUCGAUCUUAGGGUGCUUAAAUUAACAAUCCACACCGUUAAAUAUGAUCUAGGGUAUAUAAAGUUCUUAGAAAUAAAAUUUUAUUUUUUUUCGACAUCGUUUACUUAGUAAAUAAAUUAUAUCAAAAUGGACGGUGAAAAUUGAAUAAUCUUUCAACUUUGAGCAUAGGAUUUUUAAAUUCAAGAUCAAUAAUGUUAACUUUAAUCUAGAUAGUUUAAAGUAUUUUUUAUCAAAAUUUGAAGAAAUUUAGAUUCUUCUACACCGUUAAACUCCAAACUCGCCAUAGUAGUUAUUGAAAAUUAACAAUUUUGAAAUGGUUUGAUCAUAAAGUAAAUUAUGUCGAAAAAAUAUAAAAUUUUAUUUCUAAAAACUUUAAAUAUCCUAGAUCAGUUUUAACGGUGUGGAUCGUUGAUUUGAACACCCUAAGAUCAAAAAGGGGAUUAUAGUACCGGAAUCCCGGUACUAUAGAUAGUAUAGAAGACUAGCAUACAUACAUAUAUAUAUAUAUAUAUAUAUUAUAUAAAUUUUUACUAUUUGAAGUUUAGACCAACACAAAUACAAAGAUAACUAUAUUUUAUGAACUUCAGUUAUUAGAUUAAAAUUCUAGUUUUUUACUUUUUCCACACUUUUCAAACCUAACAAUGUAGCUUAUUGUUCACAAUUUGGAUAUUUCACCGUAGUAUUUUAACAAAAUAGCUUGUGUUCAGCUUGUUUAAUUAAUGUGUCAACGCGAAUCGGUCCCUACUUACUCGUGUUAUGCUAACUGAUAGCUUUAAUUAAUAUGAGUUUCUAUAUUUUUAAAUUCUUUUAUAAAGUCUUCUAUUCUGCUAUAUUAAAGAAGGGAUUUUAGUAAACUACUCUCAAAUUUUUUUCAUAUAAAUCUUUAUAAAAUAAUUUGAUUACUAAAUAAUUUAAAUACUAAUAAGUUGUUGCAUAAAUUUACGUUGCAUAUAGGCUAAUUUUAAUUAUCUUUAUUUAAAUAGAUUUAGUUAUUGAAUUAUUUUUAUUUAAUUUUAUUUAAUUAAAUAAUUAAACUAAUAAAAUUAUAUAAAAAAUAUAAAAAUAUAAAUUAAAUUUUAUUAUUAAAAUAUUUUUAUAUCCGCAGUGUGCUCGUGUUUCACUCUUGCGGAUAUAUAAAUUCGGACUCCUUGGAGUUCUUCUCCGUCUCACUUCUCUUCCCUGUCCCCUCUCUCUCUCUCUCUCUCUCUCUCUCUCUCUCUUCUCUCUAAACCACUCGAAGCCAGGGUUUCGCCAAAGUGAUCUCGCACCCCCCAGCCAUGGAGGAGGCCCCGAGGAAGACGAAACCGGAGGAGGAAUCCUCUCCUCCAAAGGAUGGAUCGCCUCUCGCACCGGAGCCGAAGAGGCAGCGGAUCUCCGGCGAGGAGGAGGACGGCGGCGGCGCCGGAGGAGGAGGAGGACGGGCGGAGGAGGAGGAGGAUAUGCGAUGGGAAGCUGCGGCUGCUAAUGCGGCUAAGUAUAUCGCAGGUUGGUGGAUUGUUCUCUUGUUGAGUUAUUAGUUGAUUCAGUACCUUAUUAGAUCAAGCGUAGCAAUUUGUCAGAUACAUAUUUGACCUAACUUCUUUGUUUGUUUUCUCUUAUUCAUUUUGACUUUUAGCUCAAGAUCAUUACUUGUAGCUCUUCCUUUUGAAUUCACUUUUAUACAAGUAUAUGCAUCCACUAGAUACGAUUAGUAGUGUCCCGUUAUGGCAAAUUGUAGAAAUUUGAAAUCGUACAAAUUGACUAUGUGAUAGUUUCAGUAAAUGAUAAGUUUGUUUCCUUUCUCGAGAAAUUGUGAAAAGCUUGCUCGCUAAUGUUGCCAAACUUAUGUCCUCUUAAAAGAAAACAUGAAUUUGACCUUCUAAGGAUUUCUUUCGUAUCGUCCAAUGGAAUUUUCCCUGUUGUGCAGAUCACCAUAAAUGAUGAGAUUUUCGCCGCAACAAGUUUCUUGUGUUUUGUUCGAUGAGACAGGCGUAAUUUUCAAGUUUCUACCUUCUUGGAAGUGAAAUCUCGUGUAGAUACUUGAUUGUUUGUGAAUUAUUUUGAUCAAUUGGAUAGACCUCUUCUUUUUUUUUUUUUUUUUCUUUUGGAUCUCUUUGGUAUUCAUGAGAGCUUGAUCUGUGCCAGUCAUCUUUCUUUUUGAUAACUUCUUCAUUUCCUUUUACAAAGUUUCCGUUCUUUCUAUCUACAACAGGACAGAAUCCUGGCACUCCUUUUAGAAUAUUUAGUUUCGCAUAUUUUAAUUUUUAAACACUGUUUGUCCUAGUAUAUUUGUUUUGCUGCUUAAUUUACUAUAUUGUUUAGCAAAUUAGUCUUGAUUCAUAAGCAAUGAUUUCUGAUUGAUAUUGUGUUUCUGAUUGACUUAUAAUUUUUUUUCCUUUUCCUACCAAGUAUUGUCUUUUGAUUUGUUUUUUGAUGUCGCCAGAAUUUAAAGCAUUUGAGCAAACUAUGAAAACAAACAACGAAAAUCUUGCCCUGCUUGAAGCAAAUUUUCGGCCAGACAAGGUAGGCUUCUUUGAUUUGUCUUAGGGACUUUUUUAUAAACUAUAUCUGUUACUGUUUUUUUUCCCCCCAAAUUUGUCAAAUGUUCCUUCACCUCUAUAGUUUUUUCUGCAUUGGAUGCAUAAGUUUCACUAGCAAGAGUGCAUGUAGUUCAUGGUUUUCAUUCGAAUCUGUUCAUUUCUCAUAUACAGGAUUACAAAAAGUUCAUCUCUGCACUCAAGAAGUGCAACCAAGAUGUUUUAAAUUGGUAAAGCAUCAUUCUGAAACUUACACACUCAAAUUGGGGCUACUUACUCUUUUAGUGGGUUUUUAUCUAGUUAUCUUAAAAAACAUUUCUUUCAUUAAACAGUUUUGGUCAAUUGAUCGAGAAAUCCGAGAUGAUGCUGCAUGUCUUGAUCGAUGGUGGACCAGUUUAUUCCUCAUUACCUGAUGAUGCAGAGGUAAACUUCUAGUAGCCCCCUGGUUUAAUACCUGCAAUGCUGGGAAUUUCGACUUAAUGUAUGGAUCCUUGCAUUAUCAAAACCAGUUUAACUUUAUCGAAAAUUUAUAGAUGCUUGGAAGGUUUAAAAACUACGGAAUCUUUGAGGCUUACACAAUGUUUAGAAAAGAGGCGCAGCCCCUAGGUGGGUGACCUCACCUCGGCGUGUGCUUUGGGAGCUUAGGCUCCAACGGCCCAAUGCGCCUUGGUGUGUCCUGGGCAUUUUCAAACACUGGGUUUAUAUGGGCACAAUUGAUUUUUUCGAACUAAUUUUGGACCAACAAAAAUAUUGUCAAAAUCAUUAUUUAAUUAUAAAGUUCUAAUUCGUUUAGUUUCACUUGAUCUUGAUCCCAUUUUGCAUUUUUUUAUCUUUUCUUUAGAAGGUCGACUCACCCAACAAUAGUCAAUAGCAAGCUGCUGCAGUAUGAGAAGAAAUGGGGAUCUGUAGAUAUACAGCCACUUUGCGUAAAUACCAAUAAGAGUGGUGUAAAAUCCCCAAUAGCGAAUACCGAUUUCCCUUUUGAUUCUAUAAUUAGUCAAUUACGUUUUACACAAUAUGUUUACGUCAUAGUUCGCAGAUUUGAGCUUUUUUUUCCCUAAAUGUGUCGGAUUUAAACUUGAGAAAGAUUAGUGAUGCAGAGCAAGUUCUCUGUAAAUCGCUACCAAAAAUUGUACGAGAAGAAAGAGAAAAAAACGAAAUUUACACAGGCCGGAUGGUUUCUUUCUUUCUUUGGUUGAUUUCCUCCUUUAUUCUUUGGUUGAAUUCAAAAAUAUUUCUAUCUUCUCAUAUUCGCUCGAAGAUCUCGUCUAGAGUUGCUACAAUAUUAUUAUAGCAUUUGUGCACUCGCUUCUCGUCUUGGUCCCUCGCAGCAUAAUCUAGCUGCAAUGUGAAGAAAUGUAAAUGAAAAUCACUUGAAAUUCUUCUUGACAGAACCUAUGGACACUUCAUUUGCCAUCUGUAAACAGGUUCUCAGACUUGCAGUUUCUUUUUUGUAUUUGACUUCCUCAAAUAACGCAUUGUCUGAUAACAAUUUCUGACAGAAUAUACUGAAACCUAUGUACUAACUUUUCUUACAGAAGUCGCAGGGUUUCCGAAAAAAAGGAUAAAUUUGUUGGAUAUGUUUACAGUUUUCCUCAUUCCGAUCACGCUGCACAGAGUGUUCAGAGAGAAUAGAACACUGGAAUGAGGAAUAAUUGAAAUCUAAGUUAACUUAACAUUAGACACACUGUUGAAGAGAUUGGAGUAGAGCUGCUGCAGCUGCAGCCUGAGGCUUCUGGGCUUCGAUUGGAUUAUCGUAUACAAAUCUUGCUUCAAGUACAGCAAGCUCUCGCGAAGUGCAAGCUGUGCUGCUCUCCAGGACUCCAUGUCCAAAAGUGCUUUUAUUCCCAGCAGAUCUCGCGCGUGUGCUCUUAUAGCAGCUUCUGCUUCUUCCGGUGUCUGGUCAGGAGCCAUGAUGCGGAACUCGACAGCAGAAGCACUUUUCAGAGAUGAGAAGAGCUCCUGAUGAAGCAGGACAGCAGAAGCAGAAGCUGCUGCUUCUGCGGCUAGUUUUCUUCUGCUGAAGAGAUUCUUGCGCUUUUGGGUGAUGCACUAGUAUAUAUAAAUAUAUAUAAAUAUAAAUUAAAUAAAUUAUAUAAAUAUAAAAUAUAUGUAUUCGAGCUGUUAUCGAGCCGAACACGAGCGAGCUGACCCCAGCUCGUGUUCGGCUUGUUUAUUAAACGAGCCGAAAAAUUCAGCUCGUGUUCGGUCCGUUUACUAAACGACCGAUUCGAUCUCGAACUCAUUUCGAGUCGAACACGAGCUCAGAACAGUUCUCUAUCCAUUGGUUAUCAUCAUUUAAGCGAGAGCUAGAUUGCCGCCCCUAGGUGUAGCAUAGUGUUGUGUUAUAUGGAUAAGGAGAAACUGUUGCCUGGGUUCAGUUCACCAAGUAAUCCGUGGACCCUAGGGGCUCCAAUAAUCUAUGGAUAAUGAGAAAUUAUUAUUGGAAUAUAUUAGUCCUCAUAUAUUGAAAUAUAAUUUCUUUUCUAUUCAACGAGGGAAUAUAAAAAUAUUUAAUAAAAAAAUUAUCCAUUGGAGAAAAAAAGUAAUUUAAAGUCUAUUUAGUUAUAUUAUUUAUUUUGCGUAAGAAAAAAGAAAAAAUAAACUUUUCUUCUGGCCAAAAUGUGUCCUUUGACGGACCAAAAUUCAAAAUGCGUACUUUUAUAUAGAGCGCGUGCGUGUGUAUAUAUAUAUAGAGAGAGAGAGAGAGAGAGAGAGAGAGAGAGUAGAGCUUCUAUGCUAUUAGACGCAUAGUAGCUCAUAUGCUUCCACUUUUUUAGACAUUGGAUUUGCCUUAAGAUCUGUAAAUAGGAAGUGGGCUGUAACAGAGAAUUAAUGCUAAACGUCGUUAACGGAGGUUUAACAAAUGCCUUUUGUAAGGGUUAAAAAACAAACGCGCGCGUUUCUUCCCUCGCUAAGCUCCUCGCCCAUUCGUCUCCUCGCAUCUGAGCUAUCCUCCAUCGACAUAUGAUCCCAGAGCUUCUUCCCACUCGGUCUAUUCAUCUCCCUCCCAUCGAUCUGGUUUUCUUCUGUAGACAUAUGAUCUUAAAGCUUCUCUCUCCUUGAUGUAGACUUUUCCCCUUCAUCUCAGAUUAUGAUGAGUAUGAAAUAUAAUCCCUUGGUCGUUCUAACACGAAUUGGGAAAAAAAAUUUGUAAGUAUCAGAAUUUCUCCCCUCUCCCCCUUUGCCUCUGUAGUGAAGUUUUCGAUUUGAUGAUUUUUUUUUCUGAAUUCAAACACCUUUAUCGAUAGAUAGUUCAUAAUUGAAAUGUCCAACAAAACAAAUGAGAUUAGAUAAGGUAUAGAUAUAGAUUAAUUUUAUUCAUAUUUUAUAUGGUAUAUGUGUCUAAUUGGAAAUUUUCAGAUUUGAUAGGGUAUAGAUGUUUCAUAUUUGAUAUGUUAUAUAUGAAAAUUCAUGUUUAGUACUCAGAAUUGAUAAUCUAUGCAAAAAAAAUUUAUAUUUGGUCCAGUUCUUUGAUUGUUUCAUUUAUCAAUUCACAAUCACAUUCAUAAAUCUAUUCUACUGAAUUUAUAAUAUGUAUACAUUCUUUUAUGCUAGAGGAGUAUUAAAUUUCUGAUAUGUAUCUAUUCAUUUAUAAUAGUUGAGUAUUGCUAUUCAGUGCAUUGACCAUAUGGAGAGCAAAUCAACUGAUGUGGAUGAUGCCAUUACGAUUGGGUCGACUUCAUUCAUGUUAGAUGCCGAUAAUACUGAUCGAGAUAAUAAUUAUUCUGACGCAGAGAAAGACAAUGAUGUUUCUGACAUGGAUACUAUUUUUGAGCAUGAUUAUGAAUACCAUGAUCAUCAAAGUAGCAGAGUUGAAUCAUUAGAUAAUGAGCCUCAUGUUGGGAUGGAAUUUGAUAGUUUUGAAGAAGCUAGAGACUUUUACAACAUAUAUGCAUUUAAAGCAGGCUUUAGUAUUCGAAAAACUUCCCAUUACAAGGCAAAAAAACAUGAUAAUAUGGUGACUGCACACCAAUACUGUUGUUCAAAACAAGGUCACUCAACGCGACCUUCCCACGAAAAUGAGAAGACUACUGGCUCUGAUGUCCAAGGCACACCACAGAAAGACAAUCCAAAUCGACGUACUGGCUGUAAGGCGCGCAUGAGGGUGAGAAUGGUGGAACCACAGAAGUGGAUCAUAGUAACAUUUGAAAAGGAUCACAAUCAUGAGUUGAUUACUACUCCAACGAAGACUUUCUUUCGAUCACACAAGACCAUCACAACUGAGCAGAAACAAUUGAUUUAUAUGUUAAAUGAGCAAAAUAUCUCCACCUCACAAAUAAUGUCCUUUUUGGCAGCCAAAGAGGGAGGGAGGAACUAUGUUCCUUUCACACACAAAGAUGUAAGCAGCGAGGUGGCAUUGAAAAAUAGGAGUUUCAAUGGAAUUGAUGUGUCGAGUGCUUUAAAUUACUUUCGUGAGAUCCGAUUGAACGAUCCAUCCUUUUUCUAUGCUGUCAACGUUGAUGAGGAACACAUGGCACGAAAUUUAUUUUGGGUUGAUGGGAGGUCACGCAUGGCUUAUCAACAUUUCAGUGAUGUUGUAACAUUUGAUACGACAUACAUGACAAACAAAUACAACAUGCCGUUUGCUCCCUUCAUUGGUGUGAAUCACCACAAGCAAUCCAUAUUUUUUGGUUGCGCCCUUAUUAGAGAUGAGACAGCUAGUACAUUUGUUUGGUUAUUUAGAACUUGGUUGCAAGCGAUGGAGGGACAUCAUCCAAAAGCUAUUAUUACCGAUCAAGACCCAGCUAUGAAGAAAGCAAUCGAGGAGGUCUUUCCAAACACCGUUCAUAGAUGUUGUUUAUGGCACAUCAUGAGGAAAGCGAGAGAGCAUCUAGCUUUACUCUAUAGCACAAAGGAGGGCUUUGAAGAGGAACUAAAGUCAUGUAUAAAUUAUAGUUUGACGAUAAAGGAAUUUGAAACUGAGUGGGUCUCAUUGAUUGAGAGAUAUAACUUGCAUGAUAACAAUCACCUAAGUUUGCUAUGGAGAGGAAGACAUCAAUGGGCUCCAGUGUUUUUUCGAGAUACCUUUUUUGCAGGAAUGUCCAUGUCACAAAGUAGUGAAGGCAUGAAUGCUCUAUCGAAGAUACUAUUGGACUCAUGUACUUCCGUCUAUAAAUUUGUGCAACAAUUUGAAAAACUUGUUGCAAGUCGACAUGAGAAAGAGGAUGAACAGGAUUUUAAGACAGCCAGUGGGGAAGCAUCUUUAUGGUCAUAUGAUCCAAUUGAAAAACAAGCUCGAGAUGUCUACACACAUACUUUAUUUAAA